rnacentral:lncRNA from 1 species
GGGGGGGGGGGUGGUCCCGAGGAUGAGGUUAAAUCAAUAUGUUCUACAACAAAAGAUUUGAAUAUCAAUCUCGUCAAUAUCACCGAUCUCAUAAGUAUCAAACCAAAUCCCAUUAAAUGAAUCACUUUUUUCUAAAAAUACGAGACAUCUAAGUCAUACAAAUAAAAAGAUCUAUUCAUUGAUAAGAAAAUGAAAAAAAAAGGGAACGGUGAUUAGAUUGAUGAUAAGAUAAAAUCUUGGGUUACGAAUAGUGAUUUAAUAGAUAAUAAUGAAAGAGAAUUCUUGGUUCAAUUCUCCACCUCAACCUUAAUGACGGAAAACAAAAUUUGAUAAAAUUCUAUCAAGUCUGACUGAUAGUGAUCAUUCAUCAAAGAAUGACUCUGGUUAUCAAAUGAUUGAACAAUCGAGCAAUCUACUUAUGAUACUUAACUAACAUUCAUAAAAAGCAUUUCAUGAAUUAUAAGUUCAGUAUUUACUGUUUAGCAGAAUGACAGAUACUCCUUGUUCAUUUCCAAACAAUCACUUAUUCACAAACUUCGUGUGGGGCUAAUAGUUUUCAUUUUCCAAACAAUCACUUAUUCACAAACUUCGUGUGGGGCUAAUAGUUUUCAUUUUCCAUCUCAUGCAAAACCCUUUUUUGCUCCGCCUAGCCCUAUAUAUAUAUAUAUAUAUAUAUAUAUAUAUAUAUAUAUAUAUAUAUAUAUAUAUACCUAGCGGCAAACUUCUAUGUCCCUUUCUUUACGGUAUUUCUGAACAAGUUUCUGGAUAACAAGCCUAAAAGUUUUUUUAUUAAUGAUAUCGAUGAUGAUAGUGACAAUAUUGAUGCUAGUGAAGAUAUUGAUCAUGUCUUUGAUACGGAGCUAGAGCUUCUAAUUAUGAUGAAUGCACUAAAUAUCAAUAUGAUGUUAUAAGUAGGCCUAUUUUAUAUCACCCUUUCAUUCGAAUUAGCAAAAGCAAUAUCUCCUUGCAAAAUAUGGAUUCCAAACAUUCAUGAUACGAUGUGAAUUAGUUGAAUUAUUUAUCCCUCGGUCUAUCAAUAAACUAUCUCUCAAAGGAUUAUGAAAGAUAUUCCACUAGAAAUAUUCUUAUUAUUGCUUCGGGUCAUAUUCCCAAAAAAGUGGAUCCCGCUCUAAUCCAAAUAAAUUAAAUACAUGCAUUAAGAUGCCAAGGUUUAUUAUUCCACAAUCACGAAAGCACUUUUUGACUCUUUCAUAUAUUAGGGUAUUUCACUUGGAAAAGAAAAUGUUCCAUACUGAUUGACACUAAAAAGUGUACAUUUAAUAAGGAUAAAAUUCUUAGUUUUUCACUUAUUGUGUCGAUUAAUGCGUUCAUUAUUUCUAAAUUAUUUUAAUACUCUCCAAAUAUAUUUUAUGUUAAAUUAAUUCGCAAUUUGUUAAUUUUUAUCUUGUAAAUAUUUUUCAGGAAUAAAGAUGGAAUUGGAAUUGAAAGUGGGAACAAAGAAGAACUACUGGAACACAAAUUGAAGAGAUGUAAUAAUAAAUAAAAAACAAAAAAAGAACAAAAGCAUGUUGGUGAUGGUCAGCACAAUUCAAUAUGUAUAUAUAAUAUAAAAAUAAAAAAAUAUUAAUAUUAAUAAAAUUAAAUUAAAAAAAAAAAAAGAUGAUUCCCUUACCUAUAAAAGGCAAGGGGAUGCAAGCAAUGAGGGGGCGGGAGCCGAGAGCCAGAAGCUAGUAAAGCUAUUUUUUAGAAGUGUACGCCGAGAGAGAAUAGAGUGCAGCUGAAGAAUUUCUUUCUUUUUUUGUUUCUUUUCUUUUCUUGUUUCCGUUUGUAAUCAACUUUCUUGUAACGUAUUUCAAAAGUUUAUCAAAUAAAUAGAGUGUUGUGUUUUCUUUCAAUAUGAGUGGCUAAUUGUAGAAACUGAAGGGCACUUAAUUGCUUAACACCUCAGUUUCUGCCCAAGAUCUAAGAUCAGAUUCCUAGAUGCUUUUAUAGAUGACUCGAAAAAACUUAACCAAGAACCCAAAGUAACAAAUCAAGAAUGGUUUAAGAAUCACAAAAGAUUAAAGAACUAACGAAUCAAUAAAAUAGAAAGAAUAAAGAACAGGAGUGAGUUAACGUGGUUCAGCUAACUCUCGUUAGCUUACAUCCACGGAGGAACAAGACAACAGGCCUUUAUUGAAUGAACUCAAAGUUACAGAGAUUUCAGAGUGUAUGUUAUGGAACUACAUCCCCUCUCUCAAGCGACUAACUCCCUUUAUAUACUCAUUUGUUCGUCACCAGCUAGCUGCACCAAAAUCAGCUCCUUUCAAUUGCUGAUAACCACUUGGAAACUAAUUCCAGAUGCUCACGUGAGAUGCAUGCUUCAUCAACGACUAUUAACAAUCUUGUUAUUAGGAUCUCACGCACGUGCAUCUCAUGUGCUUCAUUAAUCCUGAAACGACACUCUCUCAAGUCAUUUUAAAGUCCUUUAAUUGAUUUCACUGGUUACUUUACAAAUCUCCACCUUGAAACAAUUCAUCCCUGUGCAUCUUUCUCCUCAAAUCCAUGCAAGUUACAAACUGCAUAUUUCAGCUAUGUCCAAACAGGUCUUUAACUUAGCUGUAGGUACCACCUUUGUGAGCAUAUCUGCAGGAUUGUUGCUGGUAUGUAUUUUUACCAUCUUCCCAACUCCUUUAGAUAUUACAUUCCUUAUGAAAUGCAACUUAAUGUUGAUAUGCUUGGUUUUCUCAUGAUGAGCUGGAUUUUUACUCAAAUAAAUGGCACUUGAGCUAUCACAGUGGAUAUCAACAACCUUCUGAGAUAUUCCUAACUCGCUGAUUAAGCCUUUAAGCCAUAGAGCCUCCUUGACAGCUGCUAAGGCUACAGUAUACUCAGCCUCUGUUAUUGAUAAGGCCACUACAUGUUGCAAACUUGCUUUCCAGCUUAUCAGGCAUCCAUUCAACAUGAACAUGUAUCCAGUUUGUGACCUCCUUCUGUCCAGAUCUCCAGCAUAAUCAGAGUCAACAUAGCCCCAUAAACCAGCUUCAUUUGUCUCUCGAUCCUUUCCAUACAGCAACCCAUAAUCCAAGGUUCCAUUUAGAUACCUCAGCACCCAUUUAGCUGCCUUCCAAUGCUCUUUUCCAAGUGAUGCAUAUACCUGCUUAUCAAGCUUAGAGCAUGUGAAAUAUCUGGUCUUGUGAGGACCAUUGCAUACAUCAUACACCCUACUGCAUUGGCAUAGGGAACUUUGGACAUCUCUUGCUUUUCUUCACUUGUCUUUGGACACUGCUGGUUUGAGAGUUUGAAAUGAGAGGCCAAAGGUGUUAUCACUGGUUUACAGUUGUUCAUUCCAAAGGUGUUAAGUACUUUUUCCAAGUACUUCUUCUGAGACAAGAACAUAGUUCCCUUCCUUCCGUCUCUUGUGAUUUCCAUGCCCAAAAUCUUCUUGGCAUGUCCCAAAUCUUUCAUAUCAAACUUAGAAUUCAGCAUCUGUUUUAAAGCUUCGAUUUCUUCCCUCACUUUACAAGCAAUCAACAUAUCAUCAACAUACAGUAGCAAGUAUAUAUGAUGAUCUGAAUCUAUUUUCUUGUAGUAUACACAACAAUCAAAAUUACACCUCAUGAAUCCAUGAGAUAUCAUGAACUCAUCAAACCUGAGGUACCAUUGCCUUGGGGAUUGCUUUAAGCCAUACAAUGACUUCUUCAGCAAGCAUACAUGGUCAGGGUAUUCAGAGCAUACAAAUCCUUCAGGUUAAGUCAUCAAAAUCUCCUCUUGUAAUCUCCUAUGUAAGAAGGCUGUUUUGACAUCAAGUUGAUCAAGCUCCAUGUCAUAUAUAGCUGUUAGAGCUAAUAAUACCCUUAUUGAAACAUGUCUGACCACUGAUAAGAAGACCUCCUUAAAAUCAACCCUUUCCUUCUGUGUAUACCCUUUUGCUACUAGCCUAGCUUUGAAUCUCUUAGGAUCAUCAACUGUCAACCCUUCUUUGAGCUUCAAAAUCCAUUUGCACCCCACAAUCCUUCUUUUCUCAGGUUUCUUUACCAAUUCCCAGGUGUUAUUCUUGUAUAGUGAGUCUAUUUCAUCAUCCAUAGCCCUCUGCCAUUCUGAUUUAUAUGAACUCUUCAUAGCCUCUCUGUUGCUUGUUGGCUCAUCUUCAUCAAUCUCAUAUGAUGCAGCCAGAGCAUAAGCAAUGAGGUUAGCAUAACCAUAUCUUUGUGGAGGUCUUAUUUGUCUCCUUUCUCUAUCUCUGGCCAGAUGGUAGUCUCUAAGUUGAGUUGGAGUGUGCUGUUGAGAUUGUGCCUCAGUGUUUCUACUACUGUCAUCUUCAUCUCCAUCAGAAUCUGCAGCUUCUUGAGAAGACUUUUUAUUUGGAUGCUCCACCUCAAACUGUAUACUCUCAAGUGUUUUAUCCUGAGGUUCAGCAUCAUUGUUUUGUGGUUUUUUUCUGAGCACAGUUUCUUCAUUAAAGAUCGCAUCCCUGUUGAUGAUGCACCUUGGUAGGGAUAAGUCUGUGCACCAUAACUUGUAACCCUUUACACCAUCUGGAUACCUAAUAAACUUUCUCCUCAGAGCUCUUGGAGAUAAUUUCCCUUGUUAACAUAUGCAUAAGUAUCACAUCCAAAAGCUUUAAGGUCUGCAUAGUUACCAGGUUUUCCAUACCACAUUUCUAAUGGUGUUUUAAAGUCAAUUCCAGCAGAUGGGCUAAGGUUCACUAAAAGAUAGGCUGUCAGCAAGGUUUCUGUCCAUAGCCCCUUAGGAAGUUGGGACUAUAUCAUCAUGCAUCUGACUUUGUCCAUUAAAGUCAUGUUCAUCCUUUCAGCUAGGCCAUUUUGUUGUGGGGUUAACCUUACUGUUCUAUGUCUUGCAAUCCCUUCAUUUGCACAAAAACUGUCAAACUCUUGAUUGCAAUAUUCAAGGCCAUUGUCUGUCCUUAGUUUUUUAACCCUUUUUUCAGUUUGAUUCUCUACCAGAGCUUUCCACUCUUUAAAUUUACCAAACACCUGAUCUUUACUUUUCAGCACAUAUACCCACACUCUCCUAGAGUAGUCAUCUAUCAUGGUCAUAAAGUAUCUAUUUCCACCUAGAGAUGAGAUCUGAAAUGGACCCCAAAGGUCUGAGUGUAUAUAUUGCAAGAUCUCAGUGGUCUUAUGUAUUGAUUUCUUGAACCUAUUCCUAGUAGAUUUACCUAGGAUGCAUUCUUCACAGAAAACUAGCUCCUCAAUUGUAUCACUCCCCAAAACACCUUGCUUUUUAAGUUUUUUCAGACCUUUGAUACUCAUAUGCCCAAGCCUUAAGUGCCAUAGUGUAGUUUUAUCUAUGGCAGUGCUUUCAAUGGCAUUAGAGACCCCUGUUACAGACUCCCCAUCUGAGACAUAAACUCCAUUCUUUCUGGUUCCUUUCAUAACCAGUGUGGAUUUAUUUAGAAUCUUCAACACCCUUGAUUCAAGCUUAAUGCUACAUCCCAUUUGAUCCAUCAUUCCUAAAGAAAUCAAAUUCCUUUUAAGUUCUGGAAUAUGUCUAACCUGUCUAAUUUCUUUUAUAGACCCAUCAUGUAGCUUAAGAUGAAUUUUACCAAUCCCAAUGACUUUACACACUGUGUUAUUACCCAUCAUUACUCUUCCUCCAUCAAGAUCUUGAUAAUCAGAAAAAUAACUCUUAUAUGGACUCAUAUGAAAUGUGCAACCAGAGUCAAGAAUCCACUUACCCUUUUGUAUAUCCUCAGUAGCAACACACACACACCUGCUGACUCUUAGUCAUCAUCUUCUUCAGCUGUAGCUGCAUUCCCAAUUCUCUCCUUAUUCUUGUUCUUUAAAUCUAGACAAUCCUUCUUGAAAUGUCCUUCCUUAUGGCAAUGGAAGCAUUUCAGGUCCUUUGGCUUGGUUUUAGGUUUGGACUGCUUCUGAUUCUUUGCUGCAUUCUUAUUCUUUUCAAACUUCCCCUUUACUGUUAACCCAACUCCACUUUCUAUACUCACAGAUUUUUCUUGCAACCCUCUAGUAUUUAAGGCUGCCUUCACCUUAUUCAAGGACGAUGUCUGCCUCCCAUACAUUAGGGCAUCCACAACAUUAGAGUAUGAUUGUGGAAGUGAACUUACCAAGAGCAGAGCUUUACUUCAUCACUGAGGCUUUCAUCAAUGGUCUCCAAGGUGUCACACACUCUAUUGAAUUCAUCGAUAUGAUCAUCAAGAGAGGAUCCCUCUGCCAUCUUUAGAGUAAACAUCCUUUUCUUGAUAUGAAGUCUGUUGGUAAGAGACUUUGUCAUAUAGAUGGUUUCCAAUUUUAUCCACAAAUCAGCCACUGUUUUCUCCUUGGCAACUUCUCUAAUAACAGAGUCUCCAAGACUCUGGAUUAUUGUGCUUCUUGCCCUUCUGUCUAUAUCAGUAGCCUGUUGUGGUGUUAGUGACGAUGAAGCUUCCAUUCCCUCUUUCUUAGUGACUGGUUCUAAAGCUUCUCCUAGUCCCUGAGUUAUCAGUAGAGCCUCCAUUUUUACUUUCCACAUAUUGAAGUCGUUCUUGGCUGUAAACUUCUCCAAAUCAACUUUAGGAUGAGCCAUACUAGAAUCUGAUUAAAGAAACCCUGCUCUGAUACUAAUUGUAGAAACUGAAGGGCACUUAAUUACUUAACACCUCAGUUUCUGCCCAAGAUCUAAUAUCAGAUUCCUAGAUGCUUCUAUAGAUGACUCGAAGAAACUUAACCAAGAACCCAAAGUAACAAAUCAAGAAUGGUUUAAGAAUCACAAAAGAUUAAAGAACUAAUGAAUCAAUGAAACAAAAAGAAUAAAGAACAGGAGUGAGUUAACGUGGUUCAGCUAACUCUCGUUAGCUUACAUCCACGGAGGAACAAGACAACAGGCCUUUAUUGAAUGAACUCAAAGUUACAGAGAUUUCAGAGUGUAUGUUAUGGAACUACACCCCCUCUCUCAAGAGACUAACUCCCUUUAUAUACUCAUUUGUUCAUCACCAGCUAGCUGCACCAGAAUCAGCUCCUUUCAGUUGCUGAUAACCACCUGGAAACUAAUUCCAGAUGCUCACGUGAGAUGCAUGCUUCAUCAACGACUUUUAACAGUCUUGUUAUUAGGAUCUCACGCACGUGCAUCUCAUGUGCUUCAUUAAUCCUGAAACGGCACUCUCUCAAGUCGUUUCGAAGUCCUUUAAUUGAUUUCACUAGUUACUUUACACUAAUUCUAUUAAGCUGAGGUGAAGGGUGAAGCUCAAUGUUUCAAACUAUUAAAUUUAUUAUUUUCUCAAAUGAGUUUAAAGUUUAUUUUAUUCUUUUCUAAUUAUUUUUAUGUCAUAUUAAUUUAUAAAUUUCUUUGGAUCUGUAUGGUAUUUUGACAUAAUGUCGACACAUUAAUAUAGUGUGGCACAUUAGGUACUUUAUUUCAUAUUUAUCCACACACAUAAAAUUAAAUGAUAUAAUAAUUAACUGGUAAAAGUGAGGUAAAAUAUAAAUGAGAGAGUAUUAAAAUUAUAGUUUGAAUACAGAGAGUGGAUCCCGAACCUUAGCAUAUUUUAAGAUUGAUUUCAAAUAAUUUCUUUUCCCCACAAUUAAUUUUCUUAGUUUUAAAUUGACUACUAGAUUUAAAAUUUCCUAUGGUUCAACCCCGGUCUCACUGGGUUAUAUUAUAACUAGACACUCUUAUACUUGGGAGCAUUACACUUUUUAGUCAUGUCAAGUUUUUGGUGUCGUUACCGAAGAGUUUUUUAAUUUGAUGUUAGUUUGUCUUUACUUUAAUUUUUUAUUUUUUUUUAUUGUUACUAUCUUUCCCUUGAUUCUAUUUUACUCUCUUUUUGCAAACUUCAGUUAGCACCCCUCUUCUUCUUAAACUUUAACAUUACCUACAAAAUUUGUGAGAAACUUCAAUUUAGCCCAGAAACCUUUGCAAAUCAGUCCCCAAAUCAAAUUUAUUUCUUUAAAUUUCUGCAAUUUACUUUCUGCAUUUAUUUUAAAUGGUCGGUUCUACUGCCUAACUGUUAUUUAAAUUUUGUUAAUUUAUGUAUUUCUGUUUAUAUGGUCGGUUCUACCGCCUAGCAUUUUAAUUUCAGUUUAUUUAUUUUUGUGCAUUAAUUUAUUUAAUUUUAUGCUUUAUUAUACAGCUGGUUUUAAAAUACCACCUAAACUGUUUCUUUUAAUGGCUGGUUUCACCACCUAAUUUAUUUAUUUAUUUUUCAGUUUGUUUAUUUUAUUUCGCAUUUUUGCUUAUUUAAUUUCCAAUUUAUUUUUAUUUCUGCAAUUUUCAUUUAGCGUUUUUUGCAUAAUUAGUUAAGCACACAUCAUUAGCAUUACAUGCGUCGUUGGUCUCGUACAAAUAAUGGCAGAUUAAUUAAAAGAUCACCUUCACUGCCCUUAGAUAUGGCUGACACAUGAGCUGAAAAUUUUUCGGAGCACGAAAAUGACCAAGCCUUGCAAAAUAUUCAUGAAUAGCAUAGAACCCUUAGAGAUUUCAUGCAUCCUACUAGAACAGGGUCACCAUCAUGCAUAGUUUUCCCUUCUGAUGCAUCAUGUUUUAAUUUUAACCUGGUAUCAUUCAACUUCUUUAUACUUUUCAUGGUUUUGAGUCUGAAAAUCCAUAUUUACAUUUAAGGGAAUUUGAGGAAGUCUGUAACACAUGUACUGAUCAAAAUUGUAGCAUAAAUAUAAUCAGGCUUAAGUUUUUUCCUUUCUCACUAAAGGAUAAAGCUAAAAUUUGGCUACAAAAUCUUAGGUCAGAAUCCAUCAGAACUUGGGAUGAAAUGCAAGCACAAUUUUUGAAAAAAUUCUUCCCACCCCACAAAACAAAUUCUUUUAAAAGACAAAUCACCACUUUCACUCAAAAACCAGGAGAAACUUUCUACCAAUGUUAAGAUAGGUUUAAAGAACUACUUAACAUUUGCCCACAUCACGGUUUUGAAACAUGGAGAUUAGUGUCUUAUUUCUACGAGGAAUUAACAUCCCAAGGUAGACAAGUCAUUUAAAUGAUGUGUAAUGGUGAGUUUAGGGAUAAAAGUCCUGAAGAUGCAUUAGAUUAUCUUAACUAUAUAGCAGAGAAUGCACAACACUGGGAUACAGUUGGGCCUUAUGAGUCAUCAAGUAAACCCCAGUCAUCUCCACUGGUGGAGGCAUGCAUAACCUUAGGGAAGACCAUGAAUUUCAAGUCAAAUUUGCAUCAUUAACUAGAAAAGUCGAAGCAUUAAAGUUGAAAAAGAAUGAUCAUGUAAAGUCUGUUAAAAAUAUUUCAUGUUAUAUUUGCGAUUCUACUGACCAUUCUACGUAGGACUGUCCAACUUUACCAGCUCUGAGAGAAAGUUUGCAUGAACAAGUAAAUGUCGUUGACAAUUUCAAAAGGCCAAAUCCAAAUCCAUACUCCCAAACUUACAACUCUGGUUGGAGAAACCACCCAAAUUUCAGUUAGAGAAAUGACAAUCACGUACAACUUCACAACCAGUUCCUCCACGUCAAAAUUUUCAAAACUCCCAGAGUUACCCACCAUAUGUCCCACCACAAAAAAAAAAAAAACUCUGGAAGACAUAUUGCAUUCAUUUAUUGAAAAACAAGAGUCGAAACCAAACAAUGCAAACCUUAACCAAUUUGACAGAAACUAUCUCCAAACUUACAUCUGCUCUGACCAUACAUGAAAAAUGAAAAUUUCCUGCUCAACCUGAACCAAACCCUAAGAGUCAACAACAUCCUCAAAUGGGAAAUUCAGGAAACCAAAAUAUGAGUCAAGUCAAAUCGGUUAUAACCCUUCAUAGUGGUAAAGUAGUCGAAAAAUACAUUAUGGACCCUCGUGAAACUAGUAAAGAUUCAAUUUCAGAAAAUAGGGAAGAGUCUGUCGAACUUUUAACCCAUGAAGAAAUAACCAACUCUCCUCAUGUACCCUCAUUUCCUCAAGCACUAAUCAAGCCAAAGAAAUCAAAUCACAGUCCAGAAAUUUAUGAAGUUUUUAAACAAGUAAAGGUCAACAUUCCUCUGCUGGAUGUCAUUAAACAAGUGCCGUCCUAUGCUAAAUUUCUGAAAGGUCUGUGCACGGUGAAAAGGCAACAUAAGAUGCAAAAGAGAGCUUUUCUAGCAGAACAGGUAAGUUCCAUUCUCUCAACCAAUAGUACUUUGAAAUACAAGGAUCCUGGUUGUCCAACUAUUUCUUGCACUAUUGGGGAUCAUAAAAUUGGACAUGCUCUACUUGAUCUUGGUGUCAGUGUUAAUUUGCUUCCUUACUCAGUGUACCAACAACUCAAUCUCGGUGAGUUAAAACCAACUUCUACCACUCUUUUACUUGCUGAUAGAUCGAUUAAAGUUCCAAGAGGAAUAAUGGAAGGUGUGUUAGUCCAAGUCGAUAAAUUCAUAUAUCCUGUGGAUUUUAUUGUUUUGGAAACGGGACCAAUUGCUAAUGAAUGCAAACAAAUUCCUGUUAUAUUGGGUCGACCAUUUUUAGCUACUGCUAAUACUUUGAUAAAUUGCAGGAAUGGAUUAAUGAAUUUAUCUUUUGGCAACAUGACACUGGAACUCAAUGUGUUCAACAUGUGUAAACAACCUCACCACCAAGAAUAUGAUGAUAAUGAGAAUGAGGAGAUUGAUCUCAUCGAGCCAAUCAUUGAGGAACAUAUUCAGGAUGAGAAUUUUACAAACUCUGUAGAAAUUUAUUUUACCGGUUCUUUUGAAUCAAGUAAGGAAUUAGAUUGUGAUACUACUAACAUAUGCCCUACACUUGAUUCUAUGCAGGUACCUACAGGUGAUGAUGACCAAUCGAACUUUGAAGAUGUGGUACAACCUGAAGAACCAAACGAAGAGGAAGCACCAGAGCUCGAAUUAAAGCCCUUACUAGAAGAAUUGAAGUAUGCCUAUCUUGGAAAGCAGCAGACAUAUCCGGUGGUAAUUUCUUCCCAGCUCACGAAUGAUCAAGAAGGUAAGUUGUUGUCUGUACUAAAAAGGCAUAAAACUGCAUUUGGUUGGACCUUAAAAGACAUAAAAGACAUUAAUCAUUUAAUUUGCACACACUGAAUACACUUAGAGCAAAAUACCAAAACAACCCGUCAACCACAAAGAAUACUAAACCCUCGUAUGAAAGAAGUGGUAAAGAAUGAAGUCCUUAAACUACUAGAUGUAGGAAUUAUCUACCCUAUCUCUGAUAGUAAAUGGGUAAGUCCAACACAAGUAGUACUAAAGAAAUGUGGAAUAACUGUUGUAAAAAAUGAAAAAGGUGAACCAAUCCCAACACGAACUCCAUCUAGUUGGCGCAUGUGCAUUGAUUACAGAAAAUUAAAUGAUGCCACUAGAAAAGAUCAUUUUCCCCUUCCAUUUCUAGACCAAAUUCUCGAAAGAGUAGCUGGACAUCCCUACUACUGCUUUCUUGAUGGCUACUCUGGCUAUUAUCAAAUCCCUAUAGCCUUAGAAGACCAGGAAAAGACCACAUUCACAUGCCCAUUUGGAACAUUUGCAUUUAAGAGAAUGCCCUUUGGACUUUGUAAUGCUCCUGCAACAUUUCAAAGGUGCAUGCUAAGCAUUUUUAGUGACAUGGUUGAAAAUUGUCUAGAGGUUUUUAUGGAUGAUUUAACUGUAUUUGGUAAUUCUUUUGAUACAUGUCUUGAUAAUCUAGAAAAAUUUUUGUAAAUGUGCAAAGAAAAAUGACUAGUUUUAAAUUGGGAAAAAUGUCAUUUCAUGACCACUUCUGGAAUUGUCUUGGGCCAUGUUGUGUCUUCAAAAGGAAUCAAAGUUGAUAAAGCCAAAGUUGAAGUCAUUUCAAAAUUACCCUCACCAAAGACAAUUAGAGAAGUCCGUUCUUUUUUAGGACAUGCAAGAUUUUAUAGGAGGUUUAUAAAAGACUUUAGUGUCUUAUCUAGACCAAUUUGUAACCUUCUAAUAAAAGACACACAAUUUGAAUGGACUAAAGAUUGUCAACAAGCUUUUGAAAAAAUAACUACUCUUUUGACAUCAGCCCCAAUAAUGCAACCCCCUGAUUGGUCUUUACCUUUUGAGCUAAUGUGUGAUGCUAGUGAUUAUGUCGUUGGCGCUGUUCUGGGUCAAAGAAAGGAAUGUAAGUCCUUUGUCAUCUAUUAUGCAAGUAGAACUUUGAAUAGUGCUCAAAUGAAUUACACUACAACUGAGAAAGAACUAAUUGCUGUAAUAUUUGCAUUGGAUAAAUUUCGUUCGUAUUUAAUUGGUUCAUCCACUAUUGUUUAUUCUGAUCAUGCUGCUGUGAGAUAUUUAAUGUCAAAAUAGGAUGCCAAACCAAGGUUGAUACGAUGGAUUUUACUACUUCAAGAAUUUAACUUGACAAUCAAGGACAAAAAGGGCGCUGAAAAUGUUGUUGCAGAUCAUCUUUCGAGACUUACGAAUGAGUCUUCAAUUGAAACAAUACCCAUCAAUGAUUCUUUCAUUGAUGAAUUUUUAUUUUCUAGAAAAAAAAUGGUUUGGUAUGCUAAUAUUGUUAAUUAUCUUGCAACAGGUGAAAUGCCAUGUGGCUGGAGUUCCCAAGACAAGAGGAAAUUCUUUACAGAAGUGAGAAACGUUUACUGGGAUGAUCCAUACCUGUUCAAAUACUGCUUCAAUCAAAAUUUUUGAAGAUGCAUACCAGACGACGAGGUAAGUAGGGUCAUUCAAUUUUGUCAUUCUGAAGCAUGCGGUGGCCAUUUUUCUUCAAAAAAGACAGCUGCAAAAAUAUUGCAGUGUGGAUUUUAUUGGCCUACAUUAUUAAAAGAUUCACAUACAUUCUAUAAAAUGUGUAAGAAUUGUCAAAUGGUAGGGUCUAAUUCAAAGCGAAACAUGAUGCCUUUAAACCCCAUCCUUGUCAUUGAAAUAUUUGAUUGUUGGGGAAUUGAUUUUAUGGGCCUUUUUCCAUCAUCAUUUGGAUUUGUAUACAUUUUGGUUGCUGUUGAUUAUAUUUUAAAAUGGAUCGAGGCGAUUCCUUGUCGGUACAAUGAUCACAAGAUUGUGAUCCACUUUUUAAAAGAAAAUAUUUUAAGCAGAUUUGGAAUACCUCGAGCCAUUAUUAGUGAUGGAGGUAAGCAUUUUUGUAAUAAGCCAUUUGAGUCCUUAAUGAAGAAAUAUGGAAUUACACAUAAGGUUGCUACCCCUUAUCACCCUCAAACAAGUGGUCAAGUUGAAUUAGCAAAUAGGAGAUAAAACAAAUUUUAGAAAAGACAGUUAAUCCAAACCGUAAAGAUUGAUCUCUUCGACUAAUUGAUGCACUUUGGGCAUAUUGUAUUGCUUUUAAAACAUCUUUAGGAAUGUCACCCUAUUGGCUUGUUUAUGGAAAAUCUUGCCAUUUACCAGUAGAACUUGAACAUAAAUCAUUUUGGGCCAUUAAAGCUUUUAAUUCAAAUCUUGAUGAUGCUGGCAAUGUGCGUAAAUUGCAAAUAAAUGAACUUGAGGAAUUAAGGAAUGAUGCAUAUGAGAAUUCCAGAAUUAGUAGGGCAAGAACCAAAUUUUUUCAUGACAAAAGAAUUUUUCGAAAAACAUUUGAAAUUAGUCAAAAAGUGUUGCUUUAUAAUUCUCGUCUUCAUUUAUUUCCAGGGAAGUUAAAGUCAAAGUGGAAUGGUCCAUUUGUUGUAAAAAAUGUGUAUCUAUAUGGAGCCGUAGAAAUUGAGAAUUCAAAUGAUGGUGUCACAUUUAAAGUUAAUGGCCAAAUAUUGAAACCAUAUCUAGAAUACCAACCAUGUGAAGUAGAUACCAAAAUCAAUUUGAGUGACCCACCAAAAUUUUGAUUAAGCCUUUUCAUUUUAACGUUUUGUGAAUUUGAUUUACUGUUACUUUAUCGUUUGAAUUGUUUGAUUUUUUUUCUUUUUUCUUUUCCCUAUGUCUUGAAUGGAGUGCAUUGCAUUGUCUUUAAUUGUGUGUUGUUUGAACAUUGUGAUUUAGCUCACCAAACUUUUAUACUUGUCAUGAGUACCUCCAUGAGGAAUUUCCUUUUCGAUCAUCUUAAAACGCUUUUACAUGUAAAAUUUCACUUGAGGAAAUUACUCCGAUUUUGUAAAUCACAUCCCAUUUGGGAUCUACAACCACCGAGUUAGUAUCUCACGUGAAAGAUCUAGAAAGACAACUCAAGGAAAUAGAGGAUGGUAUUUAUAAUCUGCAAUUGGAACUGGAGGUAAAUUCAAUAAAACGACGAAUGUGAGUUAUAUUCCUUGUGUAUUUUUGUUUUAUUUUGUUGUUUUUCUUCACUUUUGAUUUGAUUUUGCAGAUUUGAUUCGUUUUGUUUUUAUUCACUCUCCCGUAUAAAUGGCGGAUAACGGUACUCCGUGACUUUUUAAGUCGGUAUUCUCAGUUUCCCACAAUAACUGAAACCUCAAUGUCAAGCAUGGAAGAAAUACAACGAAAAUUACAUCAACAUUUUCCUUCUCUCCCUCAAAAUGCUCUUAAAAAGAUUUACAAAGCUCGUUUUGAACGAUUGCAUUUGUUAAUGAUCAAUGGGAUUCCUGCUGACAUUCACUGGUUAAUUGAAGCAAAGGUCCGAUUGGCAGGUGAGUUUUCUGAUCCAUUCAUUUCCUACAUGCCUGGUUUUGGUAAAAGUACAUUUGCUAAGAAAAGAAGAGCUAAGCGACUUGGCUCUGAAUGUUCUCACUGUGUAAGACUUGCUUGCAAAAAGCCACGUUGUAAAGAUUUAGGAAUGGUUUCUGUAAAUUAUGAAGAUAAAAUCAAAUUCGUUAAGGAUGGCAUGAGUAAAGAAUCAUUGGAUGAUAUCUUACGAUCUCUUGAGACGCAUCCGAGCGGAUAUGUUCAAUGUGAAAUUCAAAAUUUGUGAAAGUUGUUCCAAAAGGAAAGUGCACAGUUUAGUCUUGGGAAUCUGACUCUAAAAGACCAUGUUUGCCAGUUUAUAAGAAAACUUGUUGGGAAGCCUAUCCUCGACCCAUAGAGGGCGUUCAAGCCAUUACUGGACGUAAAACCAAAGGAAGAUGUUAGCCACAAUCACAAUUAUCAGCAAAUAUCCUUUUAUUUUACUGUUCUUUUAUUUUUUACAUUAUUAUUAUUAUUGUGUUUUUUUAAUCUAAUUAUUGUUUGCUUUUUCUUUUCACUGUUUGCUUUUGAAUUAUUAAGCUAAAAGCUUCACGCGUCAGUUGACAAACACCCCACCCUAUUUACAGAUGUAUAUCAUUAUGUCCGUCACCAAGAUCUUUAAAUAGGAACUUCUUUUCAAGCACUCACAAAUUGUUUCUUUUUAGAAUUUUUGUAAUGGCAGCAACUUCAAGCAGACAACUAAAGAACAUUUGUGUGCUUUCUGGGUUUCGCUAUGGAAAGUAUAAGGAGUUCGUUCAGGCAGUCAUAGAUCUUGGUCGUGCUAUAGUAAAGAGGAAACUACAUCUUGUAUAUGGAGGAGGUGACCGAGGGUUAUCAAAGCUUGUCUCUGAAGCUACUUUCGUUCGAGGAAGCCAAGUGCUAGGCAUCAUUCCAAAAGCCUUAAAACCUUUAGGAUGCCUACCAGACUCACCAACUGGAGAAGAGUUAGUUGUCUUAGGUAUGCAAGAAAUAAUAUCCGAAAUGUUAAAUCAUGCUGACGCUUUCAUUUUCUUGCCAGGAGAUCUUGCAACUUUAGAGACGCUAAUUAUAUUUGCUUCUUGGGCCCAUUUGAAUAUUCAUCAAAAACCCAUCGUUUUGUUAAAUGUUUGAUAACUUUUAUGAUAGCUUAAUAAUAUUUCUUAAUCAUGCAAUAAAAAAUUACUUCAUUCCAUCCUCAACAAAAAAACUCUUUGUUUGUGCUCCUACUGCUAAUGAGUUACUUGAUCUUUUGCAAGCUUACAAACCAGAGCCAGAUCCCAUGACUUUGGCGUUGGAUUGGGCAACUGAUGACGAUGGCAAUAACUCUCGUAAAAAGUGUAAAUUAGAUUUAACUCUCCAUUUGUAAAUAUUUCCAGCAGUGGUCAGGUGAUAUCUUCUAAACUCUACUCAUUUCUUUAGACAUUGAGGACAAUGUCUCUUUCAGGUUGGGGGGAGGGAAUAGUUGAUAAUUGUGGAAUGUCUCAAUCCUAGUGAUGUUUUUACUAAUUUUUAUUAUAAAGACUAACUUUGGAUAAAAAUUUGAGUCGAAGAUGGCAGAAUAUAGAAUGUAGUGUCUCUAGAAACACAUCUUCUUAAGUUUAGUGUUUUGUUUCCAAAAAAAAAAUGUCUUCUAACGUUUUAUUUUCUAUUUUUUUUCUCUUUUUCUCUUAAUCAUCUCCCUUAAGUUUUUGCAAUCAGUCCCAAUUUCUUUUAGUGUUUCUUUAACAAAAAAAAAAAAGAGUUUUCUUUUUCAGUGUGAUCUUUUAACAUUGGAUAACAUGACGAUUUUCAAAUUUUGGUAUUUGUAUUAUCUUUGGCCUUGAGUUAUGAUACACUAUGUUUUCCCUUUUGCAUGUUGAAACGUAAAUUGAGAAAUUGGAUGAGUGAAAUUGAUUAAGCCAUUUGGAGGAAUGUACAUGUUAUGAAAAGACCAAGCGCGUUUUUGAGCCUAUUAUCCUUGGAGAGUAAGCUUGUUUAACUAUACAGCUUCACAAUUUAUUGUACAAGAUCUCAAUAUUUUCUAAAAAAAAGUAAAAAAAAAAAAAAGAAAGUUUGUGCAGCCGCAUCUAAAAGUCCAUUGAACUAGUGGAUAUGAAAUAUUAUAUAGAGCCCUAAAAGAUGACAAAAUGUCAUCUUUGAUUCAUUUGAGCCAUUCUAGCCAACCCUAUUAUAAAGAAUCUAUAGUUAACCCCUUUGACCCUUUGAAAAAAAAAAAAAACUUUUCCUUUGAUAACCUAUUAUCUUAUCUCACUCCAAUGUGGAGUAUCACCUUAUAUUUUAUGUUUUCCACCACCCAAUUAUGUUUGAAAAUAUGGAUGAUUAUGUAUUCCUAAUAAUGGUGCUAUAAAAAAAAAGAUGAUAUGUAUAGAUGAAUAAAUAAAAUAAAAGAAAAGAAAAAAAAAGAGAGUAAAAAAAAAUCCAAAAAAAGGCACCUUGUAAUCUCCAAAAAGACCCCUAUUUUUCAACAUAUAUUUUUGUUUUCCCCAUUACCUUCUUUUGUUAGCCAUAACCCUAACCUAAGUUACAUCCUAAUAAAAGUCCUUCUUGAUUUUAAGAAACUAUAGUGUGAAGUAAAGCUGGUGAUAUGGACUAAAAGAUGUGGUGAUGCAUAAAAAUAAAAAUAAAUUUUUCCAGUAAUUCCUUGGAUUUGAGAUCAUUUUAUUUCUAAACUGUGGGCAUUAUUUUUUUUUUUAUCUUGGUGAGAGCGUGUGAUAUUGUUUUAUUAUUCUCUCAAAUUUACCAUAUUUUUUAGAGUGACAAUUUAAUUUGGGGUAUAUCUUCUUUUGAGACAGGUACUCGUAAUCGUGAGAUUUUGGGGUUUGAUGUAUCAUUCUUAAAAGUGGCUUGAUUAAUGUAGCUCUGAUGAUUGAUCAUUUUACAGGCUUUUACUGAAUUAUUUUGUGUGGGUGUGAUUUUCUUUAGGCUGAAGAUAAUGCUUAUAUUUUUAUUUGAUUAUUUUCAUUGAUCCGAUGAAAGAAGUGAACACAAUUUUCAAAAAAAAAAUCAAUUUGGUUUUGAAAUUUCUCUAAAUUUUUAUCGCUUAAAUUGCUAGGGCCUAGCAAUAAGUUGAUUGGGGGGUGUGAUUGACACUAAAAAGUGUACAUUUAAUAAGGAUAAAAUUCUUAGUUUUUCAUUUAUUGUGUCGAUUAAUGCGUUCAUUAUUUUUAAAUUAUUUUAAUACUCCCCAAAUAUAUUUUAAGUUAAAUUAAUUCGCAAUUUGUUAAUUUUUAUCUUGUAAAUAUUUUUCAUGAAUAAAGAUGAAAUUAGAAUUGAAAGCGGGAAUAGAGAAGAACUACUGGAACACAAAUUGAAGAGAUGUAAUAAUAAAUAAAAAAUAAAAUAAAAUAAAGAACAAAAGCAUGUUGGUGAUGGUCAGGAGGCCAUCACGCCUCCUGACCAUCACACAAUUCAAUAUGUAUAUAUAAUAUAAAAACAAAAUAAAAUAUUAAUAUUAAUAAAAUAACAAAAGAUGAUUCCCUUGCCUAUAAAAGGCAAGGGGAUGCAAGCGAUGAGGGGGCGGGAGCCGAGAGCCAGAAGCUAGUAGAGCUAUUUUUGAUAAGCGUAAGCCGAGAGAGAAUAAAGUGCAGUCUUUUCUUGUUUCCUUUUGUAAUCAACUUUCUUGUAACGUUUUCAAAAGUUUAUCAAAUAAAUAGAGUGUUGUGUUUUCUUUCAAUAUGAGUGGCUAAUUUUAUAAAGCUGAGGUGAAGGGUGAAGCUCAAUAUUUCAAACUAUUAAAUUUAUUAUUUUCUCAAAUGAGUUUAAAGUUUAUUUUAUUCUUUUCUAGUUAUUUUUAUGUCAUAUUAAUUUAUAAAUUUCUUUGGAUCUGUAUGGUAUUUUGACAUAAUGUCAACACAUUAAUAUAGUAUGACACAUUAGGUAUUUUAUUUCAUAUUUAUCCAUACACAUAAAAUUAAAUGAUAUAAUAAUUAACUGGUAAAAGUGAGACAAAAUAUAAAUGAGAGAGUAUUAAAAUUAUAGUUUGAAUACAGAGAGUGGAUCCCGAACCUUAGCGUAUUUUUAAAUUGAUUUCAAAUAAUUUCUUUUCCCCACAAUUAAUUUUCUUAGUUUUAAAUUGACUACUAGAUUUAAAAUUCCCUGUGGUUCGACCCCGGUCUCACCGGGUUAUAUUAUAACUAGACACUCUUAUACUUGGGAGUAAUACACUUUUGAGUCGUGUCAUAUACUAAUGGAUUUGGUCCAUAACAAUGGGUUCCAAUGGAUGGAUCUUGUAGCACUUGCCAAUGAAGCCCUAUUGAUUAGUAAUACAUAAAAAAAAUCAAUUAUAGACACUAAUACAUUUAAAUUUGCUCUUCAUAGACAAACUUGGGAUUUGUAAUCCUAAGUAAGAUCGGUACAAGAUCAUGGGAUCAUUUUCUAUCGGAUAGGGAGGGCUAUUGUACAAAAUGUACUUCUAAGUAAUUUCCCCAUAGAUCCUAUAUCUAUCUAUAUAAAGAAGAAAUCAUGUAAUGAAGGGGAUUCUUAUUUGUACAAAUGGUACUUUGAAUUUAGAACGAGCAUGAAGAAAUUAACGGUACUUCUUUAUAUUUUGAGUUGCUCUACUAGAUCAGUCGCUCAAGACCUUUGGUAUUUACCUAAACCCAAUGAAAAAAUGAGAUCACUUCUUCUAAUGUUGCUAAGAAUGAUUUUCAUCUAGUCUAUGACCUAUUAGAAGUAGAAGGUGCCCUAAUGAGAUCCUCACAGAUAGAAAAAGAUUGCAGUCGAUUUGAGAAUAAUCAUGUGACAUUGCAAAUCGGAAUUUGAAGAGGAGGAAGGAGAAAGAGUCCUCGACUCACAACAUACAAAGGAGGAUUUAUUUAAUCACAUAGUCUAGGCUCCUAGAAUAUGGCGCCCUUAGGGCAUUCUAUUUGAUCGUGUCGAAAGGCCCAAUGAACUAGGAUUUCCCUAUCAUGCCAAGUCAUUUUGGGGCAAGCAGAUCAUUUAUGAUGAAAAUGAUAAACUUCAAGAGAAUGAUUUGGAGUUCUUACAGAGUAAAAACAUGAGUAUCAUACAAGAGAUAGAUCUUCCAACGAAUAAGGCUUUUUUCAAAUAAGCCAAUUCAUUUAGGAACCUACAGAUCCACUCUUUUUCCUAUUCAAAGAUCAGCCCCUUGUCUUUGUGUUUUCACACCAAAGAUUCUUUGCAGAUGAAAAAAAUGUAAAAGAGGCUUCUCACUUCCCAACUAGAUCCUUCUACAUCUAUUGAUAAGCACUAGUUUAUCAAGAAUACACAAGAAAAGUAAUUCGAAUUGUUGAUUCAUCGCCAAAGAUCGCUUAAAACCAAUAGUUCAUUAUCUAAUGGAAUUUUUAUUGUAAUACUCCAUCUAAGAGUUAUUAAUAUUUAUCAAAUCUUCUCAGCUGGUGAGUAUGACGGUUACAGCAACUGGUGGUGAUGUUGGCUAGACUGUAAAGAAAGUGGUGGUGGGCAAUGGCGACUAGGGUUUUAAAUUUGGGUUUUUCUUUUUUGUUUUUUUCCCUCAGUGAUGGAUUUGGUGGCAAUGGAUAUGGAUAGCUAAGAAAGUUGUCAAUUGGUACAGAACUACUCCGAUGCCGACUAACAUAGUGGGGUGGGGGAGGUAGAACUGAUAAGAUAAAUAAUAUUAGAUAUCAUUCUAAUACUACUCCAAACCAAUGCAAUUAGGUUACAUUCUAAUCGAAAUGAUUAAAUGUUGCUUUAAUCCAAACUAGGCAAUGAGAUUUUUUAAUAAGGGAGAGUAGACGACGCUCUAAUCCAAACAACUUUAUAAUACAAAUUUUUAUAGAUAAUCUCAAAAGAAAUUAUAAAAGAGGGGUUUUUACUAAUUGAUCAAAGGUUUAAAUUAUAAUAAUAAGACCUUUCUAUUAAUAAUAUAGUAGAUUUAUUUUUCUAAGUUAAUUUAAAGAGGAAACUAAAUCACAAUUAUAAUAAAAAUGAAAGAAUAAGACAAAUAUUAACUCUAAUUAAAAUAAAAAAUCAUAAAAUUAUUAAAAUUCUAAAAUCCUAACAUAACGUCCUACAUCAACCUCUCCUCGUGAUUUAAAUUAUUUUCACCCAUUGAUCUACACAUGCGUUAAGUGUCUAUAUUUAUUUUAUAAACAUUUUGUCCUUCAAAGAUAUCACUCUAUAUUUUCUAAAUGUAAUUUUAUCACUUUUUUCUAUAUCUAUAAAUUUAUCCAAAAAUUCAUCGACAACGCAUUAUACAGUGAUCUUUUGUACUUCAUGUCCACAUUUGUUUAUAUAAAUAUUAAGAUAAGUUGAAGUGAUACGCACUAUUAUCAAAAAAUCAACUCAUCAAUCAUGUAUAGCUUUUUUUUUCUCCUUUAUGAUGGGAAGAUUAUUUCAUCAAUUUUAUAAAAAUAUAUCAUAAAAUAUUUACGCAUAAAUAAUUGUGAAUUAUAACAAAUAAUAAAUUAUUUUUGUAAAUUUAUCUUUCCUUGAUUCAAAUAAAAAUCAAAAUAUUUAACUCCUUGAUUGAAAUUUGUAUGAAUUUUUUAGUUUGAUACGUAAUCAUUAACCUCAUUAUCAAACUCUUCAUGGCAACGCAUAUAUAUAAGAAGUUUGGAUAUUUUUUAGUUCAAUAUACUCCACAUAAGAUUAUUUCAGUAAUUUUGUUAGUCUCAUUGUCAUAAAAUUUUAGAUUUUCUGCCUGCAUUUAUUAGUGUGUGGACUAAAUAGUCAAACAAACAAAAGUAAUAAACAAUUAUACAUCAGGUGGGACUUUCAUAUAUUUUAAAAUUUUAGAUUUUCUACCCGCAUUUAUUUGUGUGUCGACUAAUAGUCAAACAAACAAAAGUAAUAACAAUUAUACAUAAUUAAGAAAUAGAACCGCACUUUGCGCGGUUUUGAAAAAAAAUUAGUAUUAUCCUUUUUUAUUAUUAUAUUUUUAAUGAUUUAUUCUAUUCAAUUAAAAGGCAAGACUUUAAAAAAAAUGAAAAAAAUAAAGUAAAGCUAAAACCAAAUUUUUUUUUAAUUAUUUAAAAUUGCAUUAGUUAAAUUAACACCACGGAAAUAAAAGUGCCAUAGAUGCACCUUGUCUAAGCCAAAAUCUUGGAAACUUGAGGAUGAUAUAUCACCAUGAGGCCACCUGGAGAAGGAGCAGAAGAUGCAUCACAAUAGCCUCUCAGUAUGUUCCCUUCUUCGGCAGUGAAUCCAAGAGAGGUGAGCAUUGCAGGCCAGCAAUUACGGGUGAUGAUAUCAAUAGCGCGGCAACAAUCAGGGUCAAUAUCAGCCUGAUUAUUAAAGAAGAAUAUAACAAUAUCAUUUGAACAUGAUUUCAACUCCAUUAAUGCGUUCCAGCAGUCCGCUACCUUCAAGUUUUAUUGCAAGAUCGUAGCCUGGUUUCAUGUUGUUGUUGAGGUGAUCAUUCCUGCUGGUUGCAUUUGCAAUAUUUGUCAUGAUUAGGCAAGUGAGGACCAAAAUGAAAAACACAUAUUUUAGAGCCAUCGCUAUUUUAUGUUCGUUUAUGUUGUGUUUAUGUUUACGUGGGAUAUCAUGUUUUUUGUUGCUAUUUGUAAAUUAAGGUGAGGCAGAGGAGAAGAGUGAUUAAAAGUGUUUAUAAAUUAUUGUUUAAUGCUUAAUUUAUGAUCAAUAAGGUUUCAAUUAGAAAAGAUAGUGGGUCUUUUGAUGAAUUGUUACAUAUUAAUUGUGUAAUAACAGUCAAAUUAAUUAUGAUAAGAUGAAAAGCCAAAUUUAAAAAAAAAUUUCUAUAUUUAUUAGAUAAUAAAGAAUAUAUAAAGAUGAGAAAUGGUGAUGUCACAUCAUCUCUUGUAGUCCUAAUUUUAUAUAAAUAUAUUUUCAGGGGAGAUUUUCAUAUAUUUUAAAACUCUUUAAGGGAAAAAAAUUACUUUUGUCAAACAAACAAGAGGGUACUGCUCGCUUUCCCGUCAAAAAAUUAUCGUAACAUUUCAGUUACCGCUUAUUAGUUUCUUUGAUUAAUAGUUAAUAAUCUCAUCUGCCGUACCUAGAAUAGAUCUUGAUGAAGCAAGAUCUAAUUUAACAAUCUGAAAAUGUUAAUGAAAAUUCAAAAUUUCAAAAACCAGUUAAUCCAGUUGGGAGAACGAUGACGUGGUAAGUCUGGUUACCACAGAACCUCUACUGCUUUACACACGUUUUCCUCUUUUAUUGAGGGAGAUUUAGGAAACCUCGUAAGGGAGUGAUUUGCUGAUUGCAACAAAAUCGACAAGUUUCUAUCUGAUUCUUAGUUGCUCAUAUUCUGGUUCUUUUGUUAGUUUUAGUCGAUUUCUUCCCAAGACUGCAGCCGAAUGACUACCAUUCUGUAAGGGCUUUCUAAGAUAAAGAAGUUCAUUCUGCGGUGAUGAGUUAGGACUUAGGUACAUGGAGACAGAAGAGAGAAAGCAACCGUCCCAGAAAAAAUGAAAACGAGAAAAUAUAAAUGCAGUCAAAGGUCAAUAAUAAUAAUAUUAGAAAAUUUAGCAAAGAAACCACGCUUCAUGUAAAACCAAUAGUAAUAAGAUUACAUGCAACACCUUUGAAAUUAAACUGAAGUAAUUUGAAUCAGCAAUUAGUAACUGAUCCAUUCUCAGAUUUAGUAAAAACACACGCCAUAAUAUAUUAUAUUAAACAAAUUAAAGUACACACCGAGGAAGAUAAAAGACAUCAAAGAAGGGGAAGUUUAUGGAGGAAGAAAAGCAAAGAACACUACUGAGAAGGGAAAGCAUCAGACAGGAACUCCUCAUCCUCCAUGAAAAUCUGCAGAUUCUUGGACUUCAUCAGGAUCUCAACCACUUCUUCAUUGAAUUCCACAAAGAAAGCCAACUUAAUCAGCUCAGAGAGUGAAUUGAUGUGAUCUUCUUUGUCCCACAACACUCCCUUCGAUAUGGUUUCAGCAAAUGGAAUUGCAUAUUCAAUGCGGUUUUUGUGCCCACCAGACCUGUUAACCUUAUGCGUGAAAAGCUUUCCGCUAUUUCUGUCCCAGCGUAUCAAUUGGCACGCUCUCGCAUCAACAAUUUCCCCUGAUGACAAUGAUAAACUGUACCUUACAGUUAUUGGCUCUGCAGUCUCCAAAAUGGUGAGAUUCAGGAGACACUUGACAGCAUCAUGCUUUUUUGCCGGUUCCAUUUGAAUUGAAGGAUCAGCCAAAAACCCCAGAAUGAGUUUCACCAGCCCUUUGCCAAUAUAGUAGUCCUUCUGAUUCACCUGCUUAUGUUCCACGCCUUCUCCUACAGACAAUUCUUCCUUCUGUACACAAUCUGAGAUUGUGCGAACCCCGAUUUUCCUAUAUAAGUCCAGCAACGUUGUCUGAGGUAAAGCAGGCAAGCUAGGCAGUGGAUACCAGACAAAUAGUGAAUGAGGAGAGGAUUUUUCGAUUACAUCCUUUAGCUGAAGGUCGUCAGCUAUGAAAACAUCACGCUUGUCAAACAACAAAAUACCAUCCAAGCCUGAAUUAACAGGCAGCUUCACCAAGCUGUCAGCCAUAAGUUUCUUUGAACUGCAUUGCUUCAAAACACAACCCCAAAAUGCACAACACUCAGCAUUUGACAGUUUGUAUUCUGAACUUUCCCAAACCUUCCAGAGCUUACAAUAAUCCUCAACCAAAGGAUUGGAUUUAACACCAAAAGCACUUGAGAAGAAGCUCAGUAACUUCCAGUCAUAGUGUUUAUCCAAUACUUUCAUCUGUGUGCUGAACAGACCAUCUUUGUCAUGUAAAACACAUUCUACCGGGCUUACCCACUGUCCACUUUGACUUUCCUCCGGAAUCCAAAUCCUUCUGGCAGCUUCACCAAGAGGCUGCCACUUCAACUGUGCCAAGACAUUGUAGAUUCGAACUAUGGUUGCAAAGUCAGUGCGGAAAUCGAGGUGGCUGGCAAGCAAUGGACAUCCCUUUUCUAAAUCAACGGUGACUCCAAUUGUAUUGAGCUCCUCCCGGUAGUAUUUGAUUUCUGAACCAUAAAAAUCUUCGUCAAGGAAAGGUCCAUCUGUCUGCUUCAAAAGAUUCAAUUCACACGUAGAAUCGAACAACAAGCACUGCUUCGGGCUACUAUAAACUUCACUGCCAUGUGUCCUAAACCACUUUUGUGAAACUUUCUCGUUGAAAGACCUGGUGAAGGUGUAAUUCUUCUCUCGCAAUAUCCUGAUGCAUUUGAGAAGAGAAAUUACAUUUGCACGAGUGACGUUGCAGGGAUUAAUAAAAAGACCAUCAGCGAUAAACUUCACACCAUCUUCAAAUGGUACGACAGUUCCCAUGUCCUCCAGCUCCUCCUCGAAUUCAUGAAUGGCCAUGCUGUAGAAGCGGUCACUGUCAUCAAUGAAGGGAAGCAGAGUAAUAGAAGCGAUAGACUUCCAAUCUGGACCAAAAAGAAUGAAAUCUCUUGGUGAUCUAUAAUCACCAAGGCGAGUCCGCAACCAUUUUGUCUCACGGAUACAGUUAAUAAAUUCAGCAGGAAACUUAAGAGAUGCUCCAUUCAGUUGUCUGUAACAUGAUAGAAACUUCAGGACAUGAUCUUUUGAAAUUGAAGAUGAGGAGGCUUGUUGCUUAAAAAGGCAAACAAAUGCUUUGACAGCCUUCUCAAAUUCAACAGCAACUCCUAACUGCUGCAACUCCCUUUUCGAGCAGACAAUGUUGCUUCCAUAGAAAUUUUGAUCGAUGAUUGGGAAACCCUUAAAAACCUCUAACAGGCAGCCCCAUUCAGGAUCGAACAAAAAACAUUCACCCGGAGACUUGUAACCCUCAUCUGUCUUCAAGCAUUUCGCAUUACCAAGUGCUUUAACAAGUCUGUCAGAAGAUUUGGAAUGGCGCAUGCAUGCCAGUACCAAAUGAACAGCUUCAGCUGUGAGACAAGCUGACGAUGAAGGCAGUUUCAAGUUGUCAAUUACAAGCUGAUAAUUUUGAUUGAAUUCCACCAUAACACCGAGCAGCUGUAAUUCCACUUUGUAACAAAGUAUUUCUUCACCAUAGUAAUUUUGAUCAAUGAAGGGAAUGCCACUUAUUUGAGAUGCAAUUCUCCACUCCUGAUCAUGUAGAACAGAUGUAACAGGUGACCUAUAACCGUGGGAUGUCUUCAGCCAACUUCCUUCUUUGAUGCUCUCAAUAAAGCUAUCUGGUGAAAGAAACUUUUCUCUUAGAAAUCUGAUAAAAUUAACUAUUGAAAACACAUUGUCUUUGGUAACACGGGAUGAUGCUGCCCGAGACAUAAGAUAUUUCCCAAUGAAUUCACAUGCUUCUCGAUAUUCAAACAUCACUCCAAUUGUCUUCAGCUCCUCCUUGUAAUUAAUUAUGCUUUCACCAUAAAAAUUCUGGUCAACCAGGGGAAUAUCAACAAGCAUUGAUCCAUUUUUCAAAAUGUUGCCCAACGAUGAAGUGAGGAAAAAAGAUUGCGAUGGCGGUCUAUAACCUGCAGGGGAUCCAUUCAUAGUGAUUUUCAGCCAGCUGGCUUCCUUUAUGCAUGCCAGAAACUUCGUAGGGAUGCCAAAUCCCCUGAACUUCAGGUUUUUAACCCAAUCCAAGAGAAAAAAUGUGUUUUGCUUGGUGAGUGGGGCAGACACAGCUGGAAUCUAGGCAUUAGGAGGGGAUAAAUGAGGAAUAUCAGAUGCUCCAACAUGAGACUUCAGGAACUCGAUGAUCUGCUCUCCUGUUGUCCUUUGCCCUGCAAAAUUUCCAGGACGCAAGUAGUCUUCCCCUAACUCUAUAUAGCCUUCUUGUCUCCAUGGGUUUGAAACAAUCAAUUCUGCCCAUUUGCUUCCAUUUGCUGGCACAAGGACACCAUUCCCAUUCGUGCUCACAGCCCCAUAAUUAUCCACAAGUGGCAUAAGCCCACACAAAAUUUCAACCUCCCGAGAUGACAAAUACCUCUUUGACAAUGAGUGAUAUAAGAAGUAAGCAAAGACUACAGCAAGCUUUCUGUCAUUUUGCAGAUGCUUAAUGAGAACAGCUGCAUAAUCAUACACAGUCACAGUAGCAACCUUCACCCAGUUUUUCAGCCAUUGCAAUACCACUUCCGUCUGAUAGCACAACAGAAGAGCAACAUAUGUGCUUUCUGGCAUAAAAGAACGAUUGGCAGCACAUCUGAAUUCCUUAUUACAAGCAGUCAACCAGGACAGCUGAGGUGACAAACAUACCAUGUCAUACUGGCGAUGCAUUAAUACUACACAAAGCCACAUUCCCAUCUACGUCAACAUAUUUGAUCAAGGGUAUACUGCCAAUGUUGGUAUUGCUGAAUUUGGAAGACCAAUUUUCAGCAAGGAAAACGAGUAGCUCACAAUAGACUUCUUCGGACACUCCCAAUACAAGAUUAGAACUCUGGAUGCAUUUUGCAUACCAUUCACUGUUGACUGGCGCCACACCCAAGAAAUUAAGUACCGGAUCAUACUCUUCUCUGUCAAAUGAGGAAUUCAGUACAUGUAGUCCAUGGUGGGACAGAUUUCUCAAGCUCACCCCUUCAACUUUUGCUUUCUUCAAAAUAUUCCAAAACCGCGGCAUUAGCUUUCCCACGUCACGGGGUUUGUGGAAGAAUUUCUACACCAUACAUGACUCACUAGGUACAAUAUCUUCUUCAAUAAGCUUUGCUCUAAUUGGUUCUCUUACAUCCUUAUUCAGCUGUGAAUAGGAAGAGCUGUCAAAACGAAACAUUGGCGGCAAACUAGAUACUGGAGCACCUUCUGUCAUCUUCACCAGUGAGAUUAAAGCAUUAACAAAAGCAGAGGAAACACAGCUGAGAAUUCCUUGGUUCCAUUUGUUAUCUAGCACUAUAUUCUCCCUGGAUGAUGCAAGGAGAAAAUCUGCUUGAAUUAUAAAUGGAAAAUUCGUAACCAUCUCCGUUGGAAGAAAUGCAUAGAUUCCAGGAGAGGUUGCUCCUCUCCGGAGACGCUCACCAUUUGGAAACGCCAAUAUGAUCACCCACUCCUCAACAUCCAUUCUCCUCUCCACUUUAUUUUCUUGUUUGACAGGAAAUCUCUGCCUCCACAUAUAGUAGUUGCAUUCUUUAUUAUUCCGGUCGCCAUUUACGGCAAGAUGGAGUGUGUAGGACUCAGCAUCAAUAUUCUUCCUUGUCACAAAAUUGGUCUCGCUGUUUAUAGCUAUUGCACUCACAGUAUUUCGAAGAGGAUCCUUGUUAUCUUCCCUGACUGAAAGGCGCUUUAUCUUUGAAAGGAAUAGCAGUACUUCAGGAUGGUUGAAAGCUGCUGCUUGACAGGUUUGACUUUAUCAGGUUUCAGAGGCAAAACAAAUGUUGUGGUUGGAAGAUCUUUAGAUCCUGAACCGCAUAAUUUCUGUAUGUCUGAGAGAGAUGGCUUCUCAUUGACCCAGUCAGGAACUAUGUAUCCGAGGUUGCAAUGUGGGCAGGGCUCUUCAGUAAACUUUAUCUGAUAGCCAUUGCUGAAUAUGCAAGGCUGAGCACUGAUCAGAAAUACACUUUUGAACCCGAUUCCUGUACGUAACAAGUAUAAUACAAAUAUUUGAGUUACCCAUAAACUAAAAGGCUAGCUAAUUACAUUUUGUUGUUUUGUGUAACUGAAAACUGAAAAUAUAAAAUCUGUUUCAAAUUGCAAAGCAACAAUCCUCUGAGUAAUACUGGCAACAUGAUUGCUUGAAAAUCAAUUGAUUAAGCAUUUGCAGGUUCGAAACAGAACAUACAAUAACAUAAGAAAGCAAACACAUAAAUAUGCAUGAGUAAAUGAAAAGAGAAAAAGGAGUGAUGUAAGGGACCUUUCUCGCCAAUAUAGCCACUUUUACGAUUGCCCUUCUUAGUAGAAUUGCCAACAUCGCAAAUGGACUCAAUAUUCUUGGCAGAAAAACCCUUCUCAUUGUUGAAUAUGAGCAAUGUGGCUGGGGCUCCUGUGCCUGUUAUAUCACGAGAUGUUAUUACAAACUCGAGUGAUGGAUCCACACCCUCCAGGUACUCAUUGUCUUCAGCAUUCUGUCAUGGAAAAAUAAACCACUUUGUUAACUUUCUAAAUCAUCAAUCGUUCAUGACCAAAAACAUUGUAGGAGUCAAUUUCAUGGGAAAAAUACCAGAUGGACCUAGAUUUGCUAAUCCAAAGCAUAUGAAAAAGAUGGAAACUUUAAUGAAGAGACACAUAAAGAUAAACACAAACACAAGAAUACAUCAUGACAGUGGCUCACAAACUUUAAUGAAGAGACACAUAAAGAUAAACUCAAACACAAGAAUACACUAUGACAGUGGCUCACAAACUCUAGGAUCAGUGGCUGCGAUGAUUCACACAAGAAUACAAAGCAUUUUAACAAACUGUUGGUAUAGUUUUUCUUAAUGUUCUAUGAGUCAUCGUGGAUAUCUCCAAUGAUCCGAGACUAUUCUUGCCAAUCAGGUAAACCAACACUACAUUAUGAUUUACAGCUUGAUGAUCACAACUGAUACUUCUAAAACAUUAAGGAAAUCAAAUUGUUCACUUCCCGCCAAAAAUCCUUCAUUGAGGCAUUUUGUCGAACACGAUUCCAGAACUAUCAAACACCUUUGCCAUUUAACUAGCUCCCUAUACAAAGAAGCAUAUUCAACUGAAUUUUACCUCUGUUUAAAUAUUAUGAUCAGUCUUAUCUGCGGAUAGCCAGGGGUCAAGGUUUGCACUUUUGAAACCCCAACCUUGAUUUUGGGUAAAAUUAACUCAGAAUCAGUAUUAUGCUGAAGUGUAUAAUUGUUCUAACAUGGAUUUUCUUUUUUCUUUUAUAUUGCUUUUCAUGAUUUGUAGGAUCAGUUGUAAAAUAAUAUUUUUUAUUUAUCUCGUAUUAAUUAAACUGGUUUGAUUAUUUUUAAAUUAAGUUUGUGAUCUCUUUCAAAUUGUAGUAAAGACAAUGUUUCCAACAACUUAUUUUAUUCAGCUCAUCCGAGUUUGAAUCCUAAGGAGACAGGUCAAAAAAUUGAUUUAAGUCUUGCCCACCUCUCAAUCUUUAAAAAAAAAAAAAAUCUAACUGCUUAAAAAUAAUGAUAAAAACAUUUUUUUACAAAAACUUAUUUUGAUACAAAAAAAAAGACACUAGAAUAAAUGGAAAAUAAAAUCUUACCAUCCAAUAAAACAAUAAAUAUGAAAAUUUCAAGCACCCUACGAUUUCUCAGAGAUGUAAAUAAAAACACUAAUAAUUAUGUGAUAAUAAAUCUAUUCAUAGACUACAAGAAAAAAUUAUUUUGUUGACGUUACAUAAACAUAACAUCAGUUUUGAUCGUAACACUAAAACUCAUCAUUUGUAUUUUAUAAUAAUAUUUUUAAAGGUUCCUUUCACCAAAAAAUAAUAAUAAUAAUAAUGGCUAUAUUCGAAUAAUAAAGAAAGUCACGACUAAAAAGCAUCUAACAAAUUUUGGUCGAGCAUGUUUUAAUAACAUGAAAGCAAAACGAGAUAACAUUUCGAACCCAUAUUUAUUAUAAAAGCUAGUUUUCACUCAAAAAGCGAUCGCUGUUAUUACUCAUAUGAAUGAUAGAUUCGAAAACAACAUUUUUGUUUGGGUUCGAAAACAACAUUUUUGUUUGGGGUGGAUAAAUUUUUAAUUAACUUUUUAACUCCGCCCUCCCUCAGAAUUUUAACUGGAGAGAUCAAUUAAUUAAAAAAUACUUAAAAACCGCUCGACUGGACCCUAGGGCAGACACAGAAUCAUACUAUCCAUGCAUGCACUUAUAUAUAAUAAACAUAUACAUGCAAUUAAAUGAGAACGAAAAUAAAUAAAGAUUAAUCGAAGAAGUACAUACCUGAAUGAGUUCCAUGAGAAAAUGGACAUCCUUAGUGUAAAGUUCAGCAGAAAGAAGCUCAACAGCUCGAUGAACCAUCUUUGUUAGAGGAUUUAUCACCUCACUCCCUAUAAAGAACAUCUUCCUUCUUAUCUCCUCAAUGUGUUCUUUUGGUGUCGCCAUAGCGUAUGCCAUGUUUUUUUUCAAAAGAGCAGCAGCUUGAUCAACAAAACACAGAAUGUAUGUUCUUGUUCUUGAUCUUGUGUGAAGAAAUGAACCUAGCUAGUGGUUUUAAAUACUGCACCAAUAUUUAUAUGCUAAGUAAUGAAACGAUCGUUAAUUUCAAAAUCCCAGCAAAGAAAAGAGAGAGCUACUUCUUAAUUCAAUUUGCGUGCAAUUCAACAAAAACAAGUGAAAGUAAGUAAAUGAGGCUGGUGCCAGCGGAGUGGAAGUUUACUCAUAAAAAGAAGCAAGGUUAACUUCUUGGAGAAGUAGAAAAAUUAACUGUUGAUAAAUAUGUUUUUAUUGAUUUUGUAAUUAUAGACCCAAAACUAAAGUCUUUCUUUGUACGGAAACAGAUGCCUUUGAACCCUGAUUCGACCACCAUUUUACAUUUAGUCGAGUCUUCGUCAAUGCUUUAUUCGGCUUUUGGCUUUUGUUUUUUAUUUAGCUUUUCUUUUUCCAAAGUGGUCUGGAAUUACAAUGGAAAAGCAAAGACUAGCUAGCUGUUGGGCUUGGGUUUUUGUUUUUAGGCUUUUACCUAAUCAUGCAUUUGGAAUUUAAAUAUAUAAAUUUGUUCGCAAAGCUCAAUUAUUUAGGAUCAAUUUGGGAUUGUUAUGCUGUAAUGAUGAAAUAGGUUGUAAAAUUAAAAAAAAAAUUAGGUUAAAAUUUUAAAAAAAUAUAUUAGGUGUUUGGCAGGUUGUAUUGUUAUGACAAACUGGGAAUUUCAAAAUAAGAGGAUAUGCGUCUAAUUAAUUUUGAUUAUUAGAGUAAUGUUUCACUAUACUUUUAAAUAGUUGUAUUUAGUUGGUAACUCAAGCUCAAAUCAUGGAGGAAAUAGAGGACUAAAAAAUUAAUUUGGGCUUUGCCAAGCACUCUACGCUUUGAAAAAAAAAAUGAAAGCUAAAAAAAUAGAAUAUUUUUCAUUUUUUUCUUUAUUUUUUUUUGUCUAAACCACGAGGUGGUCCUGAGUGGGCCCCAACUGUGGGAGGCACCUUUAAGCCUGUACCACAACUCAUACUAAUCCCCGCUCGCACUGAGUCAGCCCGUAAGGGAUAAAGUGCUGGCCAAAGUGGUGACUCCAUACAAGAGCGAGACUUGAACCCCUGACCUCUCUUAAGGAGUGAGAGUGCCGAACCACUCACACCAACCAACUUUGGUUAAUUUUUUCCAUUAUAAAUUGAUAUACUUCAGUUUGUCUCCUGACAUAUUUAAAAUCUCAACCCACCCUUCCUGACAAUUAAGAAAACAAAUAAUUGGAUGAACAAUUUCAUCUCUGCCGUCCUAAUUUACCAUCAUGUUUUGAACGGUGGAUGAAUUUGACAUUUUCAAUAAUUUGUGAAUAAAUUGAUGUCAAUUUAUGGGGAUAAACAAAAUUAACAUAAAGGAACUUAAAAAUCUUUAAUAUUAGAGAUGACCAAUGGGACGUGCCGUGUCGCCGGGCCUAUCAAAGUAACACCCAUGUGUGCUCGUGCCUGUGCUGUGCCGUGACCACUAUGUGUUUCAUGCCGUGCUUAAAUUUUUUUUGCUUAGGCCCAGCCCGGCACACAUGUCGUGCCCAUUCAUGUCGUGCCCACAUGUGUCGUGCCUAAAAAAAAAACCUACUAAGUUUUUUUUCUUUUCUUUUUAAUUUUUUAAGAGUGCAUACUAAGUUUUUAGUAUACUUUUUUUAAAUCUAUAUACUUUUCUUAGAUCUAUGCCUUUAUUCAAAUUUAAUAGAAUUGAAAAUUUAAAACUCAAGUCGACAUUUAAUAAUAAUAAAUUAAUAAUAGUAAGAAAAUGUAAUAUUAAUUACUAAGUUUGACCUUAUAGUAUUAGAAUUUUUUAAUAAUAAUAAUAAUAAUAAAAUAAAUUUUUCUUAAGGAUUAACUUAAUUGUUAACUUGAACUUACAUAGAGUCAUAAAUCGUUCACAAUAAUAUUAAUGUAUAUUUAUAAAAUUAUCAUAUUUAUAAUUUUAUUCAUUAAAAUCAUUAUAUCAAUUAUUUAUUUAAUAAAUAUAUAAAUUAAUUAUAGUUUUUUUCAACUAAGAAUUAAAUUAAUUUAAAAAAUUCAACUUCAAGUUAUUUAUAAAAUCAUAAAAUUUUAAGUUUACUUUCAUUAAAAAAAUAAAACGUGCUUAUCGCAGGCUUUUUCAUCGUGUCGUGCUUAGCCCAUCUCUAAUUGUGCCGUGCUUUUAAGGUCUAUGUGUCUAAAAUUCUAAGCUCAACUCGGCCCACGUGCAUGUCGUGCUGUGACUCGUGCCCCAUCGAAAUGUGCUCGUAUCGUGCCGUGUUGUACGGACACUUACCGUGCCCGUGCCACGUGCCAUUCGACCCAUUGCCCAUCUCUAUUCAAUAUAUAAUUUUUAUCAAUGAUCGUUUUGAUUUUUACUUUUUUCCUCAUCAACUCAGUUGUUUGGAAUAUUUUUAAGGGACGCAGUCAAUAUUAUUGACAUAAUCAAAUUUUAAGUUGUAGUUAGUUCACACGAUGUCUCUCAGCAUUAUGUUACUCUUACUUAGGGAAGAAGAAAACUUUACAUUAUUGGAGGAGACAGAGAAAAAGGAGCUAGUGUUUUAACUACUUUGUGAAUAGUGAAACAUUUGCAUUAUUGUACGAAAAUUCCAAAGGUAGAUUCCAAUUCCAACGCCGAUUGUAUGGCUAACAUAAGUAUUAAUAACAUCAAGGAUUAUAAAAUUUGAGUUACCAUAAAUAUGAUAGUUUUUUAAGCAUUAAUAAUUUAAUAUCGUUAAUAAGUAAUAUGUUGUGAUAGUUCAUCAAGUUCCUGCUUAAAUAUAAGAUUUUGUUAAUAAUAAAAUCCACAAGCCCCUAUAAGAAGUUGAGACGUGUACUAAAGUGUGCAAAAUGUUGAUGCUGAAAUCUGGUCACCCUUUGACCGACCAGAUUGGUUCACCAACGCUUGUGUUGACAAAGGAAUAUAGGCUGCAAUCCACCAGCUUCAGCAAUUUCCCGAGCUCCUGGGACCCAAAUCACCCUUCUUCUUCCUUCCAGGCUUGCGUUCACAUAAACAAAUCAGAGACGCCAGUGGUUUUUCUAGCGUAAACCCUCCGAUGCUUAAGUUAGUACAAGGUGUUUACGGGAAAACUGUAUGAUUUGUGUUGUACAGAUUAGUUGCAAUAUUCUCAAUACAAAAUGUAUCAAGGAUUCGGAUAUAAGAAUUUCUGAUAUUAAUUUGGCAGAGUUUCCCAUUUUCUCUCAAUUUUCGUCUCCCUUUUUUCAUCAAUUUCUUGGCCUUUUAUAGGCAUUCAUCCCAUGUUUUCUCAGUAUUCUUUAUGCCCCUCAUUUUCGGGUGAUGACGGACCUUCAUGGGUCUCCAACCACUGAAUCGUGGGUAAACGUGAGGCGUCAUGUUCUCUCCAGCGGUUUGGGGCAUGGUGAAACUGUCGUGAGUUCGUGAGAUCGUGCCUUCUUUCUCUGAGUGAUGAAUACCGGGUCGGUAUGUACCUCUGGUCGAUACUCGUUUCUAGUCGGCAUGUUCAUACAAGAUGUAUUAUUAGGAAUCUACUCGUGUCAGUCAGCUGGGGAGAUUCGCCCUAGGGUGAGGGAUGAGGAGAUAGCUGAGCUGGUACUUUUCAUUACUCAACACCAGUCCCCCAGUUUCUGGUCUUGCGAGUGAAACGAGUUGAGACUAGAGACUAAGAAUUGAAUCUGGCCACCCUCGGGUAGCAUCCUCCUAGUCUUUGUUUUAUUGUGAUGGACUCGAGGUGAUGUUUUAUGCUUAGAGAGUUUUUGGCCUGGGUAUGGGCAUUCGUGAGCGUAUCCAUUACGCAGCCGGGCUGACAUCCCAUCAUGUCGUCUUAAUGGCCAAUGACGUGGCACUUUCUGCCUUCUAUAUUUGAAAUUUGAAACGGCGACUUAUCUGUCCUUGAUAUGCGGUGAUUAAACUGACACCCGCGUAACUUAAACGUCUCUAUUCCCUAUUUCGUCUUAAAUCCCUAAUUUGAGAGUUUUAUUACGUUUCGUUUUCUAUAAUUUUUCCAUAAGCCUAUUCCUUCUCUUGACUCAAAACGUGUUUUCUACGCGACUUCCUUUUGCCUGGCCCUUUCUCCAUCACAGUAACGCCACUAGUGCCGAUCUAUUCCAGGUAUCGCCUUUAAUUCCUUCUCUGGUUGUUGUUUGGGUUCUGUAUUGUUCUUUUGUACCAAUAUACUUGGAUUUACUGUACUUUUCCUUUUAAGAUUUCACACUGUCAAGACGAAGGGGAAAAUUAAUUGUAGAUGAGAGUGAUGAAGAGAUAGAUUCAUACCCCAACUUGUUAAGACCUACUGACCCCCAACACCCUUGUAGCAGCGUAGGUCCCUCCUAUAAUAGGGAUACCCUUGAGUACCCCCGUCCAGAGACAAUUUUGCCUUCUUCUGAUUAUGAACCUACGGGGAACCAUGGUGGACAGGCAUCAGGUUCUGGUGAGAAUCACGGUUCUGAGAGGGUUAGGGUCCCUGAGCAAGAAGGUGAUGACGAGGAGAGUAGUUCUGAGCCGAGCCAACCUUCUAAGAAAAGAAACCUUGGUCAUAAGAUGGAGGCGGAUUCUUACCCCAUCGACUACCUCAAGUGUGCCACCACCCAUACCGACCUGCUCAAGCUGAGAAGUCUUUAUAAUAUCAUUGAGGAUGUCCUCCUCGCCAUCCUCGGGAAAGGUGAUGUUCAUAGUCGGCCUCCUAAGGGUUAUGUGACUCUGCAUCUGGAUAGCUUCAACCUAGGGGCUCGGUUGCCUCUUCAACCUUAUUUUGCCAGGAUACUUGGUGGCAUGCAUCUGGCUCCUGGUCAGCUACACCCAAACGGGUGGAGGGUUCUUUCGACCCUAUUUAUAUUGUGCGAAAGGUGCGAGCUCAGGGAGCCUUCCCUCGUGGAAGUAAACUAUUUGUAUCAGUUGAGGAGCAGUCCUAAAGAAGUAGGCUGGUAUUACUUCAUGUCGAGCUCUGCAAAGAGGAAACCAUUCGUCGGCUGUCAUUUCUCAUGUAAAAAUUAGAAAAACAAGUUCUUCUUUGCUGGGGGGAAUUGGUGCCCAGCGAUCCAUUCGCUUGGUGGUGAUAUUCACCUUCCAACGUGAUUUGUCACCCCAGGUCGUUUAUUUUUCUUUAUGCUUCACGUCCCUGGUCGUCACUUAAUUGUUUCUUUAACCUUGCCUAUGUUUUCAGACUCGUGGGGCCUUAUCAAACAACUCGAAGACGUCCCGCUACUCAAGGUCGAAACCGCUCUAGUGAACGCCUCCCACUGUCAAGAUCUCUUGUCACCAACAAAUCUCCUCGGAUCCGGUCUUGUGGACGUUGUUGCCGGGAUGCACAACAAGAUCCUUAGUGCCAUGUCAAGGAAGUGUGCUCGAGGGUCAGGUGAUUCCAGAAACGCCCCUACUCCUCAGAAGAAAAAUAGUGUUGGCCCUUCCAAAACUCUUGUUCCUGCUCUGCCCCCUCCUCCACCUCAAAAGAAUGACGGAGAGAAGUUUUGUGACAAGAGCCCUGAGGUCAGCACUCAAUCCAGAGAUCGGGCUUUGCCGCUUCCACCUCGGGACUAGAGCGAUUAUUUAUCCCUGUACCAGAGGGAUUAUGUCAAAUCAGUGGGGCCCAAAAUGGUUAAAGACAUUAAGAGCAUGAGUCUUGGCGAGCUGGGGGGCUCUGUCCAGAGGGUCUCUUUUAAGCUUACCAUUUUGGUUUCCUACUACAAGAACAGGUCUAUGCACCAUGAGAGGAAGCUUCAAGCGGAGAAUCAGGACCUGAAGAAAGAGGCUGAAUCCGCUGAUCGGUCGAAGGAAACGAUGCUCGAUCUGCAUAUGCAGGUUCUGGACCUGGAGGAGAAGGUUUCUAUUGCUGAGUCCAAGUCUUCUAAGCUCGAGACCGAGUUUGGUAACUUGAAGUCUGAUCUCGAGGCUACACAAAACGAGCGAGACACUUUGAGGACGGCCUACGAGGAGCAAGUCAAGCCCUUAAACGAGCAGAUAGUUGAGCUGAAAGGUAAAUCUGCCGAUGUGGACGACCGACUAGAUGCAGAGUAUGAUUGUGGGCUCGCCUUUUGCUAUAAGUGCAUCAUGUUCGUGCUCAAGAAAGAAUAGCCAGAGCUAAAUAUGAGCAAGCUGGAGGCAGGAGUGCAAGAGUACAUGGCAGAGUAAGGCCAGGGGAGUAAGGACCAGAGGGACUAGGAUCAGGUCAAGGCUCCUUCCAGUGGGGAGCAGGAGAAUGAGGCAGGAGACUCAUCUUUGGGUGCAGGUCAGGAGUCAGCACCUGCUCCUCCAGAAGUUGCUGGUCCCUCUCUGUCUGAGAUUGCAGAUCCUUCUUCCGCUGAAGCUGCCGAGCCUCAUAAUCCAUGAAUUUUGCUCUUCAUGUAAAUCAUAAAUUUUCUUUUUUAUUUAUGACUAUCAGAACUUUUAUAAACUUGUAGCAUUUUUCUCAUUGUUUUUUGUUAAAUUUUUCUUUGUGGAUUACCUUGGAAAGCAAUUUUGGAAACUGGGUUUGCUUGUCCUUAGGCUAUUCUGUGCUUUAGAAAACGUGGUAGAUAUUGUCUGCUCGUCCCUAAGCGACGAAGUUGGGAUAGGCACAUAUUUGCCUUAACAAAUUUUAUAUGAUUUGCCUGCUGGUCCUUCAGACGACCGAGCAGGAAUAUGCAUAUAUUUUGCCUUAGCUAAUUUUAUAAAAUAUGCCUGCUGGUCUUUUAUGUGACCGAGCAGGAAUAGACACUCUUAUGCCUUAGCGAAUUUUGUAAAAUAUGCCUGCUGGUCCUUUAGGCGGCUGAGCAGGAGUAGGCACUCUUUUGCCUUAGCGAAUUUUAUAAAAUAUACUUGUUGGUCCUUUAGGCGGCUGAGCAGGAGUAGGCACUCUUUUGCCUUAGCGAAUUUUGUAAAAUAUGCCUGCUGGUCCUUUAGGUGAUCGAGCAGAAGCAGACACUCUUUUGCUUUAGCAAAUUUUAUAAAAUAUGCAUGCUGGUCCUUUAGGCGACUGAGCAGGAGUAGGCACAUGUUUGCCUUUACGAAUUUUGUAGAAUUUGCCUGCUGGUCCUUUAUUCAACCAAGCAGGAAUAAGCACAUGGUUGCCUUAGUAAAAUUUUGUAGAGUUUGUCUGCUGGUCCAUUAGACGAUCGAGCAGGAAUAGACACAUGGUUGCCUUAGUAAAUUUUUUCUAACAAGAGAGUUAUGAGCUGAAUUCAUCUCUAUUGAAUUUUUUGUGGAUUACAACAGGCAAAAUACAUGCGCGUGCCAUAAUUCCAUAAUACAUUUAGCAGAAAUAACUUAGCAAAAGGAAACUUGAUAAAGUACUUUGCUUACUAGAAAUAUUUCUUCAAGUGCUCAGCGUUCCAUGACUUCUUUAUAUCUCGUCCAUCUGGAUAAGCCAGCUUAUAGGCUCCUGGGCCAGUUGUUCGUACCACUUUGUAUGGGCCUUCCCAGUUCGGGCCAAGGACGUCUUGGUUAGGAUCUCUGGUGUUCUGGUUUACCUUUCUAAGCACCCAAUCCCCAGCUCGAAAUUGCCUUACGCGUGCAUUUUGGUUGUAGUAGCGCAUGACCCUUUGCUGACACUGAGCUACCUUCUGCGAGGCUUCCUCUCUUUUCUCCUCUAGCAGAUCUGGGCUUAUACACAUCUGCUCGGCAUUCUGUUCCUCGUUGAAAUACUCUGUCCGAUGCAUUCCCACCCCAAUUUCCGCUGGGAUUAUUGCCAUAUGACCGAAAGUUAAGGCAAACGGGGUUUCCCCCAUGGCGGUUUUGUGGGUUGUCCGGUAGGCCCAUAAUACUCCUGGUAAUUCGUCAACCCAAGCUCCCUUCUUCUCUCCCAGCUUGGUUUUCAGGAGCUUCCUUAUAACUUUGUUGGCUGCCUCUACCUGCCCAUUUACCUGGGGAUGUGCCGGGGUACAAAACUUCAAAUCUACGCCCAAGUUUUGGCAAAACUCUCUAAAAUUGUGGUUGUCAAAUUGCCUCACAUUAUCUAUUAUGAUGGCAUAGGGAAUUUUGUAUCUGCAAAUGAUGUUCUUCCAAACAAAACCAGUUGUCUUCUUCUCCGUGAUUUGACUAAGGGCUUCCACUUCCACCCAUUUUGUGAAAUAAUCUAUAGCCACAAUUGUAUGUGUCGCAGCUCCUCGGCAUUUAGGCAAUGGACCAAUCAGGUCAAUCCCCCACUAGGCAAAAGGCCAAGGGGAUGACAUAGCAGUUAAUUUCUCUAGGGGCUGAGCAGGGAUAUCUAAGAAACUUUGGCAGGCUUUACAACUUUUGGUCAUCUCCUUCGCAUCCUGGUGCAUAGUCGGCCAAAAAUAUCCCUGUCGUAGCACUUUGAACGCUAAAGUCCUUACUCCCGAAUAAUUGCCGCAUAUUCCCUCAUGUAUUUCUCUUAACACAUAAUCAGCUUCCUCGACGUCUAAGCAUCUCAACAGGGGCAAGGUGAACCCUCGGCGGUAAAGCACCCCAUCAAGCAUCGUAUACCUUGCUGCUCGACAUUUCAAUUUCCUUGCUUGCUUUCUAUCCUCUGGUAAAAUGCCGUCACGGAUGUACAAGAGAAUUGGAUCCAUCCAGGACCUUUCGGUGUCCACCUUAAUUACUUCUAUUUCCUUCCCUAUGCUUGGCGAAGUCCUUACUUAUAAUGGGACUGUCUUGGGCAACUUCGGAUUGGCAGUCGCUGCCAUUCUGGCCUACAUAUCUGCUCGGUAAUUUUCUGUCCUAACUAUCUGCUUUACUUCUACCUCUCGGAAGAGCUCAAUCAUCUGCUUUGCCUUCUUCAAAUAAAUCUCUAUCUUCUCUCCCCUUGCUUGAAAUUGCUGAUUGAGCUGAUUGCAGACCAGCUGGGAAUCUGCUUGGAUUUGCACCCUUUCCUCUUGUAGUGCGUGUGUCAACCCGAGCCCUGUGACGAAGGCUUCGUAUUCUGCCUGAUUAUUCGUGAGCUGAAAUUCAAACUUCACUGCGUAUGACACCUCGGCCCCUUCUGGGCUUCAUAUUACCCAUCUUUGUCGGCGUAAUGAUCUUUCUGUUGAAGAUUAUAUCAUUCAUUUCCGCACUCAGUGUCUUUGUCUCCAAACUCGCAUUUUGCUCCGUUUUAUUCAAUCCACUGUUCUUCCUAGAUCAGGACAUUUGGAUGAGGUUUCCCACAUGGACGUUGCUUUGAUUGAUUGUAUUCUUAGACGUCGUCCGGUUAACUUGGGCUAUACCAUCAUCCAAACCAUGUUGACCAUACCUGCCUUGAUUACCCGCUCCCUUCCAUAUGGUCACUUCAUUACCCGAAUCCUUAAAUAUUUUGAUGUACCGAUCCAAGAACCGUCAUGUAGACCGUCUAAGGGUAUCGGGGAUGACACUAUAUUUGGCUUAGGCUUUGAGUGGAAAAAUGACACUUGGGUCAAAUUUACUGAAAACAAUUUUACCUUUCUUGCUCCAAGUGAUGAUCGGCCACUUAAUGCUGUGGUUCCAGCCGAUCAGCUACCCGUUUUCUCACACUCAUUUCGGGGGCAACAUAGACGCCGAGAUCCUCCGGUGAUUGCUUCAACUCCUGGUGCCUCUGCAUCCGCUUCAUCACUUCCACAGCCUCCUACCUCUGAAGAGGUUACUCUUCAGCAGCUUAUGGAUGAGGUGAGGACACUCUCUAUGCGGCAGAUUGAGUUUCAGCGGCAGCAGCAUCAGUUCAUUCAUGGACAGCGCCUCAUCUUUGAGCACUUCAGCAUUCCAUAUCCUUAUCCUCCUCCAUCACCACCAUCCUCACCACCUCAGUAGUCUCUUAUGCUUUUAUUUGAACACACCUACAUAUCAUUUACUGCUUUAUGUCCUUUUAUUUUUGACUAUAUGGAUGGUUAUUAUGCUUUUGGAUUAUGUAUUUUUUUUUUUGAUGAUAUGGAUUUGUUUUGAUUGUUAGUUAUGGAUUAUAUGGAUUUCCUUAUGAUUAUGGAUAUUUUUGAACUAAUGUGCUUGUAUUGAGACUUUGAUGAUUAAUAGGGGGAGCUUUUAUUCUUUUUUAUGAUGAAGGGGGAGAAUAAUCUAAUAUGUGUUAUAAAAAUAUGCAUGUAUACAGGGGGAGUAUGCAUGUAUACAGGGGGAGUCUUUUAAAUAAUUUUUAAAUCAGUUUUUUAACCUUGCAUUGAUUAAGGGGGAGCUUUUCAUAAUUAGAUUAAAUUUUUAUAAUGUGUUUUGCCAUCAUAAAAAAUGGAGAGAUUGUUAGCCUAUAUGGCUAUAGAUAUUGAUUUUAAUGAUAACAAACCACAUGUGUUGAUUAAAUAAAGAUUUAUGAAUUGUGCUUUUAUAAUAAGAAAAUGAUGUUAUGGAAUUAAAGUAUUUUGGACUAAAAUGAAAGUAUUUUAAAACCUUUGAUAUUGUUUUAAAAUUUCAGAUUUGGACCUAUUUAAAAAUAUUUAAAUAUUUUGGGUCAUUCUAUAAUUUCACAUAGUUUGGGUGAAAUUAUAAUUUUAGAAAGUUUUGGGAUUGACAAAGCAUUAUUUAGAAAUUCUGAAAUUGGACCUAUUUGAAAGCUUUCAUAAUGUUUUGGGUCAUAAAUACAGUUUUAUAAAGUUUUGGGGUCAAACUAUAAUUUUGGAAAAUAUUUCACUGUAGCAGUUACUGUAUCAAGUGGCUAACUAGAUAAGGUAAGCGGCAAUCCAGAUUUUGGGCAGUAAGCUUUUGGAGCAUAAACGGCUAUUCGGAUAUCGUAAGCGGCAUGCCGGAUGUUUUGAAAUUUAAAUUUUUGUUGUAACGGUAACAUAAAAGCAGCUAAUCGGAUUCCGAAAGCGGCAAGCCGGUUAUCAUUAAAAAACACAUAACGGCUAGUUUUUGGGCUCAAACUAUAUAAACUCAAAUCCAAUUCACUUUCAUUCUCUCUAGCAAGCAGAAUAAAAAGCACACAACAUAUCUUGAGCUCUCAAUUCGCAAGUCAUUAUUCAUUGAAUCAUUGUUGUUCUUCAAUUUGUACAUCUACUCUUCAAGAGAGUUUUUGUUGUAACUUUCGUUUCUUCAUCUUAAUUGUGAGUGUUUGAGUGUGUGAGACACUUGAGUGAAGAGAUUGAGAGAUAAUCUCUUUGUUGUAAAGGUUCAUUGACACCUUGAAGUCAAUUGUAAACAUUUAAAGCCUUGAAAGGCUUGGAUAGUGAAAUCCUCAAGCUUGAAUCGCUUAGAGGCGUGGACGUAGGCGGGGAUUGCCGAACCACGUAAAAAUUUGUGUGUUUGUUUCUUUUCUCUCUUACUCAUUUGUUAUUGUGCUUUUAUUGAACUUAUUGCUUUCGGAUUUAUUAAGGCGUUAGAUUGGAUUGUUGUGUGGCUUUGUUAGGAUAAUUUUUAAAAUACCAAUUCACCCCCUCUCAGGUUGCACACUUGUAUUUCACAAUUUACCUAGCAACAUAGAGGACCCAAGAAGCGAAGGUAAAGAGGACCGCAAAAUGAUUAACUUAAGAUCUUGAAAGAAUAUUCAUAGUCCAGUUGGUGUACCAAAAAGAAGAGUUGAGUCCACUUUAAUCUGGAAAGAAACUCAAAUUAAAGAAGAACCACAAUCCUCCACUUCACAACAAAACAACCAAGCUACAACAUCUGUAGAAAAUGAUGAUCCAACACCAGUGGAUAGUAUUGCUACAGCACCAACCUAGAACAUGGUAAAAGAAAAGUAGUCUGCACAGACUGCUGUAGCAUAACAAUUUAGGCACCCACCACCAUUUCCUCAAAGGUUCCAGAGACAGUAACAAGAGAAGAAUUAUAGUAAAAUCUUGGGAAUAUUGAAACAACUACAUAUAGAUAUCCCUUUUAUGGAAGCUCUAGAGCAAAUGCCAAAUUAUGUGAAAUUUUUUAAGGACAUUUUGACAAAUAAAAGAAAACUUGGAGAAUUUGAAACAGUUGCUCUAACACAAGAGUGCAGUCGUAUGCUUCAGAAUAAGAUACCGCAGAAGAUGAAAGAUCCAGGAAGCUUCACAAUCUCAUCUUCCAUUGGCACUAAAUACAGUGGCAAAGCACUCUAUAAUCUGGGGCUAGCAUCAGUCUCAUGCCUUUAUAAGUUUUUAAGUAAUUGAGAGUUGGUGAAUGUAGAUCAACAACAGUGGCUUUACAACUUGCUGACAGAUCUCAUGCCUAUUUAGAAGGGAAGAUUGAAGAUGUAUUGGUAAAGGUGGAUAAAUUUAUUUUCCCAGUGGAUUUCAUAAUGUUAGACUUUGAGGCAGAUAAGGAAGUACCAAUCAUUUUACAUAGACCUUUUUUAGCCACGAGAAAGACUCUAAUUGAUGUUCAAAAAGGAGAAUUAACCAUAAGGGUGAAUGACCAACAAGUUACAUUCAAUGUGUUAGACGCUAUAAGGAAUCCUGAUGAGGUUGUAGAUUGUAAUUUUGUCAGUGCUGUGGAUUUUGUUGUAGUAGAGAGAUUAAACAGUUACUGCAGCAAAGAAGAAAUCAAGGGUGAAGCAUUUGAAAAACUUGAAUAUGAAUAUCAAGACCUUGAAACAGCUGACAUAGAAUUCAAGGUGAAAAGCUAGGUGAAAAGCAACCCUUUAUAAUUGACGAGCAAAUCCAACAAAAGGAAUUCCCUCCAGGCCAACAAGAAUUCAAGGUUAAUGGGCCGAGAGUGAAGCACUAUAUGGGACCUAAUAUGAACAGCCUAAAGAAGGAUAAGUUUUUUAAGAAUCUAUGUUGAGUAAGUAAGAAAGGUCAGGUUGAAUAACCUAAAAUCAAGCGCUAAUUGGGAGGCAACCCAAUAAGGGAAGUUGUUUCAAGUUUUUAAAGCAUUAAAUUUAGUUUUAAAAUUAUUUAUUUUUUCUUUUUGGUAUUUUAAGUGUGCAUCUAAUUUUUUUAUGUCUUUGUGUUAAAUUGCAGCAAAGUAGAUAUGUGUGUGUGUGUGUGUCUGUUUGUGUGUGUGGGGGGGGGGGGGGGGUAAAAAGAGCAGAAUGAAAUUGUUGUAGCAUCACUUAUAGCAUGACAUAUAACAGAAGAUUCUCAAAUAACAGAGGCAUUUAUUGCUUUUGUAGUAGGAACAGAUUGAUCAGAUUUUAUGAUAAAGAGCGUUUGAAAAGUGGAUCAAAGAGGAAGUGACCCUUUACAGCUUGUGCUACAGCAUUGCUUCCAACAACAAGAGAGUAACCCCUAGUAGCCAGUUUAUUUUAUUUAUUUUUCAUUUAGUUUUAUUUUAUUAUUCAUUCUUCAUUUCUUUUUAUUAUGCAUGUAUGAUUUGUUUUGUUUUGUUUUUGUGUGGUGAUUUGUUUUGUUUUGUUUUUGUGUGGUGAUUUGUUUUGUUUUGUUUUUGUGUGGUGAUUUGUUUUGUUUUGUUUUUGUGUGGUUGUGAGGAUACAACACCUCUCAAGUUUGGAGGAGGGGGGGCUGUGUUAUGGUGUAUUAUGUUUGUGAAUGCAUGUGUUCUUGUUGUGUAUUAUGUGAAUCUCUGUUAUCUAGUAUUUGUGCAUGGAUUGGAAAACCUAAUGAAGAUAAAUUGAGUGUUAUUCAAUAAUUAUAAUUGCCAAGUAAUGAUAGUUUAUAGAUGGAAGUUGAAAUUCUAUCCCAACACUUAAGCUUUGGUUGAGUUUUAUGAGAAUGUUGUAACAGAGCCAGGAAAACCAAAAAAGGGUAGAAAAUGCCUCAAGUUUGGGUGAAAUUUUUUUGUUGAACUGUGCUUGUUAUGAAAUAAAUUCUGCUCCAAUGACUUAAGUUGCUGAGUAACAAGGGCUGAGUACGCACCCUAUAUGCAGACUUGAAUCCAAAGGCAACAAGAGCUAUGAGCAUUGCUGUAACAACAAGAAAAAAAAGGGGUCAUCUAUCUAGGAUAUUGAAUAGCUAGGUUUAUUCAUGAGCCCCAUGUUCAGCCUUGAGUUAAAGAUGUUUAUAGACAAGACCAUGUUGUGAGCAUUGCUGCAGCAACUCUGAUAUGUGCAUUGGUUGAGUAAUUGGGUGUCAUCACCACAAGUGAUAGAUAUUUACAUUAAAAAUAAAUGAUACAUUGAAGAGAAUUCAAUUGAUUGACUGACAAAAAAUUUUUUUUGCUAUAACACAGUUUGAACUUGUUUAUGAUUUCAGCCCCCCACAUGUGAAUGUACUUAUGCUUUACCUUUGAGUUAUAUAAUGUUUGUGCAAUGCUGCAAUGCCUCUGAAAUUCAAUCAGGGUGACAAAUACACACUUUGGACAGAAUGAGGCCUAAGUCUAGAACUGAUCUGCUAUGAAAAUUUUGCAUGAGUAAGAGUAUGAUUUGAGAGUUUAAGAAUCCUUGCAAAUUUGAUGACAGAGCUAAGUAAGUUAGUUGUUGUAUGAUUUUCAGAUUGAAAUGUUAGUGUUGUUGUCAUUACUUGAGGAACAAGCAAUGGUUUAAGUUUAGGGGUGUAAUAACUCUAUGGAAUGAGAGUUAUCAUGGUACUUUUAGACUUGAAUCAACAAUACUUAGAGGGUAAAUGAUAUGUUUUUAUUGCAUUUUAGUUAUAUUUUGCAUAAAUAUCCAUUUUAGUUUAGUCUCAAUAAAUUUUGUUUGAUUUAGAAUUUUUUUUUUUGCUUAGAUCGUAUGCAUAAUUGUAUGUAACCGGAAGCUCAAAUUUCAAGGAAGGAAUGCUAAGCAAUAGGCUUACAAAAAUAAGGAAAGAACUUGGCUACAGAAGAAUUGAAACAAGUCUAGAAUAGUGCAGGUGCUGAAGCCAUUGUUGUAGCACUGUUGUUGUCGCAUCGUUACUAUAAUAAUUUUGGAGCAUUGAGAGAGAAGAUUUUACGUGAGAUACUUAGAAGAUUGCGAUCUGGAGUUUCCUAAAAUGAAAUAUGCGUGCCCUACACUUCUGGUUGCCCUAAUUAUAAGCUAUAAAAGAAGCACACACGCAAAUAAAAGAGGAGGGCCAUCACCCAAGGAGAAAAAUAGUAAAGAAACAAAAGAAAAACAAAAUUCAAGAGAGAGAUCAAGGGCUGCACCAGAGGAAAAAACGCAGAGAUCCAUUGAAAAUCAGUCAUUCUUGUUCUUUUCUUGUUUUCUAUUUAUUCAUGAGGAUUUAUCUGAUGGGUAAAACUCUUUUAAAUACUUUUCUUUUACAAAUCAUGAACUGAAUUUGAUUGUGGCUGAAUGAUAAACGAUCUUAAUGAAUGUUUGACUGAUACAUGCGUGUUGCUCAGUGUUUGCUACAACAGUUUGUCUUAAUUGUAUUUAUUUUAGUUCUCUAUUUCCACUUAUCACCCAUUUAGUGGAUACUAACUAAGAAGGAUCCUAAAAAAGGUCUGACUUAGUGGAACAAAUUAAGCAAUACUUGGUUUUAGAUUGGGUUUCUCAAGUUAAGUUAAUCUUAAUUUGAAUAGGGCCAUACUUGAUCUAAGAUUAAUGAAAAAACUAGAUAUAGAGAUUCACCUUAUAGGGUAAUUAAAACCUAAAACGCAUAAUGUUAUAUCUAAUGUUAGCAUAACAACUUAUCACUGUUAAUUUGCAUAUAGAUAUAAGAUAUCCAAUAGGCGAUAGUUGAGGAUGCAUGGGGGAUUUUGCCUAGUGUUGUAGUAAAUGUUGUAUCAACAAGUUCUUAAUUAGAAAAAUAGUCAAAACCACUAAGUGAGUUUAAUCACUCAAAUAGAGCAGUCGGCCCAGCAACAAUAGUUAUUUUAGAAAUAUGGCCACGUGAUGGUGUUCGGAGUUGUAGAUAUUUUUGUUAGGAUAUUUUAGAUUGUAUAAUUUUGUUAUAAUUUGUGAUUAAGUAUAACCUAUUCUAUUUUGACAUUCGAAUGCUCGGAUCAUAACUGGUAUUUUGAUUAGGGAAGUUGAAUGUGGAGGUUGGUUGUGUAUUGAACUAUUUUAAGAGUGUUUGUUUUAUAAAUUGUAGGUUGGAAAUAUUACAUCCAUAGGGCAGAGAUACAGCAUAAUACUUAUUAAAUGGAAUAUUGUCAAUUAUGUUAUAAAAUAUCAAGUACAUUUGGCUCGUGUGGUUUGGGGCGAGUUGUUUCAUAAUUAAUAUCAAUAUCACUUUACAUUAAUAGAUAUUGCAUGAUUUUGACAUUAUUAAUUUAUAAAGGCUUUCUAAUUCCUACACAUCCAUUUUAGUUCAAAUUAAGAUGUUUAGAAUUUAAUUAAGAAAUUGAAAAAAUGUCAAAGAGCUCAGUUUCAUCAAGCUUGUAAUGGCAAACACUAAAUGCAUGCUACCUCAGAUGCUUCAUUUUCUCUUUCCCUAGGCUUACAAGAGAAAAUUGUUUGAUCGAGAAGUUACUAUACCUACACAUGCCCUGGAGGGAAUGUUAAUGAUUUUGAUCAUCAGUUGUUUCUUUUAUCUUUUAUCAAUGCUUUUGUGAUAAUGAUUAAUUGUAGUGAAAUUGAAACUGUGUUUUAAUAAAAGAAGAAAUUAAUCUACUAUGAGUACCUAAUGCUUUGUCAUGUGUUUUUACUGUGCUUUGUUUUAUACGGAUCGUUGAAUCAAUCUAUGAGAGAAAUUUAUUGAAACGCUAAUAAUGAUCAAGCGAUCAUAAUUAAUAUUUGUAACAUAUGUAAUAUUUAAAUUUUAAGUCUAUUUUCUUUUAGGCUGAGGCUAUUUGGAUCCUUUUUUAUUGUAAUCUAAUUUUUUUUAAAUCUUAUAUUCCUAAACUACCUGAUUCAAUUUAUGGGUAAAUUCAAUUUAUGCCCCGAGAAUCUUCAAUUUACCACAAAAAAUGUGAAAAAAUCAAUUCACCCCCAUUUACUACUACGAAAAUAAAUAAAAGAUCAUCAACUUGCCCCCCAUUUAAGUUAUCUUUUGAACAAAAAUUAGUGUAGAUUGAGGUUCUCAUGCUCUUAUAGGGUAGACUAAAGAUUGUUAUUAGGAGGGGGAUGAAUUAAAGUUUACUUCAGUUAAUAUAAGAAAACUUCUCAUAUUAUUUCUAACACAAAUUUGCCAUGUUUAUAUGCCCACAUCAAUUCAAUUGGUAACUCAUGUUGAACGAAUGGAUUGAUUAGAUAAAUAAUCAUAGGAUCUUAGCUAAUCCUGUAUUCUGCAUACCUUACUAAAUUAUUUCGUAAGAAAUUUUGUAAUUGUAUUUUUUUGUAAUUUGAAAUAGCUAAUUACAAGAACUAACUCAAUACUUCAAUCUUUAAUAAAUCAAGAUCGAUUUGGAAUCAAGAUUGAUGAAAAACCGAGUAAAGAACAGAAAAAGAAUUGGAUUACAAAGAACAAGUUACUAGAUUUAAAGAAAAAAUGAACACUUUUUCAUUAAUCAAAACUGAGUACAAACAGAUCACAUCUGAAGAGUUACAAGAAUCACGUGUAAAGAAGAAUUAUUCUAAUUGAAGAAAAAAUCAGUGAGAGAAGGCUUAUAUAUCAUAUGCUACAAGCCAUCAUCUCGUUUCUGGAACAUUUGUAGAAACCACGUAACAAAGUUUAACAACCCAGGCCAUGUCAGUAGAAAUUUUCAAAAGCACCCUUCAACUGAGUGCAAUAUACACAAUGACCCAUAAAACUCUCAUUCGAUUUCACUUUAGUCCCCAAAAUCAGUUAACCACAUCUCCACACUCUCCACCUUGCAAAUCUAAUUCAAUUGAUUGCACAUCAUGAAAGGUGCUUCAAAAAACCUUCAAAUACUGUGGUCCACUCAUGAAUUCAGUUUGGUUUAGGCAGGAUGCCCACCACGUUCACACAGAACUCAAACUUAGUUGUUGGAAGAACUUUAGUAAGCAUGUUCGCUGGGUUUACAUCUAUAUGAAUCUUAAAUAUCACCAUAGUCCCUUUUGCAACUUCAUCUCUAAUGAAUUGUAGCUUCACAUCUAUAUGCUUAGUCCUCUCAUGAUACAUUUGAUUCUUAACCUACUGUUAGCACUUUGAAUAUCACAGAAAAUUUGAACUGAUUUUUUAUUUAACCAAAGCUCAUUGAGGAUACUUUUAAGCCACAUGGACUCUUUGGUUACUUAUGUGGCUGCUACAAACUUAGCUUAUAUAGAAGAUAGAGCUACUACAGACUUUAAAGAUGAUUUCCAACUAAUCAUACAGUUGUUCAGCAUGAACAAAUAUCUAGUGGUUGACUUCUUUCUGUCGAAGUGUCUACCAAAGUCAGAGCCUACAUACCCCACCAUUUCACUCACAGCUUAACUUGAUCUUCCAAACAGUAAGACAUGGUUUGAGGUACCCCUGAGAUACCUCAAUAUCCAUUUGACAACAUCUCAAUGGAUCUUACUUGGAAAGCUUAAGAUUUACUGACUAUACCCACUAAAUAAGUUAUAUCAGGUCUGGUACACACAAUUGCAUAUAUAAGGCUCCCCAUAGCCGGUGUAUAUGGUAUUUCUUCCAUCCAAAACUUAUCUUUGACAACAUCUGAUGCUUGAGACACAGACAACUUGAACUGAGAGCCAAGAGAAGUCAGAACAGGUUUGCACUAUUGCAUAUUAAACCUAUCUAACACCUUUAUUAACAUACAUCUCUUAACUCAAGAAAAGAACACUAGCAGCUUUAUUCCUUGUGAUCUCCAUCCCAAGAAUCGUUUUGGCAUUGGCAAUAUCAUUCAUCUCAAAUUUAUGGUUCAUCAGUUUCUUAAGCUUUUCAAUCUUAGUUUGGUGUCUGCUUGCAAUCAAUAUAUCGUCUAUAUAAAAAAGCAAAUAUAUCACUCUGCCUUAAUCUGAGCCACCAUAGUAAACAAAGCUAACAUACUUGCUCUUGUGGUAACCAUUAGUUACUAUGAACUCAUCAAAUCUCUUGUACCACUCUCUAGAAAAUUGUUUUAGUCCAUAUAGUGAUUUAUGUAGCAAGUAAACAUGAUUUUCUUUCCCUAUCUUUGCAAAACCUUCAGGCUGAGUCAUCAAAAUCUGCUCUUUAAGCUUCCCAUUUAGGAAAGCAGUUUUAACAUCCAUUUGCUUAAGCUCUAUACAAGAAAUGUUGCCAUAGUUAAAAGAAUUAUGAUAGAGCUAUGUUUUACAAUAGGGGAGAAGAUUUCCUUGAAAUCUACACUCUUUCUCUAAGUCUUACCUUGAAUUUUGAAGGUUCAACUCUAAGGAUGCCAUUCUUUUUCUUAAAGAUCCACUUACAGUUAACCAGCUUCUUGUCACUUGGAUUUGGAACAAGUGUCCACAUCUGAUUUCUCUAUAAAGAAUCCAUCUCUUUUCUCAUUGCCUUAAUCCAUUUGUCACAGUUCUCACUUUCAAUGGCCUUAGAAUAGCUAAAAGGCUCCUCAAUUGACAUAUCUUCUGCACUCAUCAGUGCAUAGGCAAUCAAAUCUGUAGAACCAUACCUCACAGGUGCCCUGGUUUGCCUUCUACUUAUGUCCCUAGCUAGUUGAUAGCUCUGUAGGUUAAUUUGUUGUGUUUCUUGUGUUUCAACAGCUUUAGUUUCAUCAAAUGGACCAGUUUCAGCAUUUGAUGUAUCCAUUUUCUUAUCCUUAGCUCCAAGAAACUCCACCUUAAACUUAGAGGACUUAGUUGGUUUAUUCGCAUCUCCUUCAACAUGCAUAUCAUCUUCUAUUAUUUCCUUUCUAGCCUUAACCAUAGCUGCUUAAUUGAAAAUAACAUUUCUACUGAUAAUGCAUUUUCCAUGUUGUUCACACCAUAUUCUAUAUCCUUUGACACCAUCAGCAUAGCCAACAAAAAAUCCUUUCAAGGCUAUUGGUUCAAGCUUGCCUUGAUUUACAUGUGCAUAAGCAGGACAACCAAAGAUUCUGAAUUGUCAUAUUUUACAGACCUCCCUGACCACAUUUCCUCAGGUGUUUUGAAACCAAUGGCUGAUGAAGGACUCUUGUGUGACUAGAUAACAAGCUGUACUCAUAGCCUCUGCCUAGAAACUUCUUGGAAUUUUGGAAUUAAUCAACAUAUACCUGGUUAUAUCAACAAGGGUCUUAUUCAAUCUUUCUGCUAAACCAAUUUAUUGAGGAGUUAAUCUAAUAGUUUUAUGCCUUAAAAUUCUAUGCUUCUUAUGGUAGUCUUCAAACUCAUUGUUGCAGAACUCUAGGCCAUUAUCAAUUCUUUAGGCCUUCAAUUUCCUUCCACUUUUAUUUUCCACCAAUGUUUUUCAAACCUUAAAUUUCUUUAAGGCUUGAUCUUUGGAUUUCAGAAUAUAAAGCCACACCUUUCUUGAGCAAUCAUCAAUAAGGUCAUAAAAUAUCUACCCUUGAUAAAGAUGGCACUUGAGCUAUGCCCACAAAUCAGAUUGAAUAAAUUUUAAGACACACUUAGAUCUAUAUGCCCCUUUUGGAAACUUGGCUCUGUGUGCCUUCCCAAAGACACAAUUCUCACAAAACUCAAGACUACUUAUCUUGUCAGACUCUACUGUCAUUACAGCACUUGCAAGAAUGAAAAAACCAACUAACACACACAACCUGUUCCUCUUUUCACCUUUCAUCAUAAUAGAAUCCCUUUUAGUCGCUCUAUGCCACCAUUAUCAGACUUAAAUGAAUAUUCAAAGCUAUCUAACAUGCCUAAAGAGAUUAAAUUUCUCUUUAAUCCACGGGCAUGUCUUACACCAUGUAAAGUUUUAAAGACCCCAUCCAACAUCUUUAUCUUAAUAGAUCUUAUUUCAAUAAUUUUGCACUUAUUAUUGUUUACUAUAAGAACUCUACCACCAUCAAUAGACACUUAUUGGGCAAAUGUAAAAUGAACAGCCAGAAUUUAAUACCCACUGAUCUUCUAAGUUUGCCUUUUGAUGAUAUUAACAUAUCAACACUGUGAUAGCCAUAAUCUGAAGAGUCAUUUAAAGCCACAACUGCAUCUCUUGAUUUUUCUUGAUGCUCCCUUUUCUUUUACUCUGCAUAGUCUCUGAUAUAAUGACCUUCUUUGUGAUAGCAAAAACACUUCUUUUUCUUUUUUCUUCUUACCGGCUUCUUGGCUCUUUCCUUUGCCCUUUUCUUGAUUCUUAUUCUUAUGUUCUUUUUUCUUUCUAGUUCUGGCAAUCAGCCCUUCUCCAUUACUGAUUUAAUGCCCAUUAUUUCUCUGAAUCUCCUUUGAGCUCAAUGAUGCCUUAACAUCUUCUAAAGUUAAUGUUGCUCUUUUAUCUAACAUUGUAUCUACAAAACCUUCAUAGGAUUGUAGCAGUGAACUGAGCAAGAAAAAUGCUUUAUUUUCAUCUCUAAUUUUCACAUUUUCAAACCCUUUAAGAUUAAGGAUGAUCUUAUUGAAAAUAUCAAUGUGUUCUUGGAUUAACACACCUUCUUUUAUUGAAAAAUAUAAAGUUUUUUCUUCAAUAAAAGCUUGUAAACCAAAGACUUCUUCAUGCAUAGUGCCUCCACCUUAUUCCAUAUCCUUAGAUCAAUUUUUCUUCAAAGAUUUCCCUUAAGAUUGAGCCACUAAGACUCAAAAUCAAGGAAAUAUGAGCUAUGUUCUGGAUGUGCUACUUCUUUUCAUCAGGCAUGGAACUUGUAGCUCUAUUAAGAUCUUUGUUACCCAGAGUAGACUCAAGGCCCUGAUAAAUGAGCAGAGGCCUUAUCUUUGUCUUCCAGAUCUUUGGCUUUAGAAGUGACAUACCCAAGAAUUACCAAAGCAUUCAUACCACUUGUUGUAAUUUCUAGUGGCUAAUUACAAGAACUAAUUCAAUACUUCAAUCUUUAAUCAAUCAAGAUCGAUUUGAAAUCAAGAUUGAUAAAGAAUAGAGUAAAGAAAAGAAAAUAGAAUUAGAUUGCCAAGAAUAAACUACCAGAUGAGAAGGAAAAAUUCACAUUGUUUCAUUAAUCAAAACUAAGUACAAACAAAUCACAUCUGAAGAGGAGAUUACAAUAAUCACGUGUAAAGAAGAAUUAUACUAAUUGGAGAAUAAAUGAAUUAUAUAUCAGUUGACUUGUUAUCCACUUGCCACUAAUUUUCUAUUCAAUCCACACAGUAGCCAGAAUCCCCCAACUUGCUCAAAAGACUUAAUUCAUUACCUCAAGUCCUUUUGGCCACCUAGAUUGAGAAUUUUUUUAUUCUUUUUUUGAUACUUCCUAUCUAAUAAGAGCAUGUCAUUACGAACUUGUAUUUGUUUGAUUCAUAACAUCUCAAGAGCAUUACAAUAGAAAAAAAAAAAGAGUAACUAGAACUAACAACAUUGAUUAAACUUCCUACUUGUUAUUCUUAGUGGUAACUACAUCUAGAUCUUGAAUGUACAAAAGCCAACAUCAUGGAGCCCAUAUUUUGCAUCAUUAAAUGAUUAGUCUAAUUGUCACCUCUGCUUUCACUAUUGUCAUUAAAAAUUUAUCUUAUCAUACUAGCUGCAUAAAAAUUAACAAAUUAACAUAUUAUCAUUUUUAAGUCAUCAAUCAAGUAUAAAUAUUAUAUUAUUUAGUUAUAUAACAAAAAUAAAGAAAGAACUAAAUUUCAAAUAUAUAUAUUGAAUUAAAGCCAAACUAGCCAUCCAAAUAAAUAAAAGAAUACAUAUUUGCAUUUAGAAACAACUACUUUAAACCAAUAUCUUUAUUUUCAUGUGAUGAAAUUAAAAUUCUAGUUACAAUUACAUGUGACUUCUGUGAAGUUGUCUAGCCAAUAAAUUGUCCAUUUGCUUAUAUAAAAAAAAUUUUCAUCUUGAAUGCAAUUUGUGAAUCAACAAUGACAACAUGGCAACUAAUUCAAGAAAGACUUCCGUAUGUUUAAUAGGUGAGGCAAAUAUGGGCCCAAAUAAUAGCAAAAAUUUUGUUAUAUGAAUUGGGGCAAACUUCAAUUCAUCCCCUUGCCAAUAAAAAUCUUCAAUUUACCUUUCAAAAACAUGAAAAUCUCGACUUACCUCAAAUUUUGUUUAGAAGAUGAACGUAAUAAUGAUCGUUAUUAGUAUUUCAAUAGAUUACUCUGUCGUAGAUUAAGUCAACGAUAAAUAUACAACAAAAUAGCAUCAAAUGCAUGCAUAAAANNNNNNNNNNNNNNNNNNNNNNNNNNNNNNNNNNNNNNNNNNNNNNNNNNNNNNNNNNNNNNNNNNNNNNNNNNNNNNNNNNNNNNNNNNNNNNNNNNNNNNNNNNNNNNNNNNNNNNNNNNNNNNNNNNNNNNNNNNNNNNNNNNNNNNNNNNNNNNNNNNNNNNNNNNNNNNNNNNNNNNNNNNNNNNNNNNNNNNNNNNNNNNNNNNNNNNNNNNNNNNNNNNNNNNNNNNNNNNNNNNNNNNNNNNNNNNNNNNNNNNNNNNNNNNNNNNNNNNNNNNNNNNNNNNNNNNNNNNNNNNNNNNNNNNNNNNNNNNNNNNNNNNNNNNNNNNNNNNNNNNNNNNNNNNUCGUCAGACCGUGGAAUAUUAAAGUACUGAACCGAUGGUUACGAUGAAUCUAUUAUUAUUUGUUUUUCUUCAAAUCCAAACAUAGUGGGGUCUCAUAUUUGAUAUUACUUAUUCUUGCUGAAUUCACAACUACAGGAUUCUAUUUUUUUUUUGUUAAUUGUAAUCUAUAUUUAGGGGAUUAAUUAACUUUGAAUUGCCUAGAUUGGUAAAAUACUAUGAAUUAUCUAGUUGAUUAAAUAUAUGUUCACUGAAUUGUAUAUGCACUCUAUGAAUUAAUAGAUUAUUAACUAAUAGAUUAAUUUAUAUUAGUAUCCCUUUAUAUUAAUAGAUAUUAUAUGAUUCUAACAUUAUUAAUUUAUAGAGGCUUUAUUGUAUAUCCAUGCAAAUAUCUAGCAAUGUAUUGCGCCAUUUGCCUACCUAAAAUAUAGGUUGUGGUUAAUUUCAUUCGAGGACGUCAUUUCUAGAAAUAUUUUUACAUAUUAAAAAUAAUAGCCUAAUGAUUGAUAUAAAGAGAAAAUAAUUAAUAAUAAACUAAACAAAAUGAUAAGAAAAAAAUGAUAAAAUUAAUUAAAUAUAUGUUGAAAUCACCUUCAUAAUGCAACAAGAAAUUAAAAUCAACAGUUUAUUAAAACCAACGCAGCAUAAGUUAUUUAAGCUUCAUUUUAAAUAUCUCUUUAUAUUAAUAGAUAUUGCAUGAUUUUGACAUUAUUAAUUUAUAAAGGCUUUAUUAUAUAUCCACAGAAAUAUCUAGCAUUACAUUGCGCCAACUGCUUGUCUAAAAUAUAGGAUGUGGAUAAAUUCAUUGGAGGAUGUCAUUUAUAGAAAUAUUUUUAUCAAUUAAAAAGAGCAGCCUGACGAUUGAUAUAAAGAGAAAAAAAUCUAAUAAUAAACUAAACAAAAUAAUAAGACAAAAAAUGAUAAAAUUAAUUAAAUACAUGUUGAAAUUACCUUCAUAAUGCAUCAAGAUAUUAAAAUCAAUAGUUUAUUCAAACAAAAGUAGUGUAAUUUAUUAAAGCUUCAUUUUGGAUUCUUUUCAAUUACAUUAAGGUCACUACAACACAUUUCUCAAUAUUCCUUUAUAUAAAUAGAGACUCAUGCCUUUCUAAUUAUGACACAUCCAUUUUAAUUCAAAUUAAGCUGUUUAGAAUUCAAUUAAGAAAUUGAAAAAAUGUCAAAGAGCUCAGUUUCAUCAUGCUUGUAAUGGCAAACACUAAAUGCAUGCUAGCCUAGGUGCUUCAUUUUCUAUUUCCCUAGGCUUACAAGCGAAAAUUAUUUGUUCGAGAAGUUACUAUACCUACACACGCCCCGAGGGGAAUGUAAAUGAUUUUGAUAAUCAGUUGUUUCUUUUAUCUUUUAUUAGUGCUUUUACGAUAAUGAUUAAUCGUAGUGAAAUUAAAACUAUGUUUUAAUAAAAGAAGAAAUUAAUCCGUUAUGAGUGCUUAAUGUUUUGUCAUGUGCUUUUUUUGUGUGUGUUUUUGGUUUGCUUUGUUUUAUACGUAUCAUUGAAUCAAUCUAGGAGAGAAAAAUUAGUUGAAACACUAAUAUUGAUCAAGCGAUCAUAAUUACAAUGUUAGUACCGUACGUAAUAUUCAAAUUUUAAAUCUAUUUUCUUUUAGGGUGAGGCUAUAUAGAUCCUAUUUUUAUCAAAAUUUAAUUUUUUCUAAAUCUUAUAUUACUAACCUAUCUGAUUUAACUUAUGUGUAAAUUCAACUUAUGUAUAGAGAACCUUCAAUUUACCACAAAAAAUGAGAAAAAACCAAUUCACCCCCAUUUACUACUACGAAAAUAAAUAAAAGAUCAUCAACUUGCCCCCUAUUUAAGCUCAUUUUUUGAAAAAAAAAAUUAGUGUAAAUUGAGGUUUUCAUGCUCUUAGAGGGUAAAUUGAAGAUUGUUAUUAGGAGGGGGAUGAAUUAAAGUUUACCUCAAUCAAUAUAAGAAAACUUUUCAUAUUAUUUCUGACACAUUUGUCGUGUUGAUAUGCCCACAUCAAUUCAAUUGGUAACUCAUGUUGAAUGAACGUCUUGAUUAGAUAAAUUAUCAUCGGAUGUUAGGCAAUCUUGUAUUCUACAUGCCUUACUAACUUAUUUCUUAAGAAUUUUUGUAAUUGUGUUUGUUGUAAUUUGUAAUGGGUAAUUACAAGAACUAACUCAAUACUUCAACCUUUAAUCAAUCAAGAUCGAUUUGGAAUCAAAAUUGAUAAAGAACAGAGAAAAGAAUAGAAAACUUAUGCUGUGUUUACUAAAUUGGAAUCGGAAUCAGCUGGAAUCAGAAUGGGCAGGAAUGAGAAUAAGCUGAAAUGGGAAUAUGGAAUGAGAAUCAGAAUAAGUUGUUUACUUAAACUGUAGGAAUCGAAAUCGGAGUGAGCUGGAUUGCCAUAAAUGUGUUAACUUUGUCUUGGAAUCGAAAUCGAAAUGAGUUAGAUUGUAACAAAUUACUAAAAAAUACUUAAUGAAUUAUUGUCAUAAUUAUUAUUUUAUAUUUGAAUUAUAGUGAUUAUUUAUUCAAAAAAUAUUAUUAUUAUUAAUUAUUGUCAAUAAUAUAUUGAUAUAUUAAUUAAUUAUAAAAAUUAUUAAUUAUAUUAAUAAUUAUUAUAAAAUAUAUUAAUUAAUAAUAUUAAUAUUACUUAUUUAAUUAUAAUAAUAUAUUAAUUAUUGUGAUUAUUUAUUCAAAAACUAUAAUUAUGUUAAUAAUGUAUUAAUAUAUUAAUUAAUAGUAAUAAAUAUAUAAAUUAAUUAAUAAUAUAAUAAUAUAUGAAUCAAUUAUAAUAAUUAUAUUUAUUAUAUUAUUAUUAAUUAUAGUUUUUAUAUUAAUUAAUAGUAAUAAUUAUUUCAAUUAAUUAAUGAUAAUAUAUGAAUUAAUUAUAAUAACUAUAUUAAUAAUUAUUAUAAUAGUAUAGUAAUUAAUUAUUUAUAAUAAUAAUAUAUUAAUUAUUGUGAUUAUUUAUUAAAAAAUUCAAUUAUUAAUAAUUCUUGUUAAUAAUGUAUCAAUAUACUAAUUAACUGUAAUAUACUAAUUAAUUAAUUAUAAUAAUAUAUUAAUUAAUUAUAUAUUUGGCUUUUUUAUUUUUUAUAUUUAUAUUUUUUAUUUAAAGGAGGGGCAUUUUAGGAAAAUUUGAAUGUCAAUGAAGGCAAAAUGGGAACUCUGAGGAAUAAGAGAUUGAUUCUCACCUCCCCCCCAUAGGAAUCAAUCUCCCAUUCCCAAAUAGUAGUGGGCCUGUUGUGCAAAUUUUAUUGAAAUCGCAAGUGCACGAAUUUAUUGUAGAAUAGAUUAAUAGUGACGAGUGUCGAUCCCACGAGGAGGUGGAUUUUAAUUAUAUGUAGAAUUAAUUUUGUAUGAGGGUGGUUGAAUUUGUGGUGAAAGUGACUUAGAUUAUCCUAAAAUUGAAAUUGAAAUUACGAGAAUAAAUUGAAGAGAAAUCUAUUGAAAUGACGUACUUGGGUAUCUGGAUUCGUAUCAACAUGCACCAUGGGCUAAAUAUUCAUUAUUAAUGUCAAUUAAAUCAUGAGAUGGAAAUCCACACCUCAUGAACCACACUCUAAUCAAUAUGGUGCUAAGGGCUUAUCGUGCCAAAUAAUAAUAACCUUGUACUAGGGAGCCGGUGAAACCAGGGCGGUAUCUAGACAAGAUUAUUAUUAUUUGUCGACGAGAAGUCAAAACAUCCACAAAAACUAAAGGGGAAUAGAAAAUAAAUUUACCAAAUAAAGCCCAUGACACAUGUUGAGACUUCACCUUCAACCCAAGCUUGAAAGAAAAUUAGCUACUCAUAAUUGAACUAGGGGCAAAAUGGAAAUUUAUUAAAAUACGUAGAAAAUACAAGAUAGAGAAGGAAUUACAGAAAAUGGAGUCCAAAAAUGGAUUUAGAGAUAUCAAAUUAGGGGGGAGAACCCCCUUUUUAUAGAUACAUUGAGUAAAUCAUGGCCAUCGGAUCAAAAACAUUUUGGACGCUCAGGAUUGUGCCACGUCAUCAGUCAACAAUAUGCAGUUUGAACAGUAACACGGUUUGACUCGGCUUGAACAGUGACACGGUUUGGUUGAAAAUAAUACUGUGUAAUGCAUGUACCGUACACGAGAUUUUUGGUCCACUGAUAUGCUGCCACGUCAUCGAUCAACAGUACAUAAGAAUUUUAGUCCAAUAGGAUCGUGACACCUCAUCAGUCAAUGCCACAUCAUUGGUUAAUGCCACAUCAUCGGUCAAUGCCACGUCAUCGUUCCGUCUAUGUGAACAGUGUCAUGAACAGUAACGUAGACAGAACCGUACAUGUAAAUAGUACCGUACAUAUGAACAAUGUCAUUUUUCCUUUUAUGCUCCUCCUAAGGUUUUCGCCCGUCCUAAGUUCAGAAGUGAUGUCCUUUUUGCCGUCUGAUCUCUCGUUUAUUGUGAAAUGACUAUGAUGCCCCUAAAAUACAUAAAAUACUUAAUUAAAAUAAAACACACAUAAUUAAAUUACAAGAAGCUUAAAUACAUAAAAGUAAGGGUUGUUAGUAAGACUUGAAAUGUAAAAUGAUGAUUUUCUCCUUUAUAAAAAUACAUUUUCUAACACUCAACACACCCCCCAACUAGCUUAUUGGUAGUCCCUAGCAAAUAAAGCGAAAACAAAAUUCAAACCCAAAAAAUAUAUUUAUAUAUAUAUAUAUAUAUUUUUAAACAACUUUGUUUAUUCAAUCAGACUAAUGAUAACAAUCAAAUAAAAGUAUAAGCAUUAUCUCCAGUCUACAGAAACAUCACACCCACAUCAACCAUCCACAUGAAUCAGCCCAGUAGACUUUGUCACAGCUACUUUCAAGAAUGACAUGUUAAACCCCAAAAUCUCACUGGAAAUAGUGACACUCUCACAAAGAAAUUAAACCCAAUAAAAAUAGUCACUCCAAUGAAUGGUAAUUGAGAGAAAAUAAUAAAGAAAUGAUAUCACAUGCUCUCACCAAGAUGAAAGAAAUAUGCCCCCAGCUUAGAAAUAAUACGAUCUCAAGUCAAAUAAAAAUUCUAGUCAACCCAAUUUAUUUAUUUAUUUUUUUAUGCACCACUACAUCUUUUUAGCCCAUAUAACUAGCUUCUACUUCAAACUAUAGUUCCCUAAAAUCAAAAAGGACUUUUAUUAGGACGUAACGUAGGUUAUGGACAUGGCUAACAAAAGAGGGAAAAAUAAGGAAAACAAAGUGUAUGUUUGAGAAAAAUGUAGAGAAUUUUUUUUUUUGGAAGUUGCAAGGUGGAUUUCACCUAUUAUUGUUCUUUUUUUAAACAACAAUUUUUUUUUUGCUUUUUUGCUUUUGUUUGACAUAACUUCACUGAACAAAAUAAUUAUUUACAUUUUUCUCAAACAUAAAUAGAUGAUGAAACUUGUAAGAUAUUGGGUAAUACUCCAAAUCGGAGUAGGUCAAGAUGAUAAGUUUGACAAAGAAAUUUUUUUUUUUUAAAGGCUCAAAAGGGUUAACUAUGAAUAUUUCAUAAAAGGGAUGGCUAGAAAGGCUCAAAUGGAUCAAAGAUGACCUUUCCAUCGUCUUUUAGGGCUCUAAAUAAUCUUCCAUAUCUACUAGUUAGAUGGGCCUCCAAAUGUAGUAACACACAAUUUUUUCUUCUUUUUUUUUAAUUUUACAAUUUUUUUUAAGGGUUGACUCAAAAGAAAUCUAGAGAUCGUGUAUAAAAUAAUAAACUGCUAAGCUGUAUAAAGAAUGGGCAAAAGGGUUACUCUCCAAGAAAAAUGAUAGGCUCAAAAACUCACUUGGUACUUAUUAUGACAUGUUCAUUCCUUCGAGCAACUCAUAUUUAUCUCCGACAUCAACAUGUAGAGUAGCAAACAUAGCGUAACAUCACUUAAGACCAAAGAUAAUACAAAUACUAAAAUUUAAAAUUCAUCAUGUCAUCCAAUGUUAAAACAAAUCACACAAUUUUGUUUUUGUUUUUUUUUUGUUUUUUAAACACAUUCUACCCCCCAACCUAUUCUAAGCAUAAAAGGAAAAUAUGCAUGCAGAAAUGUGAAAAUGAUGUAGAAAAACUAAUUAGAAAAAUUACACUUAAAAUGAUAGAAAAAGAAAAUAAUUUUUUUUUGUUUAAAGAAGAUACGUUUCUAGAGGCACUACACUCUAUAUUCCGCCAUCUUCGACUCAAAAAUUAAAAAAUGUAUAUUUAUAAAGGAGAAAUUAAAAAGAGGAAGAACAAUGAAUAUCAAAGCUUAAUAAAGAAAAAGAAAAUGUCUUGAUUUUUUUUUUUUUUUUAAAAAAAAAAAUUUUUCAAACGAUGAAGAUGCAUUUCUAGAGUCAUUACACUCCAUAUUCAGCCAUCUUUAACACAAAAAGUAAGCAACAGUUAGUUUCUACAACAAAAAAUCAGUAAAAACUUAACCAAGAUUCCACAAUUGUCGACUAUCCCCUCCCCCCAACCAGAACGAAACAGUGUCCUCAAUGUUUGAAAGGAAAGAAGCAGAGUUUAGAAGACAUCACCUGGAUGGUGUAACACAGAAGAAAAUAUUUACAAGCGGAGAGUUAAAUCUAAUUUGUACUUCUUGCUGCGGCUACUAUUACCAUCAUUAUUUGGACGCUCCAACAUAAAGGUCCAGGGGUCAGUCUCCGGUCUAUAAGCUUGUAACAGAUCAAGUAGCUCAUUAGUAGUGUGAGCACAAAUAAAAAGUUUUUUCGCAUUGGAAGGAAUGAAAUAGUUUUUUAUUGCAUGGUUAAGAAAUGCGAUGAAGCCAUCAUAAAAGUUUUUUACAUUUAACAAACCGAUGGGUUUCUGGUGAAUGUGCAGAUGGGCCCAAGAUGCUAGUGUGAUAAGUGCCUCUAGUGUUGCAAGAUCUCCUAGAAGGAAAAUAAAAGCAUCAGCAUGAUUAAGUAUUUUAGUUAUUCUUUCUUGCAUAUAUGAGACGGCUAACUCUUCUCCAGUCGGUGUAUCAGACAAACUGCCCAAAGGUUUUAGGGCUCUUGGGAUGAUUCCUAACACUUGACUUCCUCUAAAAAAAGCAGCUUCUGAGACCAAUUUUGAUAACCCUCGGUUACCUCCUCCAUACACCAAGUGUAGUUUUCUCUCUGCUAUGCUUCAACCAAGAUCUAUUGCUACCUCAACGAACUCUUUAUGUUUGCCAUAGUUAAAUCCAGAAAGCAUACAAAUGUUCUUGAAUUGUCUAUUGGGAGUAGCUGCCAUUGGAAUAUUUCUCAAAAACAAUUUGUGAGUGCUUAACAAAAAGUCAUAUUUAAGAAUCUUGGUGACAGUGGGUCACAACUGUGUAUGAGGUGGCAUGUCAGUGUCAAAUAACGCGUAAAGCACAUGGCUCACGAGUCAAAAAGAAAACAGUAAAAAGAAAAAGAAACAAUGAUAAAAUAAAAUUAUUAAAGACAAUAAUGCAAAUGAUAAAACAACAAUGAAAUAAAAUAACAGUGAAGUAAAAGGAUAUUUACAAGUAGUUGCGACUGUGGCUCACAUCUUCCUCUGGUUUUAUGUCCAGAAACGGCUUGAACGCUCUCUAUGGGCCGAGGAUAGGCUUCCCAUCCAGUUUUCUUAUAAACUAGCAAACAGGGUCGUUUAUAGUCAGAUUCCCCAGACUAUAUCGUGCAUGCUCUUUCUGGAAUAAUGGCCAUAACUGGAGAAUCACUCCUUACACAUAUCCACUGGGAUGCGUUUCAAGAGACAAAAGGAUAUCAUCCAAUGACUCCUUAUUCAAGCCAUCCCUAAUGAAUUGAAUCUUAUCUUCCCUGUUAUUAGACACCAUUCCUAAAUAACAUGGGUUUUUAUUGUAUCUCAUUCUGGCACAUUUAUGACAAGCAAUAGAAAUUCUUCGAGCUCUUCGUUUUCUUGCAUAAUUUUCUAUACCACAACCAAGCAUGUAUGCAAUAAAUUUUGGAGGUAACUCACCUGCCAAUCGUACUUUAGCUUCGAUUAACCAGCGGAUAUCAGCAGGUAUGUUAUUCCUCAUGAGCAAUCGCAUGCGUUCGGACCGAGCUUUAUAGAUUGUAAGGAGGGCAUUCUGAGGAAGUCAAGGGAAUCGAUUGUGAAGCUUUGCUAAAAUCUCGUUUCUAUCCAUACCUUCGCCUCAGAAUAUCAGUUAUUAUGGGAAACUGAAGUAACCGACUUGAUUGUCACGGAGUACUGUUAUCCGCCACUUCACCGGGGUAACAAACUAAAGCACACAAAUAGAAAAACAAAUUAAAACACACAAAGAAUAUUAAAAUCGUCCUCUUAUUGAAUUUACCUCAAGCUCCAACUGGAUGUUGUAGACACUUCUCUCAAUGUCUCUGAGUUGGCUUUCUAAAUCCUCAACAUAGGCUACUAACUCUAAUGGUUGCAGGAUCGUGACACCUCAUCAGUCAAUGCCACAUCAUCGGUCAAUGCCACAUCAUCGUUCCAUCUAUGUGAACAAUAUCGUGAACAGUAACGUAGAAAGUAUCGUACAUGUGAACAGUGCCAUUUUUCCUUUUAUGCUCCUCCUAAGGUUUUCGACCGUCCUAAGUUCAAAAGUGAUGCCCUUUUUGCCGUCUAAUCUCUCGUUUAUUGUGAAAUGACUAUGAUGCCCCUAAAAUACAUAAAAUACUUAAUUAAAAUAAAACACACAUAAUUAAAUUACAAGAAGCUUAAAUACAUAAAAGUAUGGGUUGUUAGUAAGACUUGAAAUGUAAAAUGACAAUUUUCUCCUUUAUAAAAAUACAUUUUCUAACACUCAACAGGCCCCACAAUUUCGAUUCCUAUUCCUGCUCCAUUUUUGCGAAGUAAACGCCAUCAAUCAUUCCGAUUCGAUUCCCCAAUCUCGGAAGUAAACACACCAUUAAUUAAUUACCUAAAGCCUUUUUGGUCACUCGGUUUGAGAAUUUAUUUCUUCUUUUUAUGAUGCUUCCUAUGUAAUAAGAGCGUGUGAUUAGGAACUUGUAUUUAUUUAAUUUAUAACAUCUCAAGAGCAUUACAAUAAAAAGACAGAAAAAGAAAAGUUGAAACUAACAACAUUGAUUAAAAUUCCUACUUGUUAUUCUUAGUGGUAACCACAUUUAGGUCUUGAAUUUGCAGGAGCCAACAUCAUGAAGCCCAUAUUUUGCACCAUUAAAUGAUUAAUCUUAUUGUUAUCUCUGCUUUCACUAUUGUCUUAUCAAAAGUUUUUUCUUAUCAUACUAGCUGCAUAAAAAUUAACAUAUUAUCAUUUUUAAGUCGUCAAUCAAGUAUAAAUAUUAUAUUAUUUAGUUAUAUAAUAAAAAUAAAGAAAUGUCUAAAAUUAAAAGACAUAUCUUAAAUUAAAGCUGAACUAUCCAUUGUAAAUAAAUAAAAGAAUACAUAUUUGCAUUUAGAAACUACUGCUUUAAACCAUUUUGUAAUUACCAAAACUUUUUCUUAAAUAAAAUAAAAUAACAUAAAAUAAAAGAAAUUAAAAGUCAAUAUUUUUAUUUUCAAGUGAUAAAAUUAAAAUUUUGGUUAUAAUUACAUAAGGCAAAAGAAAGGUGGUGCAAUGAUAAUUUCAAGUGAUUAAAUUGAAAUUAAUUAUAUUCAAGUGAUGAAUAUGUUAGAACUUUGUGGUGGUUGGAUGAAUAUAAGGCAAAAGAAAGGUGGUGCAAUAAUAAUUUCCCUUUUUCUUUUUAUGGUGCUUCUUAUCUAAUAAGUGCGUGAAUUAGAGCUUGUAUUUACGUAAUCAUAGCAUCCAAAGGCAUUACAGAAGAGAGACAAAGCAAGAAAAGUUGAAUACUAACUAUUUGAUGAAGAUUCCUGGUACUAAUUAAUCCUACAUGUUAUUCUUCGUGAUAACCAUAUAUGGGUCUUGAAUUUAUAGGAGUCAACAACACUAGACACGCGCACAAAAAACACAUCACAAAAUAUUGCAUACUCAUAAUGGAUUAAUUUCUUAUUUUACUAAAACACAGUUUUAAUUCCAUUACAGUUGAUCAUUAUUGUAAAAGCACUCAUAGAAGAUAAAAGAAAUAACUUAUUAUGAAAUUCAUUUGCAUCCCCUGCAGAACAAGGGUAGAUAUAGUCUUUAAGAGCCUUUUUUAACUUCUCGAUCAAAUACUCUUCCCUUGUAAACCCUGAGCAAUAAAUAAGGUCAGGUGUGCUGCAGGAGUGAAGGAAAAUGAAGCAUUUGGAUUAGAUUCUUAGUUAGUGCGACAUGCUGAAAUAGGUGUGCCUUUAGUGUUUCCUACUACAAGCAGAGCUAAGAUGAUGAAACUAAAAAUCUUCGACAUUUUUAAGUUUCAUCAACAUGCUGGCUGGCGACAAGUUUACCUCCAAGUCCCCCAACACGGUGACCAAAUUAAAGGAGCAUUAGUUAUUGGCUCAUUGGACUUGUUAUCUGCUUGCUGCUACUUUUCUAUUCAACCCACAAGUAGGCUUGAAUCCCCCAACUUGCUCAAAAGACUUAAUUCAUUGCCUCAAGUCUUUUUGGCCACCCGGUUUGAGAAUUUGUUUCUUCUAUUAAUGAUGCUUCCUAUCUAAUAAGAGCGUGUGAUUAGGAACUUGUGUUUGUUUAAUUCAUAACAUCUCAAGAGCAUUACAACAGAAAGACAAGAAAAGAAAAGCUGAAAUUGAUUAAAAUUCCUACUUGUUAUUCUUAGUGGUAACCACAUCUAGGUCUUGAAUUUGCAUGAGCCAACAUCAUGAAGCCCAUAUUUUGCAUCAUUAAAUGAUUAAUCUUAUUGUUAUCUCUGCUUUCACUAUUGUCUCAUCAAAAAAAAUUUCUUAUCAUAUUAGCUGCAUAAAAAUUAACAAAUUAACAUAUUAUCAUUUUUAAGCCAUUAAUCAAGUAUAAAUAUUAUAUUAUUUAGUUAUAUAACAAAAAUAAAGAAAUAACUAAAUUUUAAAAACAUUUAUUGAAUUAAAGCCAAAGUAGCCAUCCAAAUAAAUAAAAGAAUACAUAUUUGCAUUUAGAAACAACUACUUUAAAUCAUUUUGUAAUUACCAAAAACUUUUUCUUCAAUGAAAUAAAAUAACAUAAAAUAAAAGAAAUUAAAAAGGCAAUAUCCUUAUUUUCAUAUGAUGAAAUUAAAAUUCUAGUUACAAUUACAUGUGACUUCUGUUGUGUUGCCUAGCCAAUAAAUUGUCCAUUUCCUUAUAUAAAUUUUUUUUCAUCUUGAAUGCAAUUUGCGAAUCAGCAAUGACAACAUGGCAACUAAUUAGAGAAAGAACUCCAUAUGUUUAGUAGAUGAGGCAAAUACGAGCCUGAAUAAUAUGAAAAAUUUUGUUAUAUUAAUUGGGAAAAAUUUCAAUUCAUCCCUUUGCCAAUAGAAAUCUACAAUUUACCCUUCAAAAACACGAAAACCUCAACUUACCUCAAUUUUUGUUCAGAAGGAUGAACGUAAUAAUGAUCGUUAUUAGUAUUUCAACAUAUUACUCUGUUGUAGAUUGAGUCAAUGAUAAGUAUACAACAAAAUAGUGUUGGAUGCAUGCAUAAAAAACACAUGGCAUAAUAGCACAUACUCAUAAUGGAUUAAUUUCUUCUUUUAUUAAGACAGUUUCAAUAUCACUACAAUUGAUCAUUAUUGUAAAAAGCACUCAUAAAUGAUAAAAUAAAUAACUGAUUACACAAUUUUUUUGCAUCCCCCUGGGGGACAAGGGUAGAUAUAAUCUUCGAGAGCUUUCUUUAACUCCGUAAUCAAACAUUCUUCCCUCGUAAGCCCUGAGCAAUCAACAAUGUCGGGUGAUGUUGUAGGAUUAAUGGAAAACGAAGCAUCUAGGUAAGAUCCUUGACCAUUAUGACUUGUUGAAAUAAGUGUGCCUUCAGUGUUUGCCACUACAAGCAAAGCUAAGAUGAUGAAACUAAAACUCUUCGACAUAUUUCUGUUUCUUAGGUCAACUGUAAGCAACUUAAUUAGAAAUAAAAGAGAUCUACAACAAUUAGAAAUGCAUGAGCCUCCAUUUAUAUGAAUGAAUAUUGAGAAAUCAGUUGUAGUGACAUUAAUGGGAUUGAAAGAUUCCAUAACUAAGGAUUAAAUAAAUUAUGUUGUUUGUUUAAAUUAACUAUUGACUUUAAUAUCACGUUCCAUUAUGAAGGCAAUUUUAACGUACAUUAAAAUAAUUUUAUCAUUUUUAGUGUUAUUAUUUUGUUCAGUUUAUUAUUAGAUUCAUUCUCUUCAUAUCAAUCGUCAAGCUAUUUUUUUCAUAUAUAAAGAUAUUUUUAUAAGCCAUGCCCUCCAAUGAAGUUAAAACCACAUCCUAUUUUAAACAAGCCAACGACACAAUACAAUGCUAUAUAUUUACAUGGAUAUACAAUAAAACUUAUAUAAGUUAAUAAUGACGAAAUCAUUUAACAUCUAUCAGUUUAAAAAGAUGUUGGUAUUAAUCAAUCAACAAGUUAUAUAAGAGAUUAUGUUUUACAAUUCUAUGGUCAUAUUCUUAUUAUAAAAUAAUAAUUUCCUAAGCUUACAAACAUAAUUGUUAUAAUAUGUUAUUAAAUAAAAUAUGACCCAACUAUUAUUUAUUUUUUUCUUCAAAUCUAAACAUAGUGGGAUCUUAUCUGUGAUUUUACUUAUUCUUGUUGAAUUCAAAACUAUAAGAAUUUUGAAUUUUUUUUUGUUAACUGUAAUCAAUACUUAGGGGAUUAAUUUAUUUUGAAUUGACUAGAUUGGUAAUGUACUAUUAAUUAUCUAGUUGAUUAAAUAUAGGUUCACUGAAUUGUAUAUACACUCUAUAAAUUAAUAGAUUAUUAACUUAUUGAUUAAUAUGCAACAUAUGCACUUUAAGUUUAUAAUUAAGUGUAUUAUUUUCCCCUUCAAUAUAAAAUUUUUCAAAGUUGUUGGAUUUAAAACAUAUUAUCACUGGUAAAAUUUUUGGGUGAGCCAAAUUUGACACGAUGAAUAAUAGAUGUUGGUUGUGAAAAUUGACACGAUGAAAUUUGGUUGUGAAAUUUUGGUUGUUAAAUGGAUCAUGUUUAGAAUAAUUUAAACGUGUCACGACAUGAAAUCGAGACAAUUCGAAAUGAUAUAAUUAUUUAAAAGAAGUUUAUUUUAAAAAAUUAUAUCCACCCACUAAGCUAAUUGAGUUUUAUACUCACUCUGUUUUUAUUAUAUUUUCCCCCCACAGGAGAAUUGUAGGUACAACAGUCGGCCCAGCAACGAUAGUUAUUUUAUAAAUAUGACCACGUGAUGGUGUUAGGAGUCAGAGAUAUUUUUGUUGGCAUAUUUUAGAUUGUAUAAUUUUGUUAUAAUUUGUGAUUAAGGACAACCUAUUGUAUUUUGACAUUAGAAUGCUCAGAUGAUAUCUAGUAUUUUGAUUGAGGAACUUGAAUGUGGAGGUUGGUUAUGUAUUGAACUAUUUUGGGAGUGUUUAUUUUAUAAAUUGUAGGUUGGAAAUAUUACAUCUAUUGGGGAGAUUCGGCAUAAUACUUAUUAAAUAGAGUAAUAUCAAUUAUGUUAUAGGAUAUCAGGUACAUUUGCCUCGUGUGGUUCAAGUCGGGUCGUUUCAUAAUUAAUAUCAAUGUCUCUUUAUAUUAAUAUAUAUCAUAUGAUAUUGAAAUUACUAAUUUAUAGAGGUUUUAUUGUAUAUCCAUGCAAAAAUCUAGCAUUACAUUGCACCAAUGGCUUGUCUAAAAUAUAGGAUGUUGUUAAUUUCAUUGGAAGACGUCAUUUAUAGAAAUAUCUUUAUCUAUUAAAAAGAAUAGCUUGACGAUGGAUAUAAAGAGAAAACAUCUAAUAAUAAACUAAACAAAAUAAUAAGACAAAAAUGGUAAAAUUAAUUAAAUAUAUAUUGAAAUUAACUUCAUAAUGCAUCACGAUAUUAAAAUCAAUAGUUUAUUCAAACAAACGCAGUGUAAUUUAUGUAAGCUUCAUUUUGGAUUCGUUUAAAUUACAUUAAGGUCACUACAACACAUUUCUUAAUAUCCCUUUAUAUAAAUAGAGGCUCAUGCCUUUCUAAUUCCUACACAUCCAUUUUAAUUCAAAUUAAGCUGUUUAGAAUUCAAUUAAGAAAUUGAAAAAAAUGUCAAAGAGCUUAGUUUCAUCAUGCUUGUAACCGCAAACACUAAAUGCAUGCUAGCCCAGAAGCUUCAUUUUUUGUUUCCCUAGGCUUACAAGCGAAAAUUAUCUUACCAAGAAGUUACUAUACCUACACAUUCCCAUGGGGCAAUGUAAAUGAUUUUGAUAAUCAGUUGUUUCUUUUAUCAGUGCUUUUGUGAUCAUGAUUAAAUAGUGAAAUUGAAACUAUAUUUCAAUCAAAGAAGAAAUCAAUCCACUCUGAGUACCGAAUGCUUUGUCAUGUGUUUUUUGUGUGUUUUUGGUGUGCUUCAUUUUAUGCAGAUCGUUGAAUCAAUCUAUGAGAGAGAAAUUUGUCGAAACGCUAAUAAUGAUUAAGCGAUCAUAAUUAAUGUUAGUAACGUACAUAAUCUUUAAAUUCUAAGUCUAUUUUGUUUUAGGGUGAGGCUAUAUGGAUCUUAUUUUAUCGUAAUCUAAUUUUUUUCCUAAAUCUUAAAUUACUAAACUAUCUUAUUUAAUUUUUGGGUAAAUUCAAUUUAUGCCUCGAGAACCUUCAAUUUACCACAAAAAAUGUGAAAAAAUCAAUUCACCCUCAUUUACUACUACAAAAAUAAAUAAAAGGUCAUCAACUUGCCCCCCAUUUAAGCUCAUUUUCUGAACAAAAAUUAGGGUAGGUUAAGGUUCUCUAUUCUUGGAGGGUAAACUGAAGAUUGUUAUUAAGAGGGGAUGAAUUAAAGUUACCUCAAUUAAUAUAACAAAACUUUUCAUAAUAUUCGUGACAUGUAUUUGUCGUGUUUAUAUGUCCACAUCAAUUCAAUUGGUAACUCAUGUUAAACGAAUGGAUUGAUUAGAUAAAUUAUCAUAGGAUCUUAGGCAAUCCUAUAUAUUCCACAUACCUUACUAACUUAUUUCUUAGGAAUUUGUGUAAUUGUAUUGUUGUUAUUAAAGAUGUUUAGUGAAUUGGCUACCUAAGCACGGCAUGAUACAAUUUGUGGCAGAUCUAAAUUCAAUGUGAAAAAAGCCUAUUUCAAAAUUUCUGACAUAAUCUUAAUUAUGUUACACAGCUAUGUCCUUUGAAAAAUCAAAAUUGAAACAACGUUAAAUCUAAUAGGUAUCAUGCUGAGCUUUAGAGCCUUGCAAGCUUCUUCAAGUUUAUUUAUCAGUCAAUUUGUCACUUAAUCAAUUAAGAAAGAGAAAAAAAAAAUCUGAGGCUCAUGGAUCUUGGCAUAGCAAUACUAUUUCUUACCAAAAAAAAAGUAGCAGCAGUAUUUGAUCCCACCUUCCAAUUAAUCCCAUUUGUUUUUAAAAUUACUCUUAUUUAAGUUUUUUUUCCUUUUCUCUCUCAUUACCUCGAUGACCACUGCCUAUCUUUAUUGCGAUCAAUUCAAUCCACAUUCAACUAGGCAAAUUUACAAGAGCUCCAAUAUAAUGAGAUUCUUCGGCAACGACUCACUCUUUGAAAAAAUAAAUAAAUAAUUGUAACAGAUUGUUACAUUAAUUUUCCUCCAAGUAUAUGCAUUUUAUCUUCUUACUAGCAACAAAUCAAUGAAGCACGUCAAAUGCAAUUACAUUAAUCUCUAUAUCAAUGUCAAAUAUCCAAUAUCAUCAAGUUGACAUUCUAAUAUAAGCAUUAUAUACUAAGUUCGAAUAUUACAAAACCAACUUUUUUUUAACGCGAAAUUUAACAUGAUCAAAAGAAACAAACAACAUUAGCGCUAAAGAUACUAAAUUUGCAGAAACCAUUUAUUAAAAAAGAAAUUGAUUGAUUACCCAUUCUAAAGGAGUAAAUAAGCAAACGUUUAUAUAAUUAUUUAUUAUAGCAUUGAAGAGAGGAUGUGCUGAUAUUGUCUUUGUUGUUCCUGGUCAAUUUCAUGGCCAUUGCUACUAUCAUAGGACUUGCCAAAAACAACAAACUAAGUGCUAGUGAGAGGAAAAUGAUACUUUUGUUAAUAAAUUAAAUUAAUUAAAAAGUGACGGCUGGAAAGAUACUUUGAAGAGGUCCAAUAUCACUACUUGAAAAAUACCACAUGAUCAGCCCUACGCAUUAAUUCAAUAUAAAACGACCAAGUCCAUGCCAACCUCAAUCAGUAUUCAAUCAUUUUCUUGAAUUAUCACAUUCUCUCUUAAUAUCAAUUUACAAGAAUAUUGAAAGAUUUUAGAUUAAGAUUCCUAUAAUAAUGAAAUAUGCAACCAUGGAAAGCAUUAUCUGACGUAAAUGCGGAAACAAAAAUGUUGUAACUCACAGGAGCAUUGAACCAAAUCUAAAAGCAUUAAUCAAAUUAUAAUAAAAGCUCAAGAUAUUAUGAGCAACGACAUUAAUUAAUGAAUGGUUUGACAGUUCUGUAUGUUUAGGGGAAAAACAGGCAAGGUAACAGAUUGCCACGUGUCAACGAACGGAAUAACUCCAGCAUAAUUCGAGGUACCCGACAUAAUUCGAGAUACCUCGCAUAACUCGAGAGUAACUCGAGGUACCCCGCAUAACUCAGGAGUAGCUCGAGGUACCCCACAUAGCUAGAGGUACCCCGUAUAAGUCGAGGUACCCGACAAAUCGGAUGCAGGAGAACCCUUUGAAAAAGUCCGCCAUGACAAAAAUCUCCACCUCUUAAAGUAUAAUAUUCGAUUUUGUCAUAAUUAAGUAUCAAAACGUCGUACCGAAAAGUGGUGACAACCACCUGCUACCUCUGCCAAAAGUGAAGGACAUUGUCCCAAAGACAGUGGUCCUCAGCUACCUAACCUGAUAGCCACUGCAGAGGUACCCUUGACCACUCUCCAGCGCGCGCCACGUUUCCAAAGGGUGAGAUACGCCGCGAACGCCUUCUUGAUUCUCAAGCAUGGACAUAACGGCCCAAAAUUCAUAAAAAGGGAAAAACACGUGAAAGGUCUGAAAAGGGACAACCAGUAGUCAUAAAAGAUACGCCACGUGGCAGCUGAGGUACCCCAUAUAUAAAGGUGUCCUAAUUUUAUUCUCCAUCAUGUUUCAUUCACUCAUGAACACUCACACUCCACAAAAUAAGCUUUCUUCAACCUUAAACCUUGAUUUACAGAGGGCUGAUAUUGAGUGUUAGAAAAUGCAUAUUUAUAAAGGAGAAAACCGUCAUUUGACAUUUCAAGUUUUACUAACAACCCUUACUUUUAUGUAUUUAACCUUCUUUUGAUUUAAUUCCGUGUGUUUUAUUUUAAUUAAGUAUUUUAUGUAUUUUAGGGGCAUUAUAGUCAUUUCACAAUAAAGGAGAGAUCAGACGGCAAAACGGACAUCACUUUUGAACUCAGGACGAUCGAAAACCUUAGGAGGAGCAUAAAAGGAAAAAUGACACUAUUCACAUGUACGGUACUAUUCACGUGUACGGUACUGUCUACGUUACUGUUCACGACACUGUUCACAUAUACGGAUCGAUGACGUGGCAUUGGCCGAUGAUGUGGCAUUGGCUGAUGAGGUGUCACGAUCCUGUUGGGCUAAAAUUCUUAUGUACUGUUGAUGGUGACGUGGCAGCAUAUCAGUGGACGAAAAAUCUCGCGUACGGUACAUGCAUCACACAGGAUUAUUUUCAACCAAACCGCAUUACUGUUCAUCCGGGUCAAACCGUGUUACUGUUCAUCCACGUGGUCAAACAGCGUACUGUUGACUGAUGACGUGGCGCAAUCCUGAGCGUCCAAACUGUUUUUAAUCCGAUGGCCAUGAUUUACUCCAUGUAUCUAUAAAAAGGGGGCCUCCCCCCCCUAAUUUGAUAUCUCUGAAUUCAUUUUUGGGAUCCAUUUUCUGUAAUUCCUUCUCCAUCUUGUAUUUUCUUCGUAUUUUAAUAAAUUCCCAUUUUGCCCCUAGUUCAAUUAUGAGUGGCUAAUUUUCUUUCAAGCUUGGGUUGAAGGUGAAGUCUCAACAUGUGUCAUGGGCUUUAUUUGGUAAAUUUAUUUUCUCUUCCCCUCUAGUUUUUGUGGAUGUUUUGACUUCUCGUCGACAAAUAAUAUUAAUCUUGUCUAGUACCGCCUUGGUUUCACCGGCCCUCUAGUACAAGGUUAUUAUUAUUUGGCACGAUAAGCCCUUAGCACCAUAUUGAUUAGAGUGUGGUUCAUGAGGUGUGGAUUCCCCCCUCAUGAUUUAAUUGGUAUUAAUAAGGAAUAUUUAGCCCAUGGUGCAUGUAGAUACGGAUCCAGAUACCCAAGUGCUUCAUUUCAAUAGAAUUAUCUUUAAUUUAUUCUCGCCAUUUUAAUUUAAGUUUUAGCAUAUUCCAAAUCAUUUCCACCACAAAUCCAACCACCCAUUUACAAAAUUAAUUCUAUACAUAAUUAAAAUCUACCUCCUCGUGGGAUCGACACUCGUCACCAUUAGUCUAUACUAUAAUAGAUUCGUGCGCUUGCGAAUACAUUAAAAUUUGCACAACAAGUUUUUGGCGCCGUUGCCGGGGAGGUAAGUAAUUUUUAGAAUUAAUUUUUGUGAAUAAUUUCUUUUAUUUUUUUCUUAUUUUUUUAUUAUUAAAAAAAGAAAAAAAAAAGUGAAUCUACAUUUAAAGGUUAGUAUUUCUUUCCUUUUUCUCUUCUUUAAAAUUCUGUAAUUUAAUUUUUAAUUUAUUUUUCUUUGUAAUUUUUUUUGUUUAUUUUAUUAAUUUAAUUUUUAGUUAAUUUAUUUCACGUAUUUAUUUCUGUGUAUUUUUAUAGAAAGGUUGUAAUAGCGCAAUAAGGUUAGUAUCGUAAUUUCUCACUCUUCUUUAUUUUUAUUUGUUUUGUUCCCAUUUUUAUUUUUAUUUUAUUUGUUUUGCAUGCAUGGUCGUAGGUCAUUAUUACCUAAUCUUUAACCUAUAGAUCUUGAAUUAGAGAAAACACUUCGCACACACAAACAAAUUAAAAAUAAAAUGGAUUUGCAACCACAGGAGAGGCCAUUUAAGAAUUAUUUCAGUCCCUUAGCUAAUUUGAGCACAUCAUGUAUAAGAUACCCAAAUGUAGCUGCUAGGAGUUUUGAAUUAAAACCUAGUGUGCUAAAUUGUCUCCCAACAUUCUAUGGCCUAGAAAAUGAGGACCCAUAUAAUCAUCUGAAUGAUUUUCAUGCCAUUUGUCAAACUUUUAAAUAUGAAAAUUUUUUAGACGAUGAUGUUAAACUCAGAUUAUUCCCAUUUUCUUUAAAGGAUAGAGCUCGUUCAUAGUUAAAUACUUUACCUGCUAAUAGCAUCUCAUCAUGGGAACAAAUGGUAACGAAAUUUUUGAAUAAAUAUUUCCCAGUGUAUAAAACCAAUGCUAUUCGCAGGGAAAUCUCAGAGUUUACUCAGAAAGAUGACGAGCAGUUUUUCGAAACGUGGGAGUAAUUCAAUGGACUACUCUUGAAGUGUCCACAUCAUGGGUACGAAAAAUGGCACCAAUGCCAAUACGUUUUGGAGGGAUUAUUGCCGAAUGUGUAAGAAUGGCUAAUGGCAACAAGUGGAGGAGAACUAAUGUCAAAAAGUGCAUCAGAGAUUUGGGAAUUCUUCCAGCGACAAGCGGAUAAUUCCCAACAACGGAGUCGGUCACUCAGGAAUACUAGAAGAAUUAAAGGAGUAAAUGAGGUUCACAUUGGCGAGUCAAGUUAAGAAAUCAAAGAAGUCAAGGAGAUAAUUGAAGGUCUCUCUCGACAAAUAACAUCGUUAUCGACUGCUAAAUCAACAGAACCAUAUGACCAUGACUCAUACUCAGAUCAAGCCAAUGCCAUAGGUGUAAUGAGAAAGCCAUCAAAUUACAACCCAUACUCCAACACAUAUAAUCCUGGAUGGAGAGACCACCCCAAUUUUUCUUGGUCUCAAGGAUUCCAACAGAACGGACCAGCAGCUCCAGCUCCACCAAUUCCACAAAAUCCUCAAGCCUCUCAGCCCCCAUUUAGACCAUACAAUCAGAACCAGAACUACUCUCAACCCAGACCAUAGGAGGAUGCAUUCCAGAAUUUCAAGAAUGUUACUCACUCCACAAUUGAGCAACAGAAUCGCACCAUUGAUGGACUACGAAAUGAGUUGAGAGCAGACUUCAAUUCACAAGCCCAAUCAGAGAUGGUGGGACAACUUGCUUCUUCAGUUCAGACCUUGGCAAUGACUGUUGAGAAAUGCAAGUUUCCAAGUCAACCAGUGCCUAACCCUAAAGGAGUACAUGAAGCAAGUACAAGUUCACCACAGCAGCAUGGAGAGGUCAAAGCAGUCAUGACCUUACGAAAAGGAAAAGAAGUCGACAACAAAGUGGAGAUACCGGUGACAAAAGAAAAUCAAAUUGUACCUGUGAAUGUUGAAGACUCACCACCGGAGGAAAAAGAAGAAACCAACCCACGAGAAUACGUUCCGAAAGCUCCAUUUCCUCAGAGGUUAGCGAAAGGAAAGAAGGGAAAAUCCACAGGUGAGAUUCUUGAGAUCUUCAAACAGGUAAGUGUUAACAUUCCUUUGCUUGAUGCUAUUAAACAAGUUUCAUCUUAUGCCAAGUUUCUUAAAGACCUUUGUACUAAAAAGAGAAAUAUGCAUGUUCAAAAGAAGGCAUUUUUAACAGAAAACGUUAGUUCUAUACUCCAACAUAAAAUUCCUCUAAAAUGUAAAGACCCAGGCUCCCCCACUAUCUCAUAUAGCAUAGGGAACCAUACAAUUGAGAAUGCUUUGUUGGAUUUAGGAGCUAGUGUAAAUCUAUUACCUUAUUCAGUGUUUGUGAAACUUGGACUUGGAGAAUUACACCCAACCCCAGUGGUGUUACAACUUGCAAAUCGGUCCACAAAAAUACCUCGUGGUAUUGUGGAGGACGUGCUUAUCCAGGUAGACAAGUUUUAUUUUCCUGUUGAUUUCAUUGUAAUUGACACUCAACCAAUACAGGAUUCAAGGAAGCACAUCCCCAUUAUUUUAGGCCAACCUUUCUUGGCAACUGCGGAUGCUCACAUUCAAUGCAGGACCGGAAAUAUGCAGUUGUCCUUCGGCAACAUGACUAUGAAGCUGAACAUCUUCAACAUUGCCAAACAACCUCAUAAUGCAGAUGAUGGAAUUGUUGAUGUGGAUUUAAUUGAAGCAUUAGUUGAUGACACUUUUAUUUCAAACCUUAGUGAUGAUCCUUUACAAACAUGUUUAACUCACUUUGGUUUGGAUUUUGAUAUUGACAGAUCAGUCGAUGAGGUUAACACCCUACUUGACUCCGCACCAUCCUUGGACACUAAUAAAUGAAAGUCAAGAGUUGAACAACUAGCACCAUCAGAGAAUAAACUCAUCCCCUCAUCAGAAUCACCACCAAAACUUGAACUCAAACCAUUACCCAACACAUUGGAAUAUGCAUUUUUGGGAGAAGAAAGUACUCUACCGGUAAUCAUCUCAUCAUCCCUAAAUGACGAACAAAAAGGUAAGUUGUUGGAUGUUUUAAAAGAGCACAAAGGAGCAUUAGGAUGGACCAUAGAGGACAUAAAAAGUAUAAACCCAGUAGACUGCAUGCAUUACAUUCACCUUGAUGAAAAUGCUAAAUCUACUAGGGAAAUGCAACGUCGGUUAAAUCCUAAUAUGAAAGAAGUUGUUAGAACUGAAGUCCUUAAGCUAUUAGACGCAGGUAUCAUUUACCCAAUUUCUGAUAGUUCAUGGGUCAGUCCUGUGCAAGUUGUCCCCAAAAAGUCAGGAGUCACAGUAGUUACCAAUGCUGAUAAUGAAUUGAUACCAAUUAGGGUAACUACAGGAUGGCGUGUAUGCAUUGAUUAUAGAAAAUUAAAUUCUGUCACACGUAAAGACCAUUUUCCUUUAUCAUUUAUUGAUCAAAUGCUUGAUAGAUUAGCAGGUCAUGAAUUUUAUUGCUUUCUAGAUGGCUACUCAGGAUACAAUCAGAUCCCCAUAGCACCAAAAGAUCAGGAGAAAACUACUUUCACUUGCCCUUUUGGCACAUUUGCAUAUAGGAGAAUGCCAUUUGGAUUAUGCAAUGCACCUGCUACAUUUCAACGAUGCAUGUUGAGCAUUUUUUCUGAUAUGGUUGAACGAUUCCUUGAAAUCUUUAUGGAUGACUUUUCUGUCUUUGGUGACUCGUUUGAUCAAUGUUUACAUCAUCUAACACUAGUUCUGCAGAGAUGUAUCGAGAAGAACUUGGUCUUAAAUUGGGAGAAGUGUUAUUUUAUGGUAAAACAAGGUAUUGUUCUCGGUCACAUCAUUUCGAGCAAAGGUAUUGAGGUUGACAAAGCCAAGGUGGAUCUCAUUUCUAAUCUUCCUCCACCCAAAACAGUCAGAGAACUAAGAUCUUUCCUUGGACAUGCUGGUUUCUAUAGACGUUUCAUUAAAGAUUUUAGCAAAGUUUCUAGACCCUUAUGCAAUUUACUUGCUAAGGAUGUACCUUUUACCUUUAAUGAUCCAUGUCUUGUGGCUUUUGAAAAAUUGAAGCAGUUGUUGACAUCAUCACCCAUCAUUUAAGCCCCAAACUGGAGCUUACCAUUUGAGCUCAUGUGUGAUGCAUCUGAUUAUGCAGUAGGAGCAGUAUUUGGACAAAGAGUUGAUCGAAUUCCCCAUGUUAUUUACUAUGCUAGUAUGACAUUGAAUGAUGCACAAUUGAACUAUUCAACUACUGAAAAAGAAAUGCUAGCAGUAGUGUUUGCAUUAGAGAAAUUUCGAUCUUAUCUCAUUGGUUGUAAAAUAAUUAUAUUCACAGAUCAUGCUGCUCUUAAAUAUCUUCUCACAAAGAAAGAUGCAAAAGCUAGACUAAUUCGUUGGGUGUUACUUUUGCAGGAAUUUGACUUGGAAUUCAAAGAUAAAAAAGGGACAGAAAAUGUUGUGGCAGACCAUCUCUCUCGUCUUCAUUUUGACACAAUUACAGAGCCAUUAAUAUUGAAUGAGUCAUUUCCAGAUGAAAAAUUAAUGAAUGUGGAAGUAUUACCUUGGUAUGCUGAUAUAGUUAAUUAUCUUGUUACAGGUAAACUUCCAGAGCAUUGGACCAAGCAAGACAAGGCCAAAUUCUUUGCAGAGAUAAAGAAUUUCUUUUGGGAUGACCCGUAUUUGUUCAAGUAUUGUGCAGACCAAAUUGUUAGACAAUGUGUCCCAGAAAGUGAAAUUCAGAAUAUCCUUUCAUUCUGCCAUGAACAAGCUUGUGGAGGUCAUUUCAGUGCUAAGAAAACAGCGACUAAAGUUUUACAAUGUGGUUUCUAUUGGCCAUCUAUAUUUCGAGACGCUUACACUUUCUGUUCUUCAUGUGAUAGGUGUCAACGAAUGGGAAGCAUUACAAGAAGGAACAUAAUGCCACUAAAUCCAAUUUUAGUGGUUGAGAUUUUUGACGUAUGGGGUAUCGACUUCAUGGGACCCUUUGCCCCUUCUUUUGGCCAUCAAUACAUAUUGGUUACUGUUGACUACGUAUCCAAAUGGGUAGAAGCAAUUCCAUGCAGAACUAAUGAUCACAAGGUGAUGAUAGGAUUUUUGAAAAGCAACAUUGUCUCACGCUUUGGAUUCCCUCGAGCAAUAAUCAGUGAUGGUGGUGCCCACUUUUGUAACAAAGCAUUCAAGUCUCUUUUGACAAAGUAUUCAAUCACUCACAAAGUGGCAACCCCAUAUCAUCCGCAAACCAGUGGCCAAGUUGAAAUUUCCAAUCGAGAAAUAAAGCACAUAUUAGAAAAAACGGUGAGGCCAGACAGGAAAGAUUGGUCAUUAAGACUUGAUGAUGCAUUAUGGGCAUACAGAACGGCUUUCAAGACCCCGAUUGGGAUGUCACCCUACAGGCUAGUGUAUGGAAAAGCUUGCCACCUACCUGUGGAACUCGAGCAUCGUGCAUAUUGGGCCAUCAAGAAAUUCAACUUUGACAUGCAGCAAGCCAGCUCAGAAAGAAGAUUACAACUGGUAGAACUUGAAGAAAUUCGCAAUGACGCAUACGAAAAUGCCAAGAUUUACAAGCAACGGAUGAAAGUCUUUCAUGACAAGCAAAUUAUGAGAAAAUCGUUCACUCCAGGUCAGAAAGUGCUUUUAUUCAAUUCUCGCUUGCACCUAUUCCCAGGUAAGUUACGCUCUCGAUGGUCUGGUCCCUUUAUUGUUCAUAUUGUUUUUCCACAUGGGGCAAUUGAAAUUAAGGAUCCAAAGAACGGUGUCACGUUUAAAGUUAAUGGUCAAAGAUUAAAGCCAUAUCUAGAGUACCAACCACAUGGAGAAGACACCGAAAUAAAUUUGAAUGACCCACCAGAGUUGAAUUGAUUUUUUUUUCUUUUCGUUGAUUUGAUUUUUUUUUCUUUCUUUAUAUUAUUCUUCUGCUAAUUGAAAUUAUUUUUGCAUAAGUGUGUUUGUUUAACUAUUAAGUUUUCUUUUAUCAUUUUUAAUCAUGAGUACCUUACUAAGACCGUUCCUCCUGAACAUUCUUAAACCACUUCAACGUGUCAAAACUCAUUUCAAAAAGCAGAUUCAAUUUUGUAAAACACAUCGCAUUUGGGCUCUACAACCACCAGAGUUAGUAGCCUAUGUUAAGGGUUUAGAAAGCCAACUCAGAGACAUUGAGAGAAAUGUUUACGACAUCCAGUUGGAGCUUGAGGUAAAUUCAAUAAGAGGACGAUUUUAAUUUUCUUUGUGUGUUUUAAUUUGUUUCUCUGUUUGUGUGCUUUAGUUUGUUACCCCGGUGAAGUGGCGGAUAACGGUACUCCAUGACAAUCAAGUCGGUACUUCAGUUUCCCAUAAUAACUGAUAUUCGGAGGUGAAGGUAUGGACAGAAACGAGAUUCUAGCAAAACUUCACAAGCGAUUCCCUUCACUUCCUCAGAAUGCCCUCCUUACGAUCUAUAAAGCUCGGUCCGAACGCAUGCGAUUUCUCAUGAGGAAUAACAUACCUACUGACAUCCGUUGGUUAAUUGAGGCUAAAGUACGAUCGGCAGGAAUGGUGUCUGAUAACAGGGAAGAUAAGAUUCAAUUCAUUAGGGAUGGCUUGAAUAAGGAGUCAUUGGAUGAUAUCCUUUUGUCUCUUGAAACGCAUCCUAGUGGAUAUGUGCAAGGAGUGAUUCUCCAGUUAUGGCCAUUAUUCCAGAAAGAGCAUGCACGAUACAGUCUCGGGAAUCUGACUAUAAACGACCUUGUUUGCCAAUUUAUAAGAAAACUGGAUAUGAAGCUCAUCCUCGACCCAUAGAGGGCGUUCAAGCCGUUUCUGGACGUAAAACCAGAGGAAGAUGUGAGCCAUAGUCGCAACUACCUGUAAAUAUCCUUUUACUUUACUGUUAUUUUAUUUCACUAUUGUUUUAUUGUGUGCAUUAUUGUCUUUAAUAAUUUUAUUACUGUUUGCUUUUUCCUCAUUACUGUUUUCUUUUUCCUCAUUACUGUUUGCUUUUUCCUCAUUACUGUUUGCUUUUUCAUUUUUACUGUUUCCUUUUUGACUCGCGAGCCAUGUGCUUUACGCGUUAUUUAACACUGACAUGUUACCUCAUACACAACUGUGACCCACUGUCACCAAGACUCUUAAAUGUGAUUUUAUUUGUCAAGCACUCACAAAUUAUUUUUUGAGAAGUAUCCCAAUGGCAGCUACUCCAAAUAGACAAUUCAAGAACAUUUGUGUGCUUUCUGGAUUUACCUAUGGCAAACAUAAAGAGUUCGUUGAGGCAGCCAUCGAUCUUGGUCGAAGCAUAGCAGCGAGACAAUUACACUUAGUGUAUGAAGGAGGUAACCGAGGGUUAUCAAAAAUGGUCUCAGAAGCAGCUUUUAUCAGAGGAAGUCAAGUGUUAGGCAUCAUCCCAAGAGUCUUAAAACCAUUGGGCAGUUCGUCUGACUCAUCAACUGGAGAAGAGUUAGUCGUCUCAGGUAUGCAAGAAAGAAUAACUGAAAUGCUUAAUCAUGCUGAUGCUUUUAUUUUCCUUCCAGGAGAUCUUGCAACACUAGAGACACUUAUCACACUAGCAUCUUGGGCCCAUCUGCACAUCCACCAGAAACUCAUCGGUUUGUUAAAUGUCAAUAACUUUUAUGAUGGCUUUAUCGCAUUUUUUAACCAUGCAAUAAAAAACUAUUUCAUUCCUUCUAAUGUGAAAAAACUUUUUAUUUGUGCUCACACUGCUAAUGAGCUACUUGAUCUGUUACAAGCUUAUAAACCGGAGCUAGACCCCUGGACCUUUGUGUUGGAGCGCCCAAAUAAUGAUGGUAACAGUAGCCGCAGUAAGAAGUACAAAUUAGAUUUAACUCUCCGCUUGUAAAUAUUUUCUUCUGUGUUACACCACCCAGGUGAUGUCUUCUAAACUCUACUUCUUUCCUUUCAAACAUUGCGGACAAUGUUUUGUUCUGGUUGGGGGGAGGGAAUAGUCGACAAUUGUGGAAUUUUGGUUAAGUUUUUACUAAUUUUUUGUUGUAGAAACUAAUUGUUGCUAACUUUUUGUGUUAAAGAUGGCUGAAUAUGGAUUGUAGUGACUCUAGAAACGCAUCUUCAUCGUUUAAAAAAAAAUUUCAGACAUUUUCUUUUUCUUUAUUAUGUUUUUAUAUUUAUUUUUCUUCUUUUUAAUUUCUCCUCUAUAAAUAUACAUUUUCCAACUUGUGAGUCGAAGAUGGCUGAAUAUGGAGUGUAGUGCCUCUAGAAACGCAUCUUCUUAAAAAAAAAAAAACUAUUUUCAUUUUUUAUCAUUUUACGUGUAACUUUUUUAAUUAGUUUUUAUGCAUCAUUUUCACAUUUCUGCAUGCAUAUUUUCCUUUCAUGUUUAGAAUAGGUUGGGGGGUAGAAUAUUGUUUGAAAAAAAAAAUUUGUGUGAUUUGUUUUAACAUUGGAUGACAUGAUUAAUUUCAAAUUUUAGUAUUUGUAUUAUCUUUGGUCUUAAGUGAUGUUACGCUAUGUUUGCUACUUUACAUGUUGAUGUCGGAGACAAAUAUGAGUUGCUUGAAGGAAUGAACAUGUUAUAAAUAAGUGCCAAGUGAGUUGUUGAGCCUAUCAUUUUCUUGGAGAGUAACCCUUUUGCCCAUUCUCUAUACAGCUUAGCAGUUUAUUAUUUUAUACAUGAUCUCUAGAUUUCUUUUGAGUUAACCCUUAAAAAAAAUGGUAAAAUAAAAAAAAAGAAAAAGAAAAUAUGUGUUGCUACAUUGGGAGGCCUGUCUAACUAGUAGAUAUGGAUGAUUAUUUAGAGCCCUAAAAGACGAUGGAAAGGCCAUCUUUGAUCCGUUUGAACCUUUCUAGCCAUCCAUUUUAUUAAAUAUCCAUAGUUAACCCCUUUUGAGCCUUUAAAAAAAACAAAAAAAAUAUUUUCUUUGUCAACUUAUCAUCUUGACCCACUCCGAUUUGGAGUAUUACCCGAUGUCUUAUAAGUUCCAUCACCUAUUUAUGUUUGAGAAAAUGUAAAUAAUUAUGUUGUUCAGUGAAGUUAUGCCAAAUAAAAGCAGCCAAAUAAAAGCAAAAAAAAAAAAACAAAACAAAAGUUGUUGUUUCAAAAGAAUAAAAAUAACAACAAUAGGUGAAAUCCACCUUGCAACUUCAAAAAAAGAAAAAACAAAAAAAAUUCCUCUGCAUUUUUCUCAAACAUACACUUUGUUUUCCUUAUUUCCCUUCAUCAGCAAACUUUUAACGUUGUUAACGGAACGGUAGUAAAUUGAUAAUGGCGCAAAACUUUGGUAGUAAAAUGCACUUUUCGGCAAACCUUGGUACUGACAUGAUAUGUCAGUAAAACUUUAGUAGUAAAAUGAUAAUAUCCCUUUAGGAAACUAUAGUUUGAAGUAGAAGUUAGUUAUAUGGGCUAAAAAGAUGUAGUGAUGCAUAAUAAUAAUAAUAAAAAAUGAUAAAUAAAGUGGGUUGACUAGCAUUUUUAUUUGACUUGAGAUCGUAUUAUUUCUAAGCUGAGGGAAUAUUUAUUUCAUCUUGGUGAGAGCAUGUGAUAUCACUUCUUUAUUAUUUUCUCUCUCAAUUACCAUUCAUUGGAGUGACUAUUUUUAUUAGUUUUAAUUUCUUUGUGAGAGUGUCACUACUUCCAGUGAGAUUUUAGGGGUUUGACAUGUCAUUCUUGAAAGUAGCUAUAACAAAGUCUACUGGGCUGAUUCAUGUGGAUGGUUGAUGUGGGUGUGAUGUUAUUUUAGACUGGAGAUAAUGCUUAUACUUGUAUUUGAUUGCUAUCAUUAAUCUGAUGGAAUAAAUACGAGUGUUUCUAUUUUAAAAAAAUUAUUAUUUUGAAUUUGAAUUUUGUUUUCGCUUUAUUUGCUAGGGACUAGCAAUAAGCUGGUUGGGGGGUGUGUUCAGUGUUAGAAAAUGCAUAUUUAUAAAGGAGAAAACCGUCAUUUGACAUUUCAAGUCUUACUAACAACCUUUACUUUUAUGUAUUUAACCUUCUUUUGAUUUAAUUCCGUGUGUUUUAUUUUAAUUAAGUAUUUUAUGUAUUUUAGGGGUAUUAUAGUCAUUUCACAAUAAAGGAGAGAUCAGACGGCAAAACGGCCAUCACUUUUAAACUCAAGACGGUCGAAAACCUUAGGAGGAGCAUAAAAGGAAAAAUGGCACUAUUCACGUGUACGGUACUGUCUACGUUACUGUUCACGACACUGUUCACAUAGACGGAUCGAUGACGUGGCAUUGACUGAUGAGGUGUCACGAUCCUGUUGGGCUAAAAUUUUUAUGUACUGUUGAUGGUGACGUGGCAGUAUAUCAGUGGACGAAAAAUCUCGCGUACGGUACAUGCAUCACACAGGAUUAUUUUCAACCAAACCGCGUUACUAUUCAUCUGGGUCAAACCGUGUUACUGUUCAUCCGCGUGGUCAAACCGCGUACUGUUGACUGAUGAAGUGGCGCAAUCCUGAGCGUCCAAACUAUUUUUAAUCCGAUGGUCAUGAUUUACUCCAUGUAUAUAUAAAAAGGGGGCCUCCCCCCCCUAAUUUGAUAUCUCUGAAUUCAUUUUUGGGAUCCAUUUUCUGUAAUUCUUUCUCCAUCUUGUAUUUUCUUCGUAUUUUAAUAAAUUUCCAUUUUGCCCCUAGUUCAAUUAUGAGUGGCUAAUUUUCUUUCAAGCUUGGGUUGAAGAUGAAGUCUCAACAUGUGUCAUGGGCUUUAUUUGGUAAAUUUAUUUUCUCUUCCCCUCUAGUUUUUGUGGAUGUUUUGACUUCUCGUCGACAAAUAAUACUAAUCUUGUCUAGUACCGCCUUGGUUUCACCGGCCCUCUAGUACAAUGUUAUUAUUAUUUGGCACGAUAAGCCCUUAGCACCAUAUUGAUUAAAGUGUGGUUCAUGAGGUGUGGAUUCCCCCCUCAUGAUUUAAUUGGUAUUAAUAAGGAAUAUUUAGCCCAUGGUGCAUGUUGACACGGAUCCAGAUACCCAAGUGCUUCAUUUCAAUAGAAUUAUCUUCAAUUUAUUCUCGCCAUUUUAAUUUAAGUUUUAGCAUAUUCCAAAUCAUUUCCACCACAAAUCCAACCACCCAUUUACAAAAUUAAUUCUAUACAUAAUUAAAAUCCACCUCCUCGUGGGAUCGACACUCGUCACCAUUAGUCUAUACUACAAUAGAUUCGUGCGCUUGCGAGUACAUUAAAAUUUGCACAACAGCUGACAAGCUCUCUUUGCCAUAAAAAAGCUUGAGUUACUAACUUGAGCGUCGGAGUGUGAACGCCGGGGUACCCCAGCUUCACUUCGAACCUCUAUUUCACUGUUUUACAAGUGUGAAGCUCAUUUCGAAGGACAUUUUUCUUGGUUCAAACCUUUCACCAUUGUUACCACUUCCCUCUUCCCUUCUCACCACCUCCAAAUUUCAGAAACACCGCACACAAUAAACCAGUGAGGUACCUCGUUUCCCCUAAAAAUACAAAUUCAUUGUUCUAGAUAGGUUUAUCUUUUUCUACCCCUAAAAUUUGUCUAAAACAAUUGGCGCAGUCUGUGGGAACACACACAAAAAGCCUCUACCAUGGUUAUCAAACUAGUUGUUGUUUGUACUCUAAUACAUGGCACCCGACGUACCUUCCGAAGGUUUAAUGGCGGAUUCUACAAGGAUGGGAGACGACAACAGUGGUGAAGGUAGUGAUCCCACAAGGAGAGUAGCCCAUCUCGCCAAGGGCAAGGCUAUCAAACAAUCGACUUGUAUUCGCCAAGAUGAGGAACCCAUCUCUUAUAAGCGUUUCGAGGAUCUUGCCCAUGCAAUACUUAGGGCGGUUGGAUCUCAAGUACCUGAAAGUUCACUUCCACCAGUGACGAUAGAUGCUCCACCACCUUAAACAGACCAACAAGUUAUGGUAAGGACAGAGGUACCCUAGGCCAGCAAUCUAAAACAUGGGCCAUUGGGUACCCAUUCUGUGGGAUCCCGAGACGAAAUUUCCACCGCCUCUUGUAAUUCCCGCAGCAGCCAGGGUACGAGGCGUGUAAAACGUGCCCACGGGGAUCUCUGUGACAAGUUAAACGCCAAAAGGGCUUCUCAAAUGGCGACGACAUCAUCAGGUGCCCCUAGAGCCCACAAACUUGUGGGAAAAAAUGGUGAACCUGGAAGCCUAAGUGAAGCUGCUCUCCGAAAAGAAAAAUAUCACAAGUGCUCCAACACCAAUGACUUACCACUCGCCAUUCACUAUGGAGAUUCGGACGGCAAUUCUGCCCGAAGCGUUCACCAUGCCUCAGAUACCCCAGUACUCGGGUACUAUUGAUCCCUUGGAGCAUGCUGAGCUAUACCGUGACCAAUUGUUUAUCAAGGGUGUUGAUGAGAACGCCAUGUAUAGGAUGUUUAUACACACACUCACGGGUCCCACGAAGUCAUGGUUUUGGUUAUUGAAGGAGGGUAGCAUAUCUUCCCUACACCAGUUGUUAUCCCAAUUUACUAAAGAUUUUUCCUAUGCUUCCACUCAAGAUAAGGCAGCCUCCAAACUUGUUUUAAUCAAGCAAAGGGAAGCUGAACCUUUGGCGGAAUAUGUGAGCAAUUUCCACCAAGAGGUGUUGCGAACCGGAGUAUUUGGAAACCAAUACACAUUGACCCAUUUUGAGAAAAAUUUACGGUUGGACAAGUUAUGGCGUUCUUUUCAAAAAAAGCGCCCACUUUCAUAUGGGGAAGCCCGUUCCCAGGCAUUACAACAAGUAGGGAUGGAUGAGAAAUACCAUUUAAAGCGCCAAGAAGAUAAGGUUGAGGUCAUAAAGAGCAAGAAGAUGCCCAAGAUGGUGGAAGCCCCAAUACCGAGAGUACACCGAACACGGAGCCCUCCACGGGUUGCCCCGCGGGGACGAGGGUUUAACCCUCAGGGUAUUUCACGAGUACCCCAACUUUUAAGAUCGCCACUACCAGAGCAGUGAGAGCCACCACCGAGACCUCAGUACGAAUCGUACCAUCUACUGAAUCGUUCCCCAUAGCAGAUCAUCUACCAGAUUCGGGAUAGUGGCCUAUUCCGUCCGCCCAAGCCAAUGAAGAAGUACCCCAAUAUGAAGCGUAGCCUAAAGCAUUGUGAGUUUCAUGAGGACUUCGGUCACAGCACAGCCGAGUGUUUUAGCUUGCGUGAGGAGAUUGAAUCUUUGAUUAUUAGCGGGUAUCUUAAAGAAUUUGUUGAUGGCAUGAGAGAGGAUCGAAAAUCCAUGGAGCAGGAUAAGGGCAAGUGGGUAACUGAUGGCAGCCCUAAACGAGAGGUGCCCCCGGGACAUAAGAAAGGCGUUUAUGUCGGGAUGAUCACAGGCGGACCGACUCUAGCUGGCCAGUCCAGGAGGGGCAUCAGAAGAUAUGGUAAAUCGUUGUCGUUGACAACCAAUAUUGGCAGAGAAGUCAACUUUAAUGGAUGGGGCACGCCUCAGGUACCCCACCAUCCCCCGCCAAUCCUUUUCACAUAAAAAGAUGCUGAAAGUAUCUCGUACCCCCAUGACGAUGUCUUAGUAAUUACGUUGAAGGUUGCUACUAGUAAAGUAGCAAAGACUCUUGUAGAUAUUGACAGCUCCGUCGAUAUCAUUUUUAAAAAUGCCUUGGAUCAACUAUUGAUUGAGUCGCCAAAGAUCACCCCACACUACGCCUCUUAUUGGGUUCGUCGAAGAUAUGGUUAUCCUAAAAGGCAUCAUUACGCUGCCCGUUACACUUGGUAAGGUACCUCACCGUGUUGUUCAUAUGAUUGAUUUUCUCAUUGUGGAUCAUUGGGUGCCUACAAUAACAUAUUGGGUAGGUCAUUCUUAGUAGCAACUAAAGCGAUGGUAUCCAUGCACUACCUCGCCAUGAAAGUCCCAGCCGCCUAAAAAGUUAUCACCAUUAAAGGGGACCAGCAGUCAGCUCGUGGUUGUUACAGAGGGCUGGCAAGCUUUCUUCAACCUUAAACUUUGAUUUACAGAGGGUUGACAAGCUCUCUUUGCCAUAAAAAAGCUUAAGUUGAUAACUUGAGCGUCGGAGUGCGAACGCCGGGGUACCCUGGCUUCACCUCUAACCUCUAUUUCACUGUUUUGUAGGCGUGAAGCUCAUUUCGAAGGAUAUUUUUCUUGGUUCAAACCUUUCACCAUUGUUACCACUUCCCUCUUCCCUUCUCACCUCCUCCGAAUUUCAGAAACACCGCACACAACAAACCAGUGACGUACCUCGUUUCCCGUAAAAAUACAAAUUCAUUAUCUUUUUCUACCCCCAAAAUCUGUCUAAAACAAUGUAUAUAUUCAAAGUUUAAAUAGUUAAUUGCUCAAGUAUGGAUAAUUUAAGCAUUUAUACUAUGUAAAAUUCUUAUUGAUUUGUUCAAUGCUCUAGAUCAAUUGGCUUUCACAGUGUUGCACACACCAAGCACAUCAGUGACCUUGGUCGUAAUUUCUCAAGUGGGCAAGAAGAGGAAUUCAUUGGCAAGCUAGCAACCAGUUUGCCUCCAACUCCCCUAGCACUAUGACCAAGUUACAGGAGCAUUAGUUGCUGGCUUCAUUGGACUCAUUAUCUCCCUGCUUUUGCUUUUCUAUUCAAUCCACACAAUAGUGUUGAAUCCCCUAUUUGUUCAAAAGGUUGCUUCAUUGUCUCAAGUCUUUUUGGUCACCAACUUUGAGAAUUUAUUUCUUCUUUUUAUGAUGCUUCUUAUCUAAUAAGAAUGUGUGAUUUGGAGCUUGUAUUUUUUUAAUUCUUAAUAUCUCGAAAGUUUUAUAAAAGAGAGACAAAACAAGAAAAGCUUAAUAUUGACUACAUUAAUGCAAGGUUCAUUGUACUAAUUAAUCAUACAUGUUAUUCUUAGUGCUAACCACAUCUAGGUCUUGAAUUUGAAUUUGAAUUUGUAAGAGUCAAUAGCACUAGAUGCACGCACAACAAACAUAUUACAUAAUAUUACGUACUCAUAAUGGAUUAAUUUCUUUUUUAAAAAAAACACAAAUUUAAUUUCAAUGCAAUUGAAUAUUAUUGCAAAAGCACUCAUAAAACAUAAAAGAAAUAAUUGUUUAUCAAAUUCAUUUGCAUCCCCCAGGGAACAAGGAAAUAAUAUAAUCUUCGAGAGCCUUUUUUAACUUCUCAGUCAAACACUCUUCCCAUGUAAGCCUUGAGCAAUCAGCAAUGUCAGGUGAUGUUGCAAGAUUAAUGGAAAAUAAAGCAUUCGACUUAGAUCCUCAGCUAGUACAACAUCCUGAAAUAGGUCUGCAUUUAGUGUUUGCCACUACAAGCAAACUCAAGACGAUGAAACUAAGAAUCUUUGACAAUUUUAUGUUUCAUUAGUAGGCUGACUACAAGUUUACUUCCAAGUCCCCCAAUACUGUGACCAAAUUAAAGGAGCAUUAGCUUUAGGCUUCCUCAUACUUGCCAUCCAUUUACUAUCGCUUCUAUAUUUAAUCCACACAGUAGACCUGAAUCCCCGUACUUGUUCAAAAGACUUAAUUCAUUGCCUCAAGUCUUUUUGGCUACCCAGUUUUAAGAGUGUAUGAUUAAGAACUUGUAUUUGUUUAAUUCAUAACAUCUCAAGAGCAUUACAACAGAAAGGCAAAACGAGAAAAGCUGAAACUGACUACAUUGAUUAAAAUUCCUACUUGUUAUUCUUAGUGGUAACCACAUUUAGGUCUUGAAUUUGUAGAAGCCAACAUCAUGAAGUCCAUAUUUUGCAUCAUGAAAUGAUUAAUCUUAUUGUUAUCUCUACUUUCACUAUUUUCUUAUCAAAAUUUUUUUCUUAUCUUACUAGCUGUAUAAAAAUUUACAAAUUAGUAUAUUAUCAUUUUUAAGUUAUCAAUUAAGUUUAAAUAUUAUUUUAUUUUUUUAUAUAACAAAAAUAAUGAAAUAUCUAAAUUUUGAAAGACAUAUAUUAAAUAAACCCAAACUAGCCAUCUCAAAUAUAUAAAAGAAUACAUGUUUGCAUUUAGAAACAAUUGCUUUAAACCACUUUGUAAUUUCCAAAAAAAAAUCUUAAAUGAAAUAAAAUAAGAUAAAAUAAAAGAAAUUAAAAAACCAAUAUUUUAUUUUCAAGUGAUGCAAUUAAAAUUAUGGUUACUAUUACAGUGUGACAUGUGUUGUGCAGCCUAAUAAUUGUAACUAGCCAACAAAUUGUCCAUUUCCUUAUGUAAAAAAAUUUUCAUCUUGAAUGCAAUUUGCAUUGCGCCAUUACAAAAUCACAUCUAAUUAGAGAGAGACUUUUGUAUGUUUAGUAGAUGAGGCAAAUGCAUGUCAGAAUAAUAAGAAAAAAAUUGUUAUAUUAAUUAGGGCACACUUCCAUUCAUCCAUCCCAGUAAAAAUCUUUAAUUUACCCUUUGAAAACAUGAAUAACUCAAUUUUCUCUAAUUUUUGUUCAAAAGAUAAGCGUAAAUGAAUUUAUUUAUUUAAUAGUAAAAAGGGGUGAGACGAUGUCUACACAUUUUUUGGGGUAAAAUCGAUAUUCUCGGAGUUUAAAUUAAAUUCUACACAUAAAUUAAUUCAAGCAAUUAAAUUGAAGUUUACCCUUAAAUUAAUUCAAACAGUUCAGUAAUAUAACAUUUCAAUUAAAUACAAGGGUUCAAAAAUUUUGUUUUUAAUAAGGAAGCAUCCUCACCCUAAAAGGAAAUGGAUUUAAAAUUCAAAUAUUAGUGGUACUAACAUAGUAAUAAUGAUCAUUAUUAGUAUUUCAACAAUUAUUUUCUCGUAAAUUGAGUCAACAAUUUGUAUACAACAAAAUAGCAUCGCAUGCAUGCACAAAAGACACAUGACAUAACAGUGCAUACUCAUAAUGGAUUAAUUUUCACUUUUAUUAAGACACAGUUUCAAUAACAUUAAAAAUGAUAAAAUUAAUGAAAUGCAUGUUUUAAAAUUAGUUUAUAAUGCAAUGAGGUAUUUAAAUCAAUAGUUAAUACAAACAAAUACAGCGUAAUUUAUUUAAGCCUCAGUAAGGUCGUCUGCAGCUUGUUUCUCAAUAUUCCUUCAUAUAAAUAGAGGCUCAUGCCUUCCUAAUUUUCACACUUCACUUUUAAUUCUAAUUAAGCUAUUUAGAAUUCAAUUAAGAAAUUGAAAAAUGUGGAAGAGUUUAGUUUGUCAUCUUAGCUUUGCUUGUAAUGGAAAACACUAAAAAUAUGCUUACCCAAAUGCUGAUUUUUUAUUGCUUAUGGCUCACAAGUGAAGAGUGGUUCAUCAAGAAGUUUAAGAAAGUUCUCAAAGACUAUCUUAAUCCCUGCCCCUAAGGAGGAUGUAAAUGAUUUUGAUAAUUAGUUAUUUCUUUUGUCUUGCUUGAGUGCUUUUGUAAUAAGGUUCAACUGUAAUGAAAUUGAAACAUUAUUUUAAUAAAAGAAGAAAUUAAACCAUUAUGAGUAUAUAACUUAUGCCUUUUGGUUUUUGUGUAUGUAUCUAGUGUUGCUUUAAUGCAUACAUAUCAUUGAAUCAAUCAAAGAGAGACAAAUCUUCUAAAAUACCAAUAGCGAUCAAGCAAUCAUAAUUACUAUGGUAGUAACAUGCAAUAUUUAAAUUCUAAGUCUAUUUUCUUUUAGGGUGAGGCUAUUUGGAUCCUAUUUUAUCGAUACUAAACUGUCUUAUUUAAUUUUAAGGUAAACUUCAAUUUACGCUCUAAGAAUCUUCAAUUUGCCUAAAAAGUGUGAAAAAAAAUCAAUUUGCCAUCAUUUACACUAAGAAAAUAAAUAAAAAACUCAUCAAUGUGCCCUCAUUAAUGUUCAUCCUGUGAACAAAAAUUAGGGUAAAUGAGAUUUUCAUGCUUUUUAAAGGGUAAAUUAAAGAAUGUUAUUAGAAAGGGGAUGGACUUAAGUUUGCCCAAAUCAAUAUAACUAAACUUUUCAUAUUGUUUUUGACAUGUACCUACCACAUAGCUUUGUCUAUAUCAAAUCAAUCUUUACUUAUCAACUCUAUUAUGUAUACAUGGGAAUAUUGAAAAAAAUAAUAUUUUGAUGAUAUAAUUAAAGAUACAACAAUGAUUUAACCAUAAACACUUGCACAAAGACUAGCAUUCAAAUUAAGUUGGUAACUCACGUUGCACGAAUGGAUUGUGAUGAAAUGAAAACAUUAUUGAGUUUACUAAUGGAAGAAACUAGCUUUCUGAAUAAUGUCUAACAAGUUUAAAUAUCACCAAUUUAUCAAAAUAGGCAAAUUUAAAGUAUAAUAUGAUAAUUAAAUUUUCCUAAUCAAAAUAAGAAAAGUAAAACAAACAACGCUCAAAUUUGAGUUCUAAAAAAAAGAUAAAAAUCCUAGAAGAAUUAAGAAAAAUAGAAAAAAAAAUCUUGAAACUAGAAAACAACCAGGAAAUAUGGGAAUUUUCGACUCGACCACGGGGUAAAACGACUUAGGCGGCCUAGGUUUUGUCCGUCUCAACAUAUGCUUCGAAACGAUACACACACACACACCGAAAACGAACACUUGUAGCCAAGCUUUGGCCUUCGAAAGGUAUCCAGCUCGUGGCAUAUAACACCUUACAUCAGUCCUCUGCACUUGGAAAAGAACUUAUCCUCAAGAUUGGCUCGUACAAUUCCUCAUCAUUUGGAUGAUACUCGAACAGAUCAGCCACAUUAAAGGUGUGAGAGAUGUUCUAGCUGUCUGGCAACUAAAUCACAUAAGCAUUAUUAUUAAUCUUCCAUGCCACUCAAAAUGGUCUGCAUUUGCACUUCUCCAAUUUAGUACGAAUGCCAGGGAAAUGACUCCGGCGUAGAUAUGCCAUCACCGAGUCACCUCUACAAAUAGUUUCUUAUGAUGAUGCUUGUCCACUUCAGCCUUGUAUUUGGCAUAGGCAGUCUCCAAGUGAGUUCAUACCUCAGCAUGAAUACGCAGAGCGCUUUCUGCUACAUUAUUCGUUGUUUUACUUUCUCCAGCUCUCUCUGCUAAUGGAAUCCAAGUCAUAGACAUGGCAUGAGGACAAGUGUAGACAAUCUCAAAAGGGGCCUUGCCAGUAGAUUGAUUCAACUUGUUAUUGUAAGUAAACUCAACCUGAGGCAAGGUAACUUCUCAGUUCAGUUGCUUGUUACCACAAAGAUGGCGCAAUAUGUUACCUAAAGUUUGGUUGACCACAUUUGUCUGUCCAUCUAUCUGUGGAUGGAAAGCACUACUAAACUAUAAUUACAUACCAAACUUAUCCCAGAGAUAACGCGUGAACUUACUAAUGAACUUCAAAUCUCUAUCAGAAAUAAUGGUAUUUAAAAUGCCAUGCAAAUGCACCAUCUCUUGAAAGAACAAAUGUGCUACUAAGGUAAAAUCUUCUGUCUUUUUAUACACAAUUAAAUGCGCCAUCUUUAAAAACCUGUCCAUCACCAAUAUAAAAUCUUGACCCGUCCUUAUAAGAGGCAAUCCAAGCACAAAGUUCAUUGAUAGAUCAAACCAAACUUUUUUUGGAAUACAUACAAGCAUGUAUAAGCCUGUAUUAUGUGCAUGUUCCUUGCCUUCUUGGCAAAGCCAACACCAUUACAAAUUUUUUUGCAUAUCUGCAUUUAACUGUGGCAAAAAAUAACGCUCUUCCAUAAGCGCCUUGGUCUUAUCUCGUCCAAGAUGUCCGCCUAAUCCUCUUCCCUACAACUCACAGAUAAUCUGCUUCCUUAAAAAACUUCGAGGCAUAAGUAGUUGGCCUUGAAUAAAUGCCCAUCUUCAAUGAAGAAAUCCUUUGUAUUCUAAGGAUUCAUGUAAUAAUCCUAAACAUGCACAAAGUCAUCAUCCUCAGCAUAAAACUCUUUUAAGCACUCAAACUAGUAACUUCAUUAACUAGAGUUACCAAUAAAGUUGCUUGCCUAUUUCAUGCUUCUGCCACUUUAGUCUGCUGCCUAGACUUGUGCUUCAUAACAAAAUUGAACUUCUAUAUAUAAUUCACCCUACCUUGUAUACAUCUUGCUCAAGUUUUGCUGGCUAGUAAGGUACUUUAGUGCUUGAUGGUCGCUAUAGAGUACGAACUCUUUUUUAAUCAAGUAUUGCUCCGACAUCUUCAACGCCCUAAGGAUGGCAUAAAAAUCUUGGUCGUUAGCAAACUAGUUCUACCAUGCCUCAUGUAAUUUCUCCCCCAUAUAUUUAAUUGUCUGCCUCUUUGGGAAAGAACAGCCCUAAUUAUCUUGCCAAAAGCAUUACACUCGACCUUAAAUAAUUUGUCAAACUUUGGCAAGGCUAACGUAAAAGUAGGAGAUAACUUCUCCUUAAGUAAAGCAAAGCUCAUCUCUUCGUUUUCUCCCUAUUUGAACUUUCCUUUCUUUAAGAACUUUGUGAUAAGUGCUAUUGUAGUGCCAAAACUGUUAAUAAACCUCCUAUGAAACAUUGUUAGCCCAUGAAAACUCCUAACUUCACUUACUAUCUUAGGCGUAGGCCAUUCUCUAAUGGCUUGCAUCUUUGAUUCAAUUGCUUGAAUCCUACCUGCACCAACUAUAAAAUCCAAAAACUCUACAUUACUCUGCAAAAUCUACACUUUUUCAUAUUAAUGUAAAGCUAAUUCCUCCACAAUACCUUAAUAAUCAUUCUCAAAUGCUCUGAAUAUGUCACCAUAUCAACAUAAUACACCAAAAUAUCAUCAUAAUAUACCACAACAAAUUUGCAAGAAAAAAGGCUUAAGGACCUGGUUCAUUAAGCGCAUAAAAGUACUCGAUGCAUUUAAUAUUUUGAAUGGCAUCACUAACCACUCAUAAAACCCUUCUUUUGUCUCUUUUUCACUCACUCCUUGUCCUAAUCCGAAUUUGAUGAUACCUAAAUUGCAAGUUUAUCUUCAAGAAAGCCAAAGCAUUAUCUAAUUGAGUUAACAAAUCUCGAAGCAUUAGAAUAAGAAAACAAUAUUUCACCAUAAUCUAAUUAAUCCAUAUGCUGCCUAUACACAUACACCAACUCAUAUUCUUCUUUGGCACUAACAAGGCUUGUGCAACACAUGGACUCACGCUCCCAUGAAUGAAUCUCUUUCACAAUAAUUCAUCAACCUGACCUUGUAGAAUCACAUACUCAUGAGGACUCAUACGACAAUUGGCAAGUUAGGUAAGUUUGUACUAGGUACUAGGUCUAUAUGAUGUUGGAUUCCUCACAAAAGUUGUAGUCUAUUUGGCAUUUCUGAUGGUAUAAUGUCAGCGAACUCAGCUAACAAUGGUUGUACCUUUAAUUUACCUCGAACUUAUAUUCUUUCUAUAGCUUCUUUCAAUUGUCAUAAUCUUCUUCCAGAUGUCCCUUCACAAUAGUUAGAAAAUUAUUCCCUUUAGCUUUAAGAUUCUUCUUCUUAUUUGUUAAAGGCACAAAACGAACCAUUUUGCUAUUCCACCGAAACUCUUACACAUUAUUCGCUUCUCUAUGUAUUGUAUCCACAUCAAACUACCAAGGUCUACCCAAUAACAAAUGGCAAGUAUCCAUAUCUACUACAUCACAUACCAUAUCAAUCUUAUAAAUCUUAUUGAUGGAGAAAGAAAAAGGACAUACCUCUGUCACUCGCAUUUCUAUCCUAUCACUUUAACUAAUGCCAUUGAGACUGUGUUCUCACUACUACCACUAUCAAUUAUCACCUUACACACCUUAUCAUUGAUGGUGCCACAUAUUCUGAAAAUCUUAUUACACUGGUUAUCUUCUUCAAACUUUGGUGCCAAUAAAAUCUUCUGCACAAUACGGUUUAGCAACUCUCACCUCAUCUGCUUCUAAUUCCAAAGCCUACUCGUCAACCCUAUUCUCAACAUCAUUCAACUCAACUUCACUGACUUCUACCUCUACCAAAUUCAAAUUUUUAGGAUGAUAUUCAUUAUAUCUAUGCUCUGGUUCUCCACGCUUCAAACACUUAUUCAGUAUAGGAUUUGCGUAAGGAUUAUUCUACUCUCUGGGUGGCUAUGCUAUCUGGGUGGUUGUUGUCUUAACUACUGCACAGUCCAAAACUCUGGCUCAUCUAUAUUCAUCAAACACAUUGCGAUAUCCUUGCCUACAAUUCUAAUAUUUCACAUACAACUGUUGUUAGUAACUCGCUACCAGAAAAUACUCUUUCAACAUCUUUUUCAUUCUAGACCACGAUUUGAUCAAUGGCUUUCUUACAACUCUUUUUAGAUUUUGUACCUUUCGCCAUCAUGCGGAUGUCACGCCCUUCAAUUUAAAUGUCAUAACCUUUACCCACUUAUCUUGCGAAAUCUCCAUAUACUGAAAGAAAUUUUUUAUGUCCUAUAUCUAGUCUAAAAAGUCUUCAACAUGGAUCCCAUAUAAAAAAUCUGCAAUAUCUACAUUCAUCUUGUAUUCUCAACUCUUUCCAUGCCUUCUAUAACAAUCCUUAGCAUUUUUUUUUCUUUCUAAUUGCUUUCUAACUCAUGACGCACACACGGCUGCACUCACGUCACGAGUUCUAGGUUCUGAAGCACUACUUCAAGAUUAAUGCCUUGAGGUGUUGCUUCGCGAUUUAAACCGUGUGUGCGUCAUGAUUUCCUUCAGGAAUGAAUUGAAAAAGAAAUCUUUAUUCGUUCUACCUCCCAUUAUUUGCAAAGAGAAUGAAUUUUUCUAUCAAAGGAUAAAAAAAUGUGUCUGGAACUCCUGCAGGAAUGAUUUUGAAAAUCCAAAACUAAAAAUAGUGGUAUUUGUUAGCAACAAUAUAAUGGAGGCAGUCAAUCAAUCUAGAUUGCUCCGAAAUCGGAUCCAAAUCCAAUAUAGGACCUAUAGGUACAUAAGAAAUGUAUUGAAUUGAUUCUUUUUAAUGAAUAAAUCUAAUCGCAACUUUGAAUAUACAAUUCACAAGGAUCAAAUAAGAAUUAAUACUUUGAAUCAUUGAACUGUAAUGAAAUUUUACAAUCAACCAACAUUUAUCGAAUUUGAAAAAGAGUCGGAAGAAAUGGUUUGUUCCUUUGAUCUAGAUUUUUUUAGCUAAGAGAUUCAUGAAUCGGGAUUCUAAUUCAUAUAGAUACAAAUGUUCUAAUGGGAGCAAGAAUUUCCAAGAGCAUUUGGAAUUUUUUUUUUUUAAGCAGAAGAGCUAUUUUCAAGUAGUGUUCGAUCAAUUACGUAUUAAUUAGUAUUCGAUUGAUUGGUCUAAAGUUAUAGAUAAAAAAGAUUUGUCUAAGCCACUUCUUUUCUUUUGUCCAAGUUUUUUUUCUGUUUGUCUAACUCACUUCCUUUUUUCUUUGUGAGUUUCAAGAAUAUCCCCAUUUAUAGGUCUGAGAUCCAUAUCUAUGAAUUGAAAGGUCCGAAUGAUCAACUAUACAAUCAAUUGUUAGAACUAAUAGAUCUUCAAAUUGAUCAUUUCAAAAAUUUAAAAUUCUUCUUAUUAGAUGAUCAUAAUACUUCCCAAAAGUCAAAAUUCUUAAUCAAUGGAGGAAGGAUAUCACCAUUAUUGUUUAAUAAGAUACCGAAGUGGAUGAUUGACUCAUUCUAUACUAGAAAUAAUAGAAAGAAAUCUUUUAAUAACACGGUACAAUCAAUAUAGUUUUGAGAAAUAUUUACCAGCUGAAAAAAGAAAAGGAAAAAACAGAGUCUAUAUCUAAUGAAAUGUGUUGAGAAAUGACAUAUGUCUAUUUCAACAUGACAAUGCUAUUUCAACUCUCUUAAAAUGGAAUCGAUUCCAAACAUAUAUGUCAUGGUUCCUUACUUCGAGGGUACAAAUAUCUAAAUUUGAUAUUUUUAGACACUUUUUUAGACCUAUUGUUGGUACUAAGUAGCAAUAAAAAAUUUGUAUACAUUUUUCCUGAUACUAUGCAUGGAUCAAAAAGAGCAUGACGAAUUCUUCAGAUCUUCCACAAUAGAAUCUGAUAAGUGAGAUUUUGAGUAAGUGUUCCCAUAAUCUUCUUCUGUCGGAUGAAACGAUUUAUCGAAAUAAUAAGUCACCAUUAUUAUCAACACAUCUUAGAUCGCCAAUUGCUCGAGAGUUUUUGUAUUCAAUCAUUUUCCUUCUUCUUCUUGUUAGAUAUCUCGUUCAUGCACAUCUUCUCUUUGUUUCCCAAGCCUAUAGUAAGUUAGAGAUAAAGUUCAAAAGGGUCAAAUCUUUAAUGAUUCCACCAUACAUGAUUGAGUUACGAAAACUUCUUGAUAGCUAUCAUACAUCUAAAUCAAAUUCUUUCUGGUUACAGAAUCUCUUUUUAGUUGCUCUGGAACAAUUAUGAGAUUCUCUAGAAGAAAUAUAAGGUUUUGCUUUUGGUGGCAACAUCCUAUGGGGGGUGGUCCCGAGGAUGAGGUUAAAUCAAUACGUUCUAAAACAAAAGAUUUGAAUAUCAAUCUCGUCAAUAUCACCAAUCUCAUAAGUAUCAAACCAAAUCCCAUUAAACGAAUCACUUUUUCUAAAAAUACGAGACAUCUAAGUCAUACAAAUAAAGAGAUCUAUUCAUUGAUAAAAAAAAAAAAAGGGAACGGUGAUUAGAUUGAUGAUAAGAUAAAAUCUUGGGUUGCGAAUAGUGAUUUAAUGGAUAAUAAAGAAAGAGAAUUCUUGGUUCAAUUCUCCACCUCAACCUUAAUGACGGAAAAAAAAUUGAUCAAAUUCUAUCAAGUCUGACUGAUAGUGAUCAUUCAUCAGAUAAUGACUCUGGUUAUUAAAUGAUUGAACAAUCGAGCAAUCUACUUAUGAUACUUAAUUGACAUUCAUAAAAAGCAUUUCAUGAAUUAUGAGUUCAAUAUUUACUGUUUAGCAGAAUGACAGAUAUUCCUUGUUCAUUUCCAAACAAUCACUUAUUCACAAACUUCGUGUGGGGCUAAUAGUUUUCAUUUCCCAUCUCAUGGAAAACCCUUUUUUGCUCCACCUAGCCCUAUCCCCCUUUAGGGGUAUUUUAGUGAUAGGUUUUAUAGGAACC